GAGCACCCAUUUGAAUGGAAAGUUGGAACGACUGAUGAAGUAAAUGAUCUCCAGUGGGAUAGAAAAAUACGCCAAUGCAAUAAAUAAAUCACUGGUUCGUUGGACAAAUAACAUACUAUCGAUGCUCCAAAAUGCCUCAUCAUCAUCGCAAUUACAUUCAGUAGCGCCAUCAACAGCCGAUAAGGAAGCAAUGAACGAUAAAAUCAACAAACAUGAUGCUACUUUCAUCAGCAUUGCAUCCAUUAGACCCUAGUCUUGUUUACACCAAUGCUGCUUAAUGUACAAUCAGAGACCUGUUAAGAUUCAAUUCCUAAUUAAGUACACGAAAACCAACAUUUUUUUAGAGUGAAGAUUGAAGUACACCUAAAGUAUCUCGGUUUUCUGAGUUUUACACCUGAAUUAUCAGACAAAUGUAUGGAUUUCCUGCCUGAACUAUCACGAACCAUUUAUCAAAACCCACUUUAACUAUUAGUUGUUCGCUUUUCCUACCUGAAAGUUCAGGUAUGAAACUUAAACAAUUAACUAUUGAGGUAUAUUUUGAUAAAUAGUUUGUGAUAAUUAGGGUAGGAAACUCGAUACUUUUAAUGUGUUUUCGACAAUUAAAGAAAAAAAAGGAGGCUAACAUCAAUAUAAAAUUUCACAGAUAUACACACAAAUGCAUGCACCAACAUCAACUUGCAAUUAACAUAAUUAAUAUCCAAAAGGAAGGAGAGUAAAAGGUGCCAAAUAACAACUAGCCCCACAAGCCCACAAACUUAAAAAGGCAUCUAUUUAUUUCAAUGUCAAAAUUUGACUUUCACAAUACUAAUAUAACCAUUUCAUAAAUAGAACUUAGUACAAGGAGACUAAGAAAGCUACUAUGCACCUCAACUAUAGUACUUAACAAAAAAAGGAAAACCAGAAAACUUUGAAAUGAAAGUUAACACCUCUCGACAAGAAACUUUAAAUAAAUAAUUUUCAAUUUGUGGUUGUCUAAGAAACUAAAAAGAAAUUUUGAAUUUUAUGGUCCUAAACUAAAAUAUAUUGAAUGUACUAAAAUAUCCUCUAACCAAAAAUUUAGACUUAAAAAGAACUGUUAAAAAUCAUACUAAUAAAAAAAUAAGACAAACAAAUUGACAAGAAGCAACAUGUAGUUUCACUAGUGGAGUCCGAAGAAUCUAGACCUUACCCCUAUCUGAAAAGAGGAGGUAGAGAAAUUGUUUUCGAUAUAUUCUGAGGAAAAAGCAAAACAAAAGAGUCCCAAAAGAGAAAUAACAUAAGUGAAGAAAGAUGAUCAGCUAAACUUACCUAAAAAGAAGAAAAAAAAACACAUCUUUCUUUAUCUAAGAAACAAAAAACCAAAACAAGUCAAUCCAACACACAGAUCUUUAUCUUUAACCAGCAUGCAGACCCAAAUAAACAUUUAUAGAGGUCUUUAAGUCAUCUUUUUAUCCAAAACUCAAUCAAAACCAAUGUAAUUUUUCCAGCAUUGGUAUUAUCAAAAAAGAAAAAUCUAUAGCCCACAGAAAAAGCUCCAAAUAACUACUCAAAAAGAACCAUAACCCAAUGCACCACAAAGAAAACAAAUACAAAGUUUUUCUUCAAGUGAAAAUAAACUGAGUUUUUUCAAUGACCAUCUUGCCUUUACAAGCUAAAAACACUUAAAAAGAGUAAAAAGGAUUAGAUUUUUACACCCAAAAAAAAAGAAGAAAAAGAAUAAGAUCUUUUUACUCAAAAAAAAGAAAGAAAAUAAAAACAAGAAAGACAUAGAGAACUUCACUGAUUUUUCAAGAAUUCAAUGACCCUUUUCAUUUCUGUACCUUUUUCUUAUUCUUGUAUGCUCCAAAUGCAAAUUUGAUAUCAAGAACAGUUGAACUGUUUGAAGAAGUGUUUGUCAUAUAGAGAGAAAAAGAGAGUGACUUUAAAGAGAGUAGAAAAUGUAAGCUAAAAAUGAGGAAGGAAGACAAGAAAAUAUAAGCUUGUUGGGGUGGGGGAUGGGGGUUGGAGGGACCCACAGAUUUUACAUGAAGAGAACUUAGACACACUUUAACUCUUAAUAAAUGUCUUCUUCAGCUAUAAAGUUGUAGAAGUAAACCUUUUAACACCAAUUUUUAUUUUAAGAAAAUUAUCAUUUAGUUUACUAAUUCUAUUUUAUACUCUUUUUUAUGUGUCAUUUUAUAGAGGCUGAAAUAUAUAUUAUGUGGUCCCCUAGAUUUAACCUUUUUAAAAUUGGAUACCUUAACUAAAGGUGUAGUUUAUUCAUCACUUCAUUAAUGUUCAAAGUGUCUAUUGAAUAUCUAAUUGACAAUUUCUUACAAAAUCCAAGUGUAUGAUUGAGUGGGGAUGCAGGAUUUUUCUUCAGGAGUUCCAAAAAAAGUAAGUAUAUUUAUAGUGUUGUCAAAUUAGCGGAUUAAAUUUUAUAUGAACAAGUUAAAUUAUAUAUGAGCGAGUUAAAUUUUAAUAAUUUUUCUUAAGAAGUUUAGUAAAUAAUAUUUAUUUUGAAAUCAAUUUAUUGAUUACUAUAGUAUAUAAAUUUAAUAUUUUAUAGAAAUCGAUAAAUUGGUAGGUGAUAUCAAUAGGGUAACAUUAUGAGGUAACAUUAGUAGACAAUACAACUUAUCUAAAACAAAACUGAUAAAAUAAAUAAAUUCAUCCACCAAGAUUUGAUCUUGGAUCCUUUGGGGAAAUCUAACCCCCCUAAACUGUUGCACUACUCACUACUGUUGUAUCGAGGAGGGGGAGGUCAAUAUUUAAUAUAUAUAUACGUAUACUGCAAAUUCAAUCCUAUAUACACAAUAUAGUUUUUGAGUGAGGGGGUUCAGGUGAAUUCACUUGACUUCAUGUGGGUCCUUCUCUGAUACGACUCUCAAAUAUAAUGACUUGGGCAAAAUUGAAUUAAUAUAUGAUACAUGAAUUUUUUAAGAAAGAAGAAAAUUUUUCUGAUUCUCACAUGUAUUCGCUUGGCAAAAAAAAGCAAAUUAAUGUUUGACUUGGCAAAAGAAGUUAACUAAUGCUCGACAUGUGAAUUUUUUUUACAAUAAGAAAAAUUCCUUGACUCCCCAACGUAGUGGUUUGACCAAAAACGAAUCAACAUUCAAGUUUUGCACGUGAAUUUUUUUACAAGAAAAGCUUUAUCUGACUUUUCAACAUAGUGUCUGAGUAAAUAUGUGAAUUAUCAUUUGAUACGUGAAGUGACUUGAUAAAAUAUGUGAAUUAACAUCCGAUACAUAAAAUGGCUUCACAAAAGAUACGAAUCAACGCUUGAUAUGUGAAGUGGUCUGACAAAAAACGUGAAUCAACACUCGACAUGUGAAAUAGCUUAGCAAAAGAUGUGAAUAAACAUCCACAUAUGAAGCGGCUUAGAAGAAAAUGCGAACAAACACUCGACAAGUGAAAGGCUUAGCAAAAGACGUGUAUCGAUAUUUGACACAUGAAAUAGUUAGAAUAUAAAAAGAAACAUAUUUAAAGCACAUAUAGGAAAUCUUGAACGUAAAAAGAAACAUAUUUAAAGAACAUGUAGAAAAUCUUUUCCGAGAGUGAUUGCUUUCUCUUAGACUAGCUUGUCUUCUACUUCUAGAUGACUUUAAAGCACAUGUAAGAAAUCUUUCUCAAGAGUGGCCACCUUCUGUUAGAUCAGCUGUAACUUCUAUUUCUAGACGACUGCUCUAUAACAGAUUUUCUGCUUUCUUGAUUUUGCUUGUCUCUUAUCAGAGAGUCUGACAUCAUUUUUCACUUUUAACACACACUUAUUUGAUGAGCUAAGACUUAAGUUUCAUAUAAUUCAAAAGCUAGCUCGAGACCUAAAAAGAUAAGGUCGAAAUUUGAGCCAAAAAUAUGAUUCAUAUGCCCAUUUCUUAAUUUAAGGAGAUUCUAUAAUUAUUAGUCCUAAUGCAGACAUCUUUAUCUAUUUGAGAUGAAAUAAAAGAAAAGUUCUUAUUUGAAAGAUUGCAAUUUAUUAACUGUCGUGCUAUCACUAUGCUAAUAGUUUAGCAAUUUCGCUGUUGUUGGCCUUGUUUCAUAGUGAAUUUAUGGAAGAUCUAAAUACUUCUAAUAUCGAAUUCGACGAUAUUUCUUUAAGAAGAAUUUUCACUUUGAUUUAAAACCCACUACACUAGAUUUAGCCAACUCAGAUAAGGAUUUUAUUUUUCAAAUUUAUUCUACAUGAUGAAAACGAGGCCAUCCAUGGGGUAAAGAGUCCUUAGCAUUCCUAAUCCAAAUUGCAUAUAUCAUCUCAUUCGUAUGUAUACGAUCUUACUAUCUACAAUUGAUAUUGUUCUUUCUGAAUACCUUUUCAUGCAUCAACAAUCCAGAUAUGACAUCUUGAUCUUUCCUAAUAAGAAAGUAGCUUUAAUUUGGAAAUAAAUUUUCUUGUCACUUCACUUAGUUCUAAAAUUUUGAUGUCAUUGAAAUGGACAAAGGAAAAGAAUAAGUAGUCUGAGAGCAACAAUAAGAGAACGCUCUAGUAUAAUUUAUUUUUUGCUUAGAAUCUCUUUCAGUAACAGGCUUAAAAUAAAGUACUAAUAAUGUGAGUGACUACAUGAGAAAGUUUUCGAGUACUACAAUGUGAAAAGUGACAAGACUCACUUUUCCUACUUGUUUCUCGCAUAUAUAAGAAAAAUCAAGAGGGUCAGAUGAGGAAUUGCUUCCCCCAUUUCACAUGGCAACAACAUCAACACAUUAAAAGAAAAAGAUUGAGGAACAGGAUGAUGCAAGAAUUAUGGAAUCCUAACUAAUAAAGGAAAAAUAUAAUCUCUGGCUACAAUUCUAACUACACUCAAAGCUUUUUCUCUCGAUAGAAAUUUUAGUUUCUCUUUGUCUUCAUUUUUUCAAAUAAAAAAUUUUAGAAAUCGAUAAAAUAUCUUGGGAGUCAUCAAUAUGUUAUCCCUGAUGAGGGAGCAAACAAAGAAUAUUGAAUCUUACUACUUACGAGAAAGAAUUCAUUUUGACUUGAUCACGUAUAUUAAUUUUUUAAUGUCUUAUCCUAGGCCCAUUUAGUUGAUCGAUGAAUAGAUGUGUAUAAAGAAUAUUGGAUCCAUUAAUCUCAUAGUCAUGCUCCACUUCAAUCCACCACUCCAUCGUUACCAUUGAAAAAUACUUUGGUAAACACCUUCAUCAACGCCUUGAAGAAAACUUCAGAGAAAGUGCCUCUUUAUGAUAGUAGACAUGAUGUCAGGGUUUUAUUAUUGUUACUGUUAAGAACUCUUAGGCAAAGAAAUCACAUUUGUUAUAAUAGAGAUCGAGUUGGGGCAUGGUAGUUUUGAACUACACAAAUUCUGCAUAAAGUUAGUAAUAAUAGUGUCUCUUAUCGAUUUUACGCACUGCCAUUUGAUCUGAGAAUCAUAGGUGGCUUAAUAUUUAUUACUAUGUGAUUUCUGUUCCUUUUACAAUGGGUCGUUUGAAUCUUGGGAAUCAUUAUUUAGAUGUUGUAUUCAAUAUUUCUAAUGUCAUAGUAUAUGUUUAGUGGAAAGUUUUAAAGUGGCUAAUGAAACUUUCAAUAAUGAUUAUAGUAGUGUAAUUGUGAGAUUUCAUUGUGAUUAAAGAGUAGAGGUAAAAAAUAUCAAGGUUGAGAUAAGACUUGACCUAAUGAAUUUAAAUAUUUAUUGACUUGAGGUAGUGAAAAUGGUGGUUGUUGAAGAAGGAAAUAAAGUCUUAUGUUGGAAGUUAAUAAGAUGGGUGGUCUCCUUAUAAGGUUUGGACAAUCCUCUUUCUUUUGAGCUAACUUUUAUUGUGUGUGUUGGGCUCAAGAACUAAUUUUACAUGGUAUCAGAGCAUGAUUCAUCUCAAUCAAUAUUGGGCCUCCAAAUUAAAAAUUGACCAUGCACCAGAUGUUCAAUGCUGAACAUGAUGUCGGGUAUUAAAAAAUAAUUUUUUUUUUACAUCAGUUGCUAAUGAUAUGGGUGGUCUCUAUCUAAGAUCCAGAUAGUUUUCCUUUGAGCUAGCUUUUGAAGUGUGAGUUAGGCUUAAGACCUAAUUUUACAUAUUCAAAAAUAAAAAAAAGUCUCAAUUGGUGGUUAAUGAGAUGGGUGGUCUCGUUAUAAGACUUGCGCAUCCUCUUAUCUUUUUUUUUUUUAUAUAUAAAUAAAGUGUUUUAUUACCAAAUGUAGCGUUACAAAGCAUCAAGUUUGGACAACCCCAAUAGUUUAGGACGGAUCUCAGGGUCACCCAUUGGUUUAGGACUGACUCCACAAUAGUUGUCUUUACUCGUGGUACGGUAGUGACACCCUUCCAAUGGGAUUACAGAUUGGACCCCUAUUAGUUUAGAUUGGGGCAUGUCGGUUAGAUGAUUACCUCCCACAGUUUUAAUUUUAGUCUCAGUUUUUAGAAUAGAACUCAGUUCAAUUCUACAAAAUCAGGACUGUCAGAUACAAUCACUCAGUUAUCAGUAAUUUAGGUUAUCAGUGAUCUCAGAUUAUCAAUAUAUUUAGUUAUCAGUUAUCAGAUCCAGUUUCAGUAUACUUAGUUAUAGUAUGCACAGUAUGUUCAGUAGAGUCAUAUCCUCUAUGUAUGCUAAUCCAGCUCUUGCAUGUCAUUCAGUUAGUUAUUUCAUGCAUAUAAACCAUACAUUCAGCCUUACCUCAUUGAGCAUACCAGUAUAUUCUCACGUACUGAUCGCAUACCCGUGUCUUGCGCUAUGAUGUUUCAUAUCAUAGGUUCGGACGCUCAGGUUCUUGACCGCACUUAGCCAGAUUCAACCAGCAGUAGCAGAUUUAGCAGUGAGUCUUCAUCUAUCGAGGAUAUGCUUUUAUUUCAGUACUUUAGCUAAGUAGUAUUUUAGUAGAUGGAGUUAGGUGGGGGAUUAUCCCAUCAACUCCACUUUCAGACAGAUUCAGUUAGAGGCUUUUCAGACUAGAUUUCCAGACAGUGUUUCAGAUUCAGAUGUUAUUAUUCAUUAUCAGUAUUUUAGAUGUUUUGAACCUUAUGGCAUUUCAGCCUAUUAUUCCGCAAUUAUUUCAGUAUUAUUGUUCAGUGCUCUCAGAAGAUAUCAUUCAUGGAUUAGCUUGUGGUUCUUUGGGGUCACAAGCACCGUGUGACGACUAGGGGUAGUCCCGGGUCAUUACAAGUGGCUAGAAAUUUUUCCACGAGAAUUGAAAGAACAACAAUAAACUUAAAAUUAAUGACAAUCAACAAAUCCAACAAGGUAUAAAGGUUCUUUUUACUAAAUCUAAUUAUAAAAAUUAUUAUAUAUUUGACAAAAAUACAAUAAUUAUUUUUGACAAACUUAAAGGAUAAAAAUGCUCAUAAUUAAUACCUAACGGACUACUUUGAACUUUAUCGAAACAUAAGAGACUUUUUGUUAAUUUUAAAAGAAAAAGAUUGAGGUAAUAAUACCACGAAUGAAAUGCUUUAUGGCAUCACAAAAUUUAAGAUUUAUUUAUGCCACGAAUUUUAAAAGCAUUUCUUUUUUCUACUUCAUGGUUAAUCAAAUGAUGUCCCAUAAAUUGAAAUGAAAAAUAGUUAAAAAAAGCUAAAACUUGAUUCCCUUAUUUACGUAUUUUAUGUUCCAUUUAUUUGUACCUAAUAAAAAUUAAAAUUUUGAUCAUUCAGAUCUUAACUCAUAAUUAUAUACUUAAUAUUUUGUUUGAAUCUAAUCAUUUAGAUCUCAAUAAGUGUAUUAUCCCAUACACCUCGACACAAUAUUACUAUUACAAAGUACUUCAUCCAAUCAUUUUUAGUUUAUCAUUCUGUAUCUAUUUUAUUACUCUUAUUAAAUAUUAUUUAUUUUCAAACACGUAAAUGACUUAUAAUAACUAAUUAGAAGUGAUACAGUAAAAUUACUUGUGAAAAAAUUUAAGUGAGCCCCAUGUAAGUUGUCAAGUUAAUUUUAAAACAUCAAGAGUUAACUUUUCAUUUUGUAUCUAUUUUACCUUCUCUAUGAGUUAUUAUUAGUUUUCAAUACUUCAAUGACUUAUAAUAAUUAAUUAGGAGCGAUAUAUAUAAUAAAAUCACGAUUGAAGCAGCGAAACAAACAUAUCUUUAAUGACUUAUAAUAACUAAUUAGAAAUAAUAUAAUAAAAUUAAUAUAAAAAAUACUCGUGAAAAAAUUCAAGUGAAUCUAUAUAAGACAUCAAAAAUGAAUUUAUCAAUUUAUCUUUUUCUAACUUUCUUUAUUAAAUCUUAUUAAUUUUCUAAUACUUAGAUGACUUAUAGUAAUUAAUUAGGAAUAAUAUAAUAAAAUUAUGACUGAAGCAGAUGUCACACCCCUAUUUUUACCACAUCCAACCCCACUAGGGAGUUGGUUUUAGAGAAAAUGGGUUUUUCCAAUUAAAGUGACGUUUCGAAAAGGGAUUAUUUAUUUUACAGAGUCGCCACUUGAAAUUGAGUUUGAGUGUUUCAAGUCACCUUAUUGAAUCUCUAUUCAAAAGGAAAUGAUUCUUUAUUUUUGGUCUGUAAAAUAGAAAUUUGGAUAAGAAAUUCUAUUGACCGAGGGGAAGGUGUGAGACACCCCUCGAGUCCCGUGGUUCUAGCACGGUCGCUUUAAUGACUUAUGUCUGGCUUAAAUUAAUCUUUUGGAUAUAGAAUAUUUGUUUGCCUAAAGUGACUUCUAUCCUGCUUUUAUUUAUUUUGAAUUUAUUUAAAACUGUAUUGAUGUGUGGCUUAUCGAUAAUAGUACUUUUUGGCCUUACCACGAGUUUUGGUAUAUUUUUCGCGCCUUUGAGGCAUUUAUAAAUAGACCCCAUUUUUCUAAGUCUAGAUAAGCGCCUAAUAGGUUUAGAAUCUACCCAACCUGACUCAAAAGCGCCUAACAGGUUUAGAAUCUACCCAACCCGGCUCAAACGACUUCAAAUGGUAUGUUAAAUUUUAUUAUAACGAUUGGUCGAUAGUAGGACUUUCCAACUUCAUCGUUAAAUUUUCUCUUGUAUGUUUAACUUAAACAAACAUUACUUAAAUGCCACAUUAAUGUAAUUCUUCGCAACACAGUUAAUUACCAUUACGAAGUUAACCCCAAAAUUAAAAGAUCACAUAUUCCAUUUAACCAAUUUAUUACAACGAAAUUAACAUAUAGAAAAAAAAUAAAAUUUUGUAAUCACGCCAUUUCUUUUAAAUGAAUGAAACAACUAUUUAUUAUUUUUCUUUUACUACUUUUGAAACAACUAUAACUUUUUAAAACUUGUUUAUCAUUUACAUACUUAUAUAAUACAUGGGCCUAUUAUUGCUACGACUAUUUAUGAUCACAGACUACAGAGAACAUAAAAUACCACAAAUUAAAGGUAACAUUACUCAUGUAUUGUGUAGGCUUGAUGAUUUGAGAAUCUCUUAAUUAACAGUAGGCUUAGAUAUCAAGGUCAUGCAUGCAUGAGUCACGUAUUAGCUAGGGUAUAUCAUAAAUACUUUCUACGUAACCUUUUCAAUCUUUCAACGUUAUUAACUUUAAUAACUAUCUCAUUUAAAAUCCAAAAGUAGUUCAUUUAACAUUAUUUCAGAAAAAUAACACACGAGUUAUGAAUAAGGACGUAGACAUGAACUACAUAUAAAUAAUAAAUUACACAUAAUAAAUAAUAUAACAAGCCAUGAGAAUAACGUUAUUCAUUCUUCAAUCAACAACAAAACAUAUAAAAUGGUACAGAUGGAUAAGAACCUGGAAGAUGAACUGAUUAAAGAAAGUACGAAUGACGUCCGAAAACUCUAACGGAAACCCUCACGAAUUUGUUCCGCUACUUCUUUUCCUUUCUUUUUCCUUUAAAUCUUUACUUUCUUUAUGCGUUUCUCCUCUCUAUUUUCUUCUGAUUUCUUUCUCUUUUCAAUGUUUCUGCCUUUUGUUUCUUGUUUUCUCUAAAUUCUCUUUCUUUAUUUUUUUCUCUCCUUUUCCUCUCCUUUGAUUCUUCUAAGUCUUUUUUUUCGUCUGUUUUCUCCUUUUUCUUCUUUGUCCGUGUCUCUUCUAAUCCCAAUUUGUUCUCCCCUUUUGUUGUGUGCAUGUUCAUGUAUAUAUAUUAGUACAUGUGUGUGUCGUUUGUUGUGUAGUGGAGGUAAUGGGGAAAUUUAGGGAAGUAUUUUAAGGAGGAAAAGGUAGACGUGAGGAGGAGGAGCUGGAGAGGUAGUUUUAGGCUAGGAUUUUUUUUUUAAAUAAAUAAAUAAAUAAUAAUAAUAAUAAUAAUAAUAAUAUAAACAAAAGUUUAUUUAAAAUGUGACUCUAUUUUUUGUAGUUUUCAAAAUUUUUUAACAAACCUUGUAAAAUAAAAUAAACUUACAAUAUUUAAUUUAGAUCUAAAAAUAAAAUAAAAUAAAUAAAUAAAUUGAACACUAAAUUGACAUAAAAACGUUAGAUUUGAUAAAAAAUUAGGUGUUUACAGCAGAUAAAGCAGACAUGUUGAGCAUGAGUUACAUGCUUCAGCAGCUUCAUUCACACUUAUAAUAAUAAUAAUAAUAAUAAUAAUAAUAAUAAUAAUAAUAAUAAUAAUAAAAUUUUCUUAUUUAUACUGAAGGACUCAAAUUUUAACCCACGUGGUGAUAAGAGAAACAAUAUGGUUUAGAGAAGUUGCGUACAUAAAUUUAGCAUAAGAAAACGUCAAGUGUGUUGCGGUGGUCGGUGUUUUGAAGUAGUAUAGUAAUCUUUUCUUUUUUCAAUUUGGCUUUUAUGAAAAAAAAAAACAACAGAAAAGAUGAACAAAGACUUUGACCAUAAAAAUCAGAUAUAUUUUUUAAGAAAAUAUAAAUAAAGAUAAUAUUUUGAUUGUAUAUUUUACCUCCUAAAAUAUUUCACCAUAUUAUGUAUGCAUGUUUGUCAACUCCAUCAAUGAUACCCUUUUAACUGUUUUAAUAAAUACAAUGUGUAGAAUGAAAAAAGAAAUACUUAAUUAUAAACACUAGUGUAAUUAUUAUCACGCCAGUACGCGUUAAUCAAUUUUAAUAUACUCCAUUCGUUUAUUUUUACUUAUCAAUAAUUUUUUAAUUGAAUUUCUAUUUUUACUUAUCAUUUUUGAUAUAUCAAGAGAAGAUAACUUUUUUUUCCCUAUUUUAUUCUUAGCAUUAAUUAUUUUUUCUCUAAAUUAAUUUUAAGAUACAAUGUAAAUAUUAUUUAAUUGGGGUACUAUAGUAAAAUAAUUAUGUUAUUAAUUAUAUUUCUUAAUAGUUGUGUCUAAUCAGAAUGUGACAAAUAAAAACGAUGAGGAGAAGAAGAAGUUAUUAAAUUCAUCUUAUCACAAAUGAUCCUCUAAACUUGUCAACCAAAAUUAAUUUAGAAAUCUGUCUAUUUAUUUAAUAGAAUAAAAAUAGACAAAUGACAUCAUUAGAAUUUACUUUUAAAUUACUCUAUGCCGUUUCUAAAAGAAAAUAACUUUCUUCCAAUAAAAUGGAAGUCAAUAAUAUCCAUUUUCCUCAAUUAGGACAACUUAUUUUUUACGUUUGAUUCAUUUUCAUAAUUACAGUUUUUGGAUUUAAAAAUUCCACUGAAAGAAACUUUACAACACUUAUUAGGAACCAAAAGUGUUUUAAGUAAUGCUUAAUCAGUAGAUGAAUUAAAACGUGAUACACAUAAUAAGAUACAUAUAAAUUUUAGAAAAAGACGUGCGUGGCAACCACUAGCCUAUUUGGAUAUGAAGAGUUAUGAUAAGAUGGGUGAGAUUCAUAUACCUUUAAUUAGAGGUUUUGAGUUUCAACUUUUGAUAACGGAAAAGUUUAUCUAGGAGCGACGCGUCCAAAAAUGAGUCAUGCAAUGCGUGCAUUUAAAUUUAGUCCAGUUUCAAUAUGAAUAUCAAACACAAAAUAAUAAAAAAAAAUCUAGCUCGAUGUCUUAAUUUAAUAUAAAUAUUUCAUAAAAAAAGAUGAAAAAUGGAUAGAACACUUCUAUUUUAAGAAAAACUAUUUUGGCACUAUCCUUUUAUUUUUAUUUUUGUUCCUUAUAUGAUUUUGUGGAACAUAGAUUUGUCAAUUUCUCCUAAAGUUAUAUUCCAUCUUAACCCUCUAAAUUUUCACAUUGAUAUCAUUUGUAUUGGUUAGUUUUAGCUGUGAAAAUUCAUUUGGUUGGAGAAACAAAUGAAGAAUUUUUAAUUUAUUUUUAUAUUUUUUAUAAAAUAUUUAAAAUGUAGAAAAAAAUUAAACUUUUAUCACGGGGGUAAGGAAAGAGAAAACAGAAGAGGAGAUUAUAAUAGUUUUUUUUUUUUAUAAGGUGGAUAAUCAGAACUUUAUAAAAUAGAUGAAAGUCCAUGCAGCCAAUCAAUUAAAUUACUACUAAUUAUGCUCCCACAUAGGAUCAAUUGGUUUUGUAGUUCUUUUCAAAUUAGUUUUUAGUUUUAUGUUCUUUUUAUCAGAAAUUUUUAUUUUUAUAAGAAAUUAAAAAGUAAAACCAUUUAAGUGACCAUUUUUCCAUUUGACACGAUUUAUAGGCAUGCCCCAUGCUACCUAUGAACAUAUUUUUGAGACAAUUAAGAACAAGUGUUGGGGUAUUGCUAUAUGAAUUGUUGUUUUCACGAGAAAAAGAUAUUUAUCAAUUACUUUUGUAAAUAUGAUACCUAUGGUUAAUCUAAGUGCUUAAGAACAUAAGAAAGACAAUAAUCUAGUUUUAAUCUCCUUUAUAUUUGAUACAAUAACAAUACUUAUUUACAUACCCGUGGCCAACUCGAAGGGGCUAAAGUCCGACUUUCAAAUUUGGUUCCUGACAGUGGCGGAGUCAGGAUUUUCAUUGAGGGAGUUCAGAAGUAAACAUACGGACUAGUGAAAGGGGUUCAACAUCUACUAUAUAUACAUAAAAAUAUUUUUGAUCAUAUAAAAAUAAUAUAAUUUUCCGUUGAAUGAAGUUCGAAUGAACCCCCUGAUUACAAGGUGGAUCCGCCACUGGUUCCUGACAUAAAAUUAUCUUGUACCAUAUUUUUGAAAAUCUUUUAGUUUCUAGCGUAUAAUAAAUUGUUGCACCCUAAACUGCAAAAUUAUCUCUCGAAAACUUUUUUUUUUUUUUGUUAAAUAGGGCCUCAUAUAAGAAACACUAAUGUAUGGUUGGUUAGAAAAAAUAGGUUUAAAAUGUUCAUUAAUAUAAUCAUGGAUGGGAUGUUUAGGAAUGUAUUUUUAUUAUAAGACUUAAGUCAAAAUUUAGGUAGAUACAUUGCAUGGGAAUAUACUAUCAACUCAGUUAGAAAAAAAAAGGCAGGAUUAGUACCCAAAAUUGACAUUUUCCAUAAUCUUAUCAUAUCAUCAUUUAUUAAAUGAAGUUGAUUAAUUAAAAGUAUAGUGACACAACAUAGAAUUAUGUUGGGCAUGGAAUAACACUAUCCCUAAAGGUAAGCCAUGUGUCAAGAAGUGAAAAAGCCUAGAUUAUAUUUUCUUAUAAUCAUUCUCUACUCAAAAUUAACUGAUUCGAUUAAUUAAAAUUUGUAUCACAUAUAACUCAUUAAAACGAAAGUAUUUGUCACUAAAAAUUCUUCAGUUCCAAAUUUCAAAACCUGAGAUUUUUAAUUGAAAAUAAAAGAUAUUUCAUAUACCCCAUCACUAUUUUUGAUGGCAACCUAAAGUGCCUGAUUUCUAAUUAGUAAUCAUAAGUUAAAUCAAUUUCCAGGGUAGACAGAUUCUUAAAUCAACUUGUCAAUAUGUGGUCUGAAAUUUAGAUUUGUUGGUUAAUAUAGUUUAAUUGGAUGACUUCAUGUCAUUUCAUCUUGAAUAAAUUAAGACUUUGUCAAUAUUCAAGAUUUAAGGCUUUUUUUUCUUUUUUUCUUUUUUGGGUUCAUUUACCUAAAGAGAAGUAUGGUUGUGGAAUUGACUAUUGCCCGUACACCAUUAAUAUUUCACUAUAAUACAAUAUUUCAGUGUAAUUUCACAAAUAAUGUGUAGAGAAAAUAGUUUAAACUAGUAUGUAAACAUGAUUUAAUUGCAACUUUAGAGAUAGAAAAACUAUUUGUGAUAGACUCUCGAUUUAACUGGUACUUGUCAACAAUAUGAAAAAAACUAAUACAAAUAUGGUACAAUUACAAUAUAAACUAAUCGAACUGGAAAGCGCUACACAAUACACAAUAAAAAAAUAAAAUAAUACAAUAAUUGCCACAUAAAAUAUCAAUGAAAGGCUGAAAGCUAAAAUCAAAGAUCAAGGAAUAAUAAACGUAGUGCUAACGAUAUUAAAAAAGAUGAAAAGAAUGACCACCAAAUCUAUCUCAAAGGAAAGUCAAAUAAAACACUCAACUAUCAACUAAACUUCUAUCCUGAUACGUAACCUCCAAACUCUCCUAUCUAAUACUAAUAUAUAAUUGAUCUUUCAUGAUAUGUAUGGAAUAUUAUUUGGUUUUCACAAUAACAUUUUGAUAGAAAGUUAAAAAAUAAUAUCAUAUUCAUGUAGAUAUAAUUUAGCCUUCAGAUUUCCAUGAUCUUUUUAUGGAAUCACUAUAUUUAGGUGUAUCUAUACAAAUAUAAUUUUUUUUUUGCACGUUGGUAUGUAGGUAGUUAGGGGAGUAGGUAUACAGAUGGAUUAGGAUAAUUCAACACAUGUAAGCAUAAAACGGAUUAUAUAAACUUAAACAAUCUUAUACAUAAACAAUCCUAUUCAUAAUCCUUUGUAUUAUUCAGGAACGUUGAAUUUAAUGAUUUUCACAUACACAUAAUAACAGUAAUUCAAUAAAGAAUUACUUACUUAAAUUCUCCAUGAUUUUAGCGGAAGCAAAAGCGUAAUAGCAGAAGUACUGAAUUGUUUCUCUCUCUUUACCUUACUUUCAAAAUAAUUGUGAUGGAGCUUAUUCUUCUUUUGGCAGAGAGAGGACCCCUUUUAUAAUGAGAAUAGUCAGUUAUGUUUUCAAAUUCCAUCAACGUGAUUGGUGGAUACAAUCAUUAUCCUACUAGGAGUCGGUAAUUGUGGAUACAAUCCUACUAGGAGUCGGUAAUUAUCCUACUAGGUAACUUUCCAUAUAGAUUAAGGAUUUAACUUAUUCAAUUAUUAUUAAACCAAUAAAUAAAUUAAUUAUGUGGGCCAUAGAAAUUUACAUUCUCCCACUAUUAACGUUAAAUUCAACAUCAUUUGUCAUCGUUAAAUAAAUCAACUAAAAUGAGUUAUGGCGGUUGUACGUCCCUUUACUUGACAUAGUUCCUUCCAUGUACUACAAUAUUAGUCUAUUACCUAACAUAACCUUUCAAGUGCAUAAUGGGUCCAAUGAUAAUACUUAGAAUCCUUUAUCUAAGUCAGAACCUGUCAUCAUUAUUCACAAUAUUAUGUAUACAAGAGAAAACAGGUAACAACAGAAACAUAUAUAAUUUGAGCUCAAAGUGUCAAUUUCAUAAACAUAACAAAGUCUUUAUAUAAAAUCAUUCAUUGCUAUCAAUAAGACUCAUCCUUUCAACAUGUUCAAUAAAUAUUUUGGGCGGUAAUCCUUUCGUCAAAGGAUCAGCAAUCAUAAGCUUAGUGCUAAUAUGUUCAAUUGACANNNNNNNNNNNNNNNNNNNNNNNNNNNNNNNNNNNNNNNNNNNNNNNNNNNNNNNNNNNNNNNNNNNNNNNNNNNNNNNNNNNNNNNNNNNNNNNNNNNNNNNNNNNNNNNNNNNNNNNNNNNNNNNNNNNNNNNNNNNNNNNNNNNNNNNNNNNNNNNNNNNNNNNNNNNNNNNNNNNNGCUUCCAUAGUGGAUGCAGCUAUAACAGACUGCUUCGCACUCUUCCAUGAUAUUUCUCCUCCAGCUAAUAGAAACAAAUAUUCAAAUGUGGAUUUUCUUGUAUCCACACAACCAGCAUAAUCUGAAUCUUGAUAUCCAACCACAUGUAAAUGAUCAGAUCUUUUAUAAGUGAGCAUAUGAUCUUUUGUUCCUUGUAAGUAUCGCAACACUUUCUUUGCAGCCUUCCAGUGCUCCAUUCUAGGAUUACUUUGAUAUCGGCCCAACAUCCCAACAACAAAGCUGAUGUCUGGUCUUGUACAUGUUUGGGCAUACAUAAGACUCCCAACAAUUGAUGUAUAAUAAAUAUCUUUCAUUUGUUUUCGUUCUAAGUCAUUCUUUGGACAUUGAUUGAGACUAAACUUAUCUCCUUUCUGAAUUGGAACGGGACCUGAUGAGCAUUUUUCCAUUCUAAAUCUCUCUAAUACUUUAUUAAUAUAGGUUUUCUGAGAUAAUCCCAACAAUCCUUGUGAUCUAUCUCGAAAUAUUUCUAUUCCAAUCACAUAGGAUGCCUCACCCAUAUAUUUCAUUUCAAAGUUGUUAGAGAGAUAUUUCUUGAUACCAUGUAACAAACUAAGAUCAUUAGUAGCCAGCAAGAUGUCAUCAACAUACAAGACUAACAUAAUAAACUUAUUCCCACUGACCUUCAGAUAUAUACACCGANNNNNNNNNNNNNNNNNNNNNNNNNNNNNNNNNNNNNNNNNNNNNNNNNNNNNNNNNNNNNNNNNNNNNNNNNNNNNNNNNNNNNNNNNNNNNNNNNNNNNNNNNNNNNNNNNNNNNNNNNNNNNNNNNNNNNNNNNNNNNNNNNNNNNNNNNNNNNNNNNNNNNNNNNNNNNNNNNNNNNNNNNNNNNNNNNNNNNNNNNNNNNNNNNNNNNNNNNNNNNNNNNNNNNNNNNNNNNNNNNNNNNNNNNNNNNNNNNNNNNNNNNNNNNNNNNNNNNNNNNNNNNCGUAUAUUGACUUCUUAAGUUUACACACCAUGUGUUCCUUUCCUUUAAUAGAAAACCCCUCAGGUUGAUUCAUAUAAACUUCUUCCUCUAAAUUUCCAUUCAGAAAGGCUGUUUUCACAUCCAUUUGAUGUAGCUCUAAGUCAUUAUGAGCUACCAAGGCCAUUAUAAUUCUGAGUGAAUCUUUUCUAGAGACAGGUGAAAACGUCUCUUUAUAGUUAAUGGCAUCUUUUUGAGUAAAACCUUUAGCAACAAGUCUGGCCUUGUGACGUUCGAUGUUGCCAAUUGAGUCGCGUUUGGUCUUAAAGACCCAUUUACACCCAACUCUUUUGCAACUUUCGGGUAAUUCAACAAGGUCCCAAACUUCAUUCUGUUCCAUAGAUUUUAACUCAUCUUUCAUAGCAUUUAUCCAUUUAUCAUGCUUUCAAUGGCUUGUGAAAAUGAAACUGGAUCAUCAUCAAUUCCCAAGUCAGUUUCUGACUCAUGUAGAUAUACCAAAUAAUCAUCAGAAAUAACAGAUCUCCUUUGUAUUUGAGAUCUUCUUGAUGCUACUUCUUGUGGUUCAUCUACUACAGGUUCAUCAAUUAUGGCUUCAUUAUAGGAAUAUUAAUUUGUUGUUCUUGUUGAUUACUUUGUUGUACAACAUCUUCAGGAACAACAAAUUUAAAAGAAGUACAUGGUAGAGGAAUUUUCAUCCUAACUUCUUUAAUUUCCACGUUACGUGGUUCUUCACUCCCACUAACUUCGCCAUUCUCAAUGAAUCUAGCGUUUUCAGUUUCAACUAUUCUCGUACUAUGAUUAGGACAGUAAAAUCUAUACCUCUUUGAUUUUUCUAGAUAACCAAUGAAGAAACCACUGAUUGUUCUUGAAUCCAAUUUCUUUUCUUGUGGAUUAUAAACUCUAACUUCUGCCGGGUAACCCAAAAGAUGCAGGUGCCUCAAACUAGGUUUCCUACCAGUCUACAGUUCAAAAGGUGUCUUUGGGACUGCUUUACUGGGAACCCUAUUUAAAUGUAUAUUGAUGUUAUCCUUUGGGAGAAACAUCAAAAUACAACUUUAAACAUAAUGAUGCUUAAAAUAUAUUUAACACAAAACGAUAAUAUUUAAUGCAUCAAUUAAUAAUAUUUAUCAUCUUUGGAUAAAUAAAUAAAACUAACGAUACAUCAAAAUUAUCUCUUUAAUAUUUAUUGGUCAUACGAACAAACAAUCAACCUUUGGGUGAUCCACAAAUGUCUUAUAACCAAAAAUUUAAUUUACCCAUAAUUAUUAGAUCAAUUAUAAGCAUCAAGAUUAAUGGGUAAUUAAUUUAAACUUUAACCUUUAUUUUGUAAUUAAUUUCAUAAAGAUUCGACCACUUUGGUGAUUAACGAAUCUUACAUAUAUGAUUCUAAGUUAUAUUAAGAAACAAUAAAUUUUAUUAUUGCACACUACAACGUUCUAACAACAAAGAGUUGUUUCUUUAAUAUUUAAAAUAACAAAGAUUAAAUUCAUGUUAUUUUAAAUAGAAUCAAUUAUAAUACUAUCAAUAUUUCAAAUUUCGUUAUUCAAUAAUUGUGAAAUUUAUAACAAACAUAAUUAAAAUUCACAAAAUCUGGAGAAACAUUAAUUUUAAUGAAAAAUCACUUGUUCCGAAAAUCAGGCUCUGAUACCACAUGUAAGCAUAAAACGGAUUAUAUAAAUUUAAACAAGCUUAUACAUAAACAAUUCUAUCCAUAAUCCUUUGUAUUAUUCAGAAACGUUGAACUUAAUGAUUUUCACAUACACAUAAUAACAAUAAUUCAAUAAAGAAUUACUUACCUAAAUUCUCCAUGAUUUUAGCGGAAGCAAAAGCGUAAUAGCAGAAGCACUGAAUUGUUUCUUUCUCUUUACCUUACUUUCAAAAUAAUUGUGAUGGAGCUUAUUCUUCUUUUGGCAGAGAGAGGACCCAUUUUAUAAUGGGAAUAGUCAGUUAUGUUUUCACGUUCCAUCAACGUGAUUGGUGGAUACAAUCAUUAUCCUACUAGAAGUCAGUACUUGUGGAUACAAUCCUACUAGGAGUCAGUAAUUAUCCUACUAGGUAACUUUCCAUAUAGAUUAAGGAUUUAACUUAUUCAAUUAUUAUUAAACCAAUAAAUAAAUUAAUUAUAUGGGCCAUAGAAAUUUACAACACAAUCAUUAACUAUUGAUUUCUCUGAGAAGUGUAGAAUAACAUGUGAAUCUUUCUUAUUGUAGUACUGUAGUAUUAGAUUAUGUUACAAUAAUAGAUCAAUUAAUAAAUUAUAAAGAUUAUAUAAAUCAAUAAGUACUAAAUUCUUAGUUACUCAAAGUGAUUUACCUUCUAUAUUGUCACGACCCAAAUGGCUAUGAGUGGCACCCACACUAACCUUCAUGUGAGAGAAUAAUCUAAAUCAAACCAUUACCCAAUUACUUAGUCAAUAUUAAAAUGAUAUUUUCAUAAAAUCAUCUUAACAAUAAUAAUUUGAAGUUAAUCAUCAGUAAUGCGGAAACCAAACAAUCUACUUACUGAAAUUCUCAAGACCCGAAAGUCAAUCUACAAGAACUAUUAACAAAGAUCAUAUCUAAAGUAAAUCUGUCAACGGGGCCGGGCCGGGUCAACCCAAAAUCGGCCCGUGCUUUUUAAUCGGUUCGUGGGCCGGUCCGAUUUCGGACCAAUCUGGUACCAGACCCAACUGUAUUUUUUUAAGAAACAACCCGGGACUAGCCUAUUACACGUAGACCAGUCCAACCCAGGUCAACCCGGUCAAAACCUAAAAAAAAAUAAUUAAAAUUUAAAAGUUUUUCUCCAAUAUACACUAUAUAUACCCACCUAUAUACAUUUUAAAUACGUUAAACAAUAUACACACAAUAUAUAUAUACACUAUAUAUAUAGUUUAUACUACAUUAAAAUUUAAAAAAUAUAUACACAUAUAUACACAAUUACACAUGUAAUCAAUCAUGUAUACGACUAUACGUUAAAUAUAUAUACUACUUUAGACUUUAGAGUCUAUAGAAAAUAUAUACACAUAUAUACGUACCAUGCAAUAUAUGUAUUACUUUAAAUAAAACAUAUACUACAAUAUAUACACAUACUAUAUAUAUAGUUAUAUGCUACUUUAUAAAACAUAUACACAUGUAUAUGUUAAAUAUAUACUACUUUAGAGUGUAUACAAAAUAUGUACACAUAUAUACGUACGAUUACGAUAUAAUGUAUGUACUACUUUAAAUAAUAUACAUACAACAUAUACACAUUACACACUAUAUAUAUACUACUUUAUAAAAUAUAUACACAUUUAUACGUUAAAUAUAUACUACUUUAGAGUCUAUAGAAAAUAAUACACAUAUAUACGUACCAUACAAUAUAUGUACUACUUUAAAUAAUAUACAUACAACAUAUAAACACUAAAUGUAUACUACUUUAUAAAACAUAUUCUCAUGUAUACGUUAAAUAUAUACUACUUUAGAGUUCAUAGAAAAUGUAUACACAUAUAUACGUACCAUACAAUAUAUGUACUACUUUAAAUAAUAUACAUACAACAUAUAAACACUAUAUAUAUAUACUACUUUAUAAAAUAUAUACACAUGCAUACAUUAAAUAUAUACUACUUUAGAGUUCAUAGAAAAUGUAUACACAUAUAUACGUACCAUACAAUAUAUGUACUACUUUAAAUAAUAUACAUACAACAUAUAGACACUAUAUAUAUACUACUUUAUAAGACAUAUACACAUGUAUACCUUAAACAUAUAUUACUUUAGAAUCUAUAGAAAAUACAUACACAUAUAUACAUACCAUACAAUAUAUGUACUACUUUAAAAAAUAUGCUACUUAAUAUAAUAAAUUAAUAAUACUUGAGGUUUUGAACUUAAAAGAAAUUUAUUUUUUCAUUAUGUGUAUAUAUGAUUAUACGUUUGUUAUGUUUAAUUGUCUAUUACUUAGUGUAAAGUUUGAUAGUAAAUUAGUAAUAUAUUAAAACUAAGUAUUUAAUUUAAACUAGAAAUUCAAUUUAAAUGAAAAAAAUUACAAAGUAAGGAGUGAGUGAAUGUUAUAUUUUAUUGAUUGUAAAAUGAUCCAAAAUUUAUAAUGUACAUGAAUGAAAAAUCUACAAAUUUUGUAUCACUUUUUUCAACUCAUCUAUGUUAAUAUUAACGGAAACUGGCAUAGGAUAGUCAAAAUCAAUGGGGGCAAAACCAUGCAUUGGACUUGAUUGUGUUGAGUUCUCCCUUGAAGUUAUAAUUUCUUCAAGAUUCUGUUCGUCUUUCGGUUCCACCUCUCUGUUCUGCUCUAAUGCAAUAUCAAAGGCAAACCAGAACAUUCAUAGAAUUGCUUCCCAUUGAGUAUAGUUGUCUCUAAGCUGUUGUCGUCCCUGACUAAAAGUGUUCUCUGAUGCAACGGUUGACAUUGAAACAUUCAAUAUAUCUCUAGCUAAUCUUGAAAGCACAGGAUAUUUUCUUUCAUUAUUCUUCCACCAAUCUAACGUGUUGAUCCGUCAUCUACGAUCCUCUAUCGGCGUUCGAAGAUAAUACUUAAGCUCUUCCCGAGAAGUUGUUAUGUAAGUUUCCGCCUCAACAUUGUUCCAAACAUUUAACUCAUAAAAGUAAUCAGAAAAACCACUAUUUGCCAGCCUUUUAGAAGAAGAUGGAUCCUCGGGAGGAUGAGGGGCGAUAACUUGAGUGAUAUUUAUGUACAACUAUAUCAAGUAAAUCAACAUAAUGGUUAUAGAAUAUUUGUAUAUAAAUGUUCACAUCACUCAUAGCCGUAAACAAAUCUGGUUGUUCUUCAUCUUCAGAUUCAGAUUCAGCAUUUAUCUCUAAGUUAGAAUAAAUAAGAGAACUAAAGUGCCACAUAGUAUUAUAUUUCAUACAUGGAUUUAGUAUAGCACCAAUCAAGUAAAUAGGGGAGAAUCGAAAAAAAAUAUUUCUUAAAUUUAGAAAACAUAGCACUAACAGCUUCUUUGUAACCUUCUUUAUUCUUAUAUUCUUUGAGUAAAACAGAAAUAUCGGCUAUAUAUGUUAAACUAUUACAAAUAGUAGGAUAACAAGCACCGAAAAAUUCAACCGUAGCUAUAUAAAUUUGUUUCAAAAACUUAACAAGAUCAUCAAUUACAACUCAAUCAGAAUCAUGUAGCAUACAUUCAGCCGAAUCAGCAAAUGAACUAAAAUAUUGGUUAAAAGUUAGUGUAAUCGAAACUCUAUAAGCAUGACAAGUUUUUAAAUAAGCAUGUGUACCAUUUCAUCUAGUAUCACAUUUUUUAGGCAUUAAUAUCGGUCUAAGUCCAUUUUGUUCACAUUUAACUUUAAAUUUUCUAAUUCUUUUUUUUUUCCGAUUAUUUUCUUGAAUAAAGUCAACAACAAGUCGGAUUUUUUCAAUCUAAAGCUCAAAAAGUUCAAGACCAUCUCUUACAAUUAAAUUAUAUAUAUGACAAACACACUUAACAUAAAAUAUUUCAGGUAACGGCGGAGAGAGAUUAACUUUUAACUUUUUAAUAGCAGUUUUGUUGUUAGAAGCAUUAUCAAAAGCAAUACAUAAGACUUUUCUUUCAAUACCAUAAAAUUCUGUAACUUUACUAAUCGAUUCAGCAAUAAAUUUUCCAGUAUGUCUACGAUCUUCAUCAUACAAAAAAGUUAGAAUACGUUUUUGCAUAACAAAAUUAUUAUCUAUUCAGUGACAAGUAAUAGUUAAAUAAUCAUUUUUAUUAACAACACGACCAAUAUCAGAAGUUAGAGUCAUUCUACAUUAAAUAUUUUUUAACAAUGUAGAUAAAUAUAAACAUAUUGUAAAUGAAAUCUAAAAAUAUUGGCCCGACAAGUACUUCUAGGAAUACCAUUAAACAUAGGAUUAUAAAUUGCUUGAAUAUAAUGAAUAAAAGCAUCCGAAAAAGGAAAAAUGAAAGGCAAACAACCCACAACUACCAUUUUUGCUAUUUCUUUCCGGUCCCUCAAUUAUUAUAAUUCUUAGUUAAUUGACCGAUUGUUGGGUUUAUUCUAAUUUGUGUUGGCGCACCAACAACCUCACCACCUUUUGCAAUAAGAAACUCUCUAACGUGAUUAUCUCUUAAAUGUCUCAUUAACGAACCCGUGCUCCCUUGAUUUCCUCCUCUUUUAUGCUCAUAUACCUGUUGACAAAUAUUGCAUUGUAUCUUAGUUUUUCUUUCUAUAGAUGUAAAAAAUUCCCAUGCAAUACUAGUUUUUCUACGACUUUUAGGGACAACAGGAGGACGGGGAGGAAGAUUAACCGAUUUAGAUCUAACGUUAGCAUUUCCUACUGCGGGUGUCUCACCAAUAUUUUUAUCUAAAUUAGCCGCAUUUACUUCAUUUUCUUCUUCUUUACCAUAAUUUUCCCGAGCUCCUAAAUAAUCCAUAUUGUGAGCACCUACACCUAUUUCUUCCUCAAAAGGUUGAUUAAGUGGUACCUGAGGCACACGGGUAUAUCUACUACUUGAACUGCCUCUACUGCCACUAAUUCACUUUUUACUACUACUACUACUACUACUACUACUACUACCACUUUUGGGAUAAAUUUUUUUGACACUUUUAUCGAAGUUUCUUAAUUUAUCCAUAAUAUAAAUCAUACUAAAAAAAAUUCAAAAUACACAAAAAUAAUAAAAAUAAAUAUUCAAUAAUUAAUACACUAAUUAAAAAUUAAAAGUACGAGAUGGAACGACAAUACUAAAUUUUAAAAGUAUCCGAAAGUUGCGACUUUAGAAAACUUCCACUCGUAUUUGUAAUCGCAAAAUUAAAAAAUAAAAUUGACCAUUUUAAGAGAUAUAUAGAAUAUUUGAGAGAAUGAAAAUUGUAGAAAAUGAUUUGACAGUGUAGGGUAUUUAUAAUAAUUUUUUUGGAGUUAAAAAAAUAUUUUAAAUUAAUAUAUAUUUUUUUAAAUGGGCCAAAAUAGCCGUUUGAGGCUCCAAAAGGCUAUAUAGACAUUGGGCCCAACUACUAUUUUGGCCUAAACGGCUAAUUUCCCACAAUUUCAAAAAAAGAAUAUAACCGAACCAGGCAACCGGUGGGUCUGGUCCGGGUCAACUAGGCCCAAAAUAAAAAAUGGACCAGCCCAGGACCGCUAGCCCGUUAGACCAUGGGCUCACCGGGUCGGGCGAGCUUACCGGGCCGGAUCAACCCAGCCCAUUUGACAGACUCAGUCUAAAGAGAUAACCAAAAUAAAGUAUAUAAGGAAUGCCACAUUGCCCGAAAGAUGGAAAAUAACAAUAAGAUGACCCGUGUCAGAUAGAAAAUGGAGUGCUCACCCUUGGAUCAAAAUCUGCUAUCAAACUCUAGAGGCGAGGUCGUGCUUGAGCCUCUGGAACACUUUCUGUACCCAACAAAAUAAGAGUACAGGGUAGUAUCAGUACAAACCUCCACUAUGUACUGGUAGGUAUCAUAGGCCAACUUAACUUAAUAACAUACACACAACAUAAAUCAAAUAACAAGUAGACAAACAUCAUCAUAUAACAAAUUCUCAAUGAAUCAACAAUACAGCAGUAACAGGUCAAAUAGUGCUCACAAAUAAGCCAUAUAACCAUCAAGAGUAUCAACCAUACUGUAAACAUCCACAAAAUCAACACAAAUAUGUACACACAUGCUAUGAGACUUAUUUUUGCCCAAAUAGUCAUGACCUGCAGGGAACAGUCUAUGUUCAUGUACCAUACCAGUGUAGUACUAGAUCCAACAUAUACAUAUUUGUACCGGCGUGGUACCCAAUCCAACAUAUACAUGUCUAUACCGGCUUGGUACCCAAUUCAAUAUAUACAUAUCCAUACCGGCGUGAUACCCAAUCUAACAUAUACAUAUCCGUACCGGCGUGGUAUCGAUCCAACAUAUACAUAUCCAUAUCGGCGUGGUACCCGAUACACUAUAAACAAGUAUUAUAAAUAUCAAAUUUACUCUACCUCAAAGCAUACAACAUGAUGUACCAAGUUUACAAGUACACUUAAAAUCAUAAGACAAUUCCAUCAAGUAAAUUUCACUAAUCAUUUAUACACGCAUCAAUAAUUCAAACAUCAAUAAUUUUAAGCAUGUCCAAAUACCAAUCAACAAGUAUCCAAUUUAGGAGCAUAAAUGCAAUUAAACUGAGUCUAAACUCCAAUUAAACCGUAACCUACCUCAAUCAAGGAACCCGAAUAUCACUAGUCCACAAGUGUCUUGCCCUUCCUCAAAUUUUUGAAACGUUCAAAAAUCUGUUCAAAUAUAUAAUCCUCAUGAGAGUUCGAAUUUAAUAACGCCCUCUUUAUAAAUUCUUACUUUAAAAAUUCUAGAUCGAAAGCCAAAUUUUCUAUAAUAAAAGAAACUAAACUGUAAUUAGUGGCUAUAAGGUCGUAACUACUGAAAUUAGCAAAUCCUAAUUAUCAAAUCUUCGCAUUAUUCAUAAUUCUAAGGCACUGAUUAUGCCAUUAUGUACAAUAAACAGAAAAGGACAAAAUUCUUAUAUUGUAACCCAUUAAUCCUAAGGAAAAGUAAUUACAAUCUGACAGAAAUUUAUAUGUUCAUAACAUCUGUUACCGCCACUUUCAAUUCAUUGAGUUUUGUCUUUCUGCCAACCAUUGGCAUUCUAAUUGCCAUAACUACGUCCAACCAUUAUCGAUUGGCGUAGCUUCUAGCCCAACAUUGACCACUUACUCGUUAUUAUUCAAUCUAUUCAACUUUCUCAACCACUAACAAUUAUUAACAUUACCAACAUAUAUGUAUUUCAUUUAUAGAAAGGGGAAUUCUCACAUGAAAUUCGUUCCUCACCUCUUUACAUUGCAACAGUUUUCCACCCCCUAUUUAUUUUUGGCUAUCAUUCAAAAGGGUUAAAUCCUAUUAACUGAAAGUCAUGUAAUAUCUGAUAGUAAGAAGAUUGUAGUUUUGACCUACUAAACCAUUAAUUAAAUUAAUUAUCUAAAAUACCUUAAACUUUUUAAUAAAUUCUCAAAAUUUGUUCGGAAUCUCAUAAAAUAAAUUAAAUAUGUAAGUUAACUAUAAAUUACAUUCCGAAUCUAUUGAAAACACUAAUUCGGGGUCAUCUUGAUCAAAGAUUGAUCGCAGUCGAAUUUUAUUUUCUUAAAUUCAGUAACCUGACUAAUGACUUAAGUCACUUCCGAACAACUCAAGAACCGAUACUGCUCAUUCACCGUAAGUUAUAAUUCAUCUACAUAAACUACGAGGAGAGCUAAAAUAGGAAAAAUGAGAAAAUUUCACAAACGAUUGGGUGAGUCAUUACAUCAAAUACCAAUUAAACAACCGUUUAUUCCCGAACGACAACAAGUAACAAGGAGGGAAAACAGGAAUUACCUGAAUCAACAAAAAGUUGUGGAUAUUUGCUACCAUGUCUUCUUCGUUAUCCCAAGUGUCCUCCUCAAUAGGACGGUUCUUCCACUGGACCUUUACAGACGCAAUCUCCUUAGUCCUUAACUUACGGAUAUCUCUAUCAAUAAUAGCAACAGGUUCGUCUUCAUAAGAGAGGUUUUCAUCUAACAAGACCGAAUCCCAAUGAAUUAUGUAGUUACCUUCACCAUGAAACUUCUUUAACAUAGAAACAUAAAAUACAAGGUGAACUCCCGAUAAGCUUGGAGGCAAUGCCAACCUGUAGGCCACCAGACCAAUGUGAUGAAUAAUUUCAAAUGGUCCAAUAUAUCUAGGACUGGGCUUACCUCGCUUUCCAAAAUACAUGACACCCUUCAUGGGUGAAUGAUACAAGUCAAAUGGCCGCCUUAGCUUUUGAUGACAUCUUUGGAGGCCAACACUUAAAGGCUCAAGACUUGAUCUCCCUGAGAGCACAAAGAUAUGCAAGGAAGGUUCGUUUUGAGCAUGAAUUGAAGCAAUCCCGUGUAUGGAAGGUUGCUUGGAAGCUUACAUUGAUGUUAACCCGAGAACCACAAGCCUUGAAGACUUAAAACUCUCGGGUUUGGACCACCUUUGUUGGUUCACGAUUUUGGUUCCCUUUACUAAGGGCAUUUUGGUCACUUAGCCUUAAGGGCAUUUUUGACAAUUCAUAUUGUCUUCCAACACAUCAAGGCCACCCUUGGUCAUUAAGGGUAGUGUGGUCUUUCUGUCUCCCUUUGUAAUAUACUAUAAGUAGUACAUUUUAGGUCUUUUCUCUUUAGUUUAUGAAUUAUGAAAUAUUGAAACAUUCAAAGUCCUCUAUUUGAGAGUAGAACACCGUAGUUUAGUCUUAGUUAGGGCUUGGAAUAGCCAUUGUAGUUUAGGGCUUGGAAAAGCUAGUAUUGAUCUUUGCUUGAAAACGGUGGAUCUUGAGGUGCGUUGAUUUCCUUGGCGGUCACCGUAAGAGUGUGGUGUUGAUUAUUAUAUUCAUUAGGGGUUAGUGUUGAAAUACUCUUGGUUAUUAAUCUUGUAAUAAUAUUUGUCUCACUAUCUAUCCUUUUCAUUCUUGCAAACUUGUUGUGUUGUUCUUGUUCUCUACUCUUGUUUUGUGUUUGUUCUUGUUGGCUGAAAUUGUUGCCUUCUUGUUCUUUAUUUUAUGUAUUGUUAAGCUAGUUUGGGUUGGCUGAAAUAGGUGUCAAACACCUUGUUAUCUUCUCAUUCUAGUGUUGUGUUGUGAAUUCGAGAGAGGUCUCUAAUCGGUCCAAGGAUCUUAGUGAUUUGUGUACUGUUUUGGAGUAUGUUUGUAGACUGUUUUGAGUCAUUUCGUGAGUUUCUUAUUUUUCUUGUAUCAUUUAAUAUUAAAGCAUGGCUUGAUCUUGUUCCCACAAGAUCAAUCUUGGGCUUUUUAGUGAAAAAAUAAAAAAAAGUGUUCUAAACUAAAAAUUUCAGAAAAAAAUAGCAAUCUGUCCGUGUUGUGUUCUUGGCCAAAAAGUGUGUUCUUGUUGUGUCUUGGCCGAGAUUUUUACUUGUAUUUGUUGUCUCUAAGUGUUAGUUUUGUUCCUCACUAACAUAUUGAGUCUAUCUAGAUUUGAGCUUUAAAAAUUGAUGUUGUUGUUGUGAACAAGAAGUGACUGUGAGUUGAAGUUGUUGUUCUAACUUGGCCAUGUGGUGACCUUGUUGUUGGGCGUUGGUUGGUGUUUUUGUUGAUCGUGGUUGUUGUUGUUGCAUUCUUGUUGUUCAUCACAACCUUCAUUUAGUGUUAAAAUAGAAAAUACAACACCAAAAAAACUUGGCCGUUUGUUGGUGGUUUUAUUAUUGGUCUUCUUGUUGUGGAAUUGGGCAUUGGAACUUGUUGUUGUUCUUGGGAGAUUGUUGUUGGUUGUUCUUGUUGUGGUGGUUGUGUUCUUGAAGUUCUUCACCAUAUUCAUCACCUUGUUAACAUAAAGUGAAUGAUAGAUCCUAAAAGGUGAAGGAAGGAUGUGUAAGUAAUUGUUAGUCUUGAAAGACCCCCAACCAUCAAAAGACUUUACAUCACUUCUCAACCACUUUUCCAUGAAACAAGGGUCCAUGUUUUAAGGAAAAGUACUACAAAAGUCAAGUCUUGAAAUUUGAAACUUGAAAAACGGCUCCAAGACUUAUUCUUCCCUCCUUAAAAUAAAUUUCACCAAUCCAAAUUCAAACUGGUUAUGACUUGGACUUUGGAAAAUAAAAAUUGUAGAAACCGCAACUAAUACGUGGCUGCCAUGUCAUCAAGUUACUAUUCACACUUCAAAUUUUGGCUCAAAUUUUGGAUUUCAUAGUUUUCUUUUGUUGUUCCUUAGUUUCAAUUUCCUUGGUUCCAAUACUAAUUGGCAAACUAGUACUCAUCUACUAGAUUGUUAGUUAGUCUUUGUGUUCGUUCAUUCGUGUUUGGCAUUUGUUAUGUGCUUUUCUCGUCUUUAACUCGUCGUAACUUCUUUGUUUCAAGUUCAUAAGUAAAUUUUAUUUUGUGUCUUAAGUCAAUCAAACAAGAAUCUAUUCCGGUCGCCAAGUAGAAUUGACAUCUUAUUGACUAUCGGAGUAUAAGCAACUUUUAAUAUUCGCCGCUCCAAUUGUGAGAAUCACAAAGGUGAGUGUAUAUGAGUAUUGGUAAGGAGCUUUUACUACUAAUCUUGUUUGUUGUGUUGUUGUUUAUUGUCGUCUUUUGCUUUAGGUACCAUGGAUGCCACUAAUCUCGAUGCCACAUUUGAUCGCAUCAAUGACGAUCUUGAAGAUAUGAAAUGACACGUUAAAAGGCUACGCCAAUUGUUGCCUAAACUUUUCCCACAAAAUCCAAUUCCUAUUAUCCAAACAACUUGCGAUGAGAGCUUUCCGAAGGAAGUCGCUACCCAAGUUUGUGAAGGACCUUCACACCGAGGUAAAGACAAACAUACUCAUGAACUUCAAGGUAAAAUAGCUAACUCUUACACUUUUGUGCAUGUGAAUGAUGAUCGUGUGACUAAUAAGCUGUUGAGUGUGAGUAGUAGCUUACCUACAUGUGAGUAUAUUGAUUAUUUGCCAUUUGUGGAUGAUGUACAUGGUGUGUGAGUGGAUACACUAGUUGAUCCUAUAGAUGACCGAAUUGACUCUUCUUGCAAGAUCAAUUUGUGUCCACCUAGUGUUGAAGCUAUUGUGUUGAAUGAAAGUACAUCGUCGUGUGAAAAAUAUAUUGACCAACUUGUGUGUAAAACUUACCCACCACUUGAGGUUAUGUGUGAUAUGAUUAAUGAAUCUUAAGUGAGUGAAAAAUUUGAAAAUGUUGGUCAAAGAAAUAGGAGUGAACCCGAGAGCUCUUCUUGGGGUAAUUUUGUGCUUGAAACCUCCUUGAAACUCGAUAUUGAUCUUUUAGAGAGUGAAGAACUUGUUCCAAAUUUUCUAGUGGAUUGGAUAAUGCUCUCUUUAGGUAUAAUGUUUGGUUUGAAGAUGAUAUAAACACUCCUAAUGAACCUAGUGGUGAACAUGAUGGUAUAGCUUGCCUUGGAAGCUAUAGCCGAUAUGCUAACCCACUAUGGUGUGACAACAUUCCCCCUAAAGAUGAAAAUCUCUUUUUGAAAGAUGAGAGUACUAUUACGGGUAAGGAAUAUGUAGUCCUUCUUGAAAACCUGAGGGCAAAGGUGUCAUUGACUCCUUGGGAUAAUGUUUCUAAAUUUGUAUCCUUGCUCGACACACUUGUGCUUACAUUACAUGAAUACCAACUUGAGGAUGCCAAGUUGCCUACUUGCUUGAAGGAAAGAAUGUGUAUGUGUUCAAAUGUCUUAUCUUCACCCGUGUAUACCUUUACACUUGGUUCUUUCCUGUACUACCUCUUUUCCUAUGAUGACAUCCAUGCUAGUUAUGGAUUUGUAUUAUGUAGAGGUAGAAAACUUGUUGGUUGGUUCACUUGUUCUAAUGACUAUGUUAUGUGUGUUGGGUGGACUUUAAAACCAAUAGUGGCACAACGAUUGAUGAGGUCACUUGAAGAGGUAAUGAAACAAUUAUGCUUUAUGGUCCCUAAGUUACGGGUGGCCUUACCCUUGGGACUUCGGGAUACCAUUGAGUCCUUUGUAGUUUCUUUAUCUCUUGAUACUUGUCAUAACCAUGCCCUUUGUGAUGUUUUUGCUAAGAUUUUCAUGACUAACACCACGGAUUCAUGGUUAUAUUUUAAGUAUGUCCCACCUUUGCAUGAUGAUGGUUUUUAUUAUACUAACCCUAACCCUCAUGCCUUGAGGAAGUUGUGCUUGUUUUUCCUUUCUCUUAUUUUGCAAGGUAUGGAUUCGAGGUUGAAUCCUUUUUAAGGAGGGGAGGAUGAUACAAGUCAAAUGGCCGCCUUAACUUUUGAUGACAUUUUUGGAGGCCAACACCUAAAGGCUCAAGACUUGAUCGCCCUGAGAGCACAAAGAUAUGCAAGGAAGGCCCGUUUUGAGCAUGAAUUGAAGCAAUCCCGUGUAUGGAAGGUUGCUUGGAAGCUUACAUUGAUGUUAACCCGAAAACCACAAGCCUUGAAGACUUAAAACUCUCGGGUUUGGACCACCUUUGUUGGUUCACGAUUUUGGUUCCCUUUACUAAGGGCAUUUUGGUCACUUAGCCUUAAGGGCAUUUUUGACAAUUCAUAUUGUCUUCCAACACAUCAAGGCCACCCUUGGUCAUUAAGGGUAGUGUGGUCUUUCUGUCUCCUUUUGUAAUAUACUAUAAGUAGUACAUUUUAGGUCUUUUCUCUUUAGUUUAUGAAUGAUGAAAUAUUGAAACAUUCAAAGUCCUCUAUUUGAGAGUAGAACACCUUAGUUUAGUCUUAGUUAGGGCUUGGAAUAGCCAUUGUAGUUUAGGGCUUGGAAAAGCUAGUAUUGAUCUUUGCUUGAAAACGGUGGAUCUUGAGGUGCGUUGAUUCCCUUGGCGGUCACCGUAAGAGUUUGGUGUUGAUUAUUAUAUUCAUUAGGGGUUAGUGUUGAAAUACUCUUGGUUCUUAAUCUUGUAAUAAUCUUUGUCUCACUAUCUAUCAUUUUUCAUUCUUGCAAACUUGUUGUGUUGUUCUUGUUCUCUACUCUUGGUUUGUGUUUGUUCUUGUUGGCUGAAAUUGUUGCCUUCUUGUUCUUCAUUUUAUGUAUUGUUAAGCUAGUUUGGGUUGGCUGAAAUAGGUGUCAAACACCUUGUUAUCUUCUCAUUCUAGUGUUGUGUUGUGAAUCCGAAAGAGGUCUCCAAUCGGUCCAAGGAUCUUAGUGAUUUGUGGACUGUUUUGGAGCGUGUUUGUGGACUGUUUUGAGCCACUUCGUGAGUUCCUUGUUUUUCUUGUAUCAGUGAAACUUUGAGCAACACUUGCUCACCCUCCAUAAAGUGCAUAUCUCUAACUUUCCGAUCCGCAUACUCUUUUUAUCUACUUUGAGCCGCUAUUAGUUCUUCCUGAAUGAACCUGACAUUCUUUAACGAUUCUCUUAGUAGAUCAGUACCCCAUAGUCUCACCUCAAAAGCAUCAAACCAUCCAAUGGGAGAUCUAUACCUUCUCCCAUACAAGGCCUCAAACGGUACCAUAUCGAUACUCAAAUGAUAACUGUUAUUAUAUGCAAACUCGGCCAAAGGUAGAAACUGAUCCCAAUGACCUCCAAAAUCCAUCACAUACGCAUAAAACAUAUCCUCCAACACCUGAAUCAUUCACUCGGACUGCCCAUUAGUCUAAGGGUGAAAAGCUAUACUAAGUUCCAACCUUGUACCUAACUCCUAAUGCAAUUUCUUCCAAAAGGUAGAGGUAAAUUUAGUAACCCUAUCCGAGAUAAUAGAAACUGGGACCCCAUGCAACCGAACAAUCUCCUUAAGAUAAAUCUUGGCCAACUUUUCUGCAUUAUAAGUCACCUGAACUUGAAUGAAAUGUGCAGACUUCGUCAACCUAUCGACAAUAACCCAUAUAGAAUCAUACUUUCCCAAAGUCUUGGGAAGACCAACAACAAAAUCCAUAGCUAUCCUCUUUCAUUUCCAUUCAGGAAUGAGCAUCCUCUGAAGAGUACCACCAGGCUUCUGGUGCUCGUAUUUUAUCUAUUGGCAAUUCUGGCAUUUAGCAAUAAAAUCAACUAUGUCAUGCUUCAUCCGACUCCACCAGUAAUGUUGCCUCAAAUCACCAUACAUCUUAGUCGCUCCAGGAUGUAUAAAAUACUUUGAACAAUGAGCUUCAGCUAGAAUAAUAGGAAUCAAAUCAUCAAUACGAGGUACACAAACUCGCCCCUUAAUCCGCAACACACCGUCAGCAUCAAGAAUGGCCUCCUUGGCCUCACCCUGCAAAACCUUAACAUGAAUCUUGCUCAACUUAGUAUCCUCAAAUUGUUUAGCCUUGAUUUGAUCAAUAAAUGUGGACCUUGCCUCAAUGCUGGCUAGAAUUCCUCCUUUCCCAUUCACUUCAAGUCGAACAAACUUUUUGCUAGAGUCUGAAUCUCUCCAGCCAACGAACACCUGCUAGCAUUCAGAUAAGCCAAACUACCUAUACUUGCUAACUUCCUUCUCAAUGUAUUAGGGACCACAUUAGCCUUCCUCGGAUAGUAGAGAAUGGUGAUAUCAUAAUCUUUAUGCAACUCUAUCCAUCUACGCUAUCUCAAAUUCAAAUCCCUCUGCGUGAAUACAUACUCUAAAUUGCGGUGAUCAAUGAACACUUCAAAACGAGCCCCAUACAAGUAAUGCCUCCAUAUCUUAAGAGUAAAAACUACAACAACUAACUCCAAAUCAUGAGUGGGAUAAUUCUUCUCAUAGGGCUUUAAUUGCCUCGAAGCAUAAGCAAUAAAAUUCUUUUCCUGCAUCAACACAACACCUAAACCAAAAUGUAAGGUGUCACAAUAAAUAAUAAAAUCCUUACCUUUUAUCGGCAAGGCAAGAAUAAGAGUGGUAGUCAACAAGGUCUUGAGCUUUUGAAAGCUCUUCUCACACCCAUUCGACCAAAUAAAAGGUACAUCCUUUUGGGUCAAACCGCGUCAUAUGAGUAGGAAUAGAAGAGGGGGUCAAACCGCGUCAUAUGAGUAGGAAUAGAAGCAAACCUCUUCACGAACCUAUGAUCAUAACUCGCUAAGCCAACAAAGCUACGAACCUCCGUGACUGAAGUAGGCCUAGCCCAAUUCUUAACCACUUCAAUUUUUUGAGGGUCUACCAUCACCCCAUCCUUCGAAACCACAUGCCCCAAAAAGGAUACAGUACAGAAGACAACCAGAACUCACACUUAGAAAACUUUGCAUAAAGUUUCUUAUCUAUUAACAAACCCAAAACAAUCAUUAAGUGAUUCUCAUGCUCCUCUUUACUCUUAGAUUAAACCAGAAUAUCAUCAAUAACUACAAUCAUGAAAGAAUUCAAGUAGGGUUUAAAUAUUCCAUUCAUCAAACUCAUAAAAGCAGCUGGGGCAUUAGUCAACCCAAAAGACAUCACAAGAAACUUAUAGUGCCCAUACCUGGUUCGGAAUACAUUCUUAGAAAUAUCGUCAGGCUGAAUCUUAAGCUAAUAAUACCCAGACCUCAAAUCAAUCUUAGAAAAUACAGAUGCACCCUGCUACUGGUCAAAUAAAUCAUCGAUACGGGGCAAAGGAUAUUUGUUACGGAUCGUAACUUUGUUCAACUGCCUUUAGUAUAUACACAUCUGAAGACUACCAUUCUUCUUCUUUGCAAAGAGGAUAGGAGCACCCCAUGGAGAGACACUCGGAUGGAUAAAGCCCUUACUAAACAAAUCCUGCAACUAAGCCUUUAGCUCCCUCAACUCAGCCGGAGCCAUCCUAUAGGGAGGAAUAGAAAAAGGACGAGUACCUGUCUCUAGAUCAAUACAAAAAUUAAUGUCAUAGUCUGGUGGCAUACUAGGCAAAUAUGCAAGAAAAACCUCUUGGAAUUCACACACCAUAGAAACUGACUUAAUAGAUUGGAUCUCUGCGGAAGUGUCCCGAAGAUGUGCUAGAAAGGCCAAACGACCUCUCCCAAUUAACCUUUUUACACGCAGAAAGAAAAUAUGUUUCAUUAGAGCAGGACUAUAAUCCACCCCCCACUCAAGUCUAUCCAUUCCCAUCAUAGCCACCAUCACUGUCUUAGCAUGAUAAGGAGACAACCAACUCAUACCCAAAAUUAUGUCAAAAUCUAUCAUGUCUAGAAUCACUAAAUCUGCCCAAGUUUGAUACCCCAUAAACAUAACAAAAUAAGAACAAUAAACCCUAUCAGCAACAAUAGAACCACCAACAAGAGACACGUGAAUCGAAAAGUCAAGCAAAUCACACACCAUGUCCAAUCCCACAACAAAAUUAGAAGAUACGUAUCAAAAAGUAGAGCCAGGAUCAAAUAAUACAAUGACCAUCUGGUCACGGAUAAGAAUAGUACCUAUAAUAACAAUGUCUGAUGCCUCUACCCCAGGCCUUCCUGGAAAGGCAUAGAUAUGGGCCCUACCACCAUUCUGAGCAUCACCCUUGCCAAGCUGAGAACCACCUUGAUGGGGUAGAUUACGACCCCUACCUGCUUGAUAACCACCGCAACCACUCUGUGGACCACCUCUACCAUUACCACCACCUCUCCUACCUGCUAGAACUAGAGCUCUAGGAGUCUGCUAUUGGCUAGACUGAUCAAAAUGCCUCACAUUAGGACAAAACCUCCUAACGUGACCCACUCUUCCACACUCGUAACAUAUACGGUCCAAGGUAGGCCACUAAGAUUAUGAAGAUGAAGUGAGGUAACCACCAAAGUUUAAAAAUGCUGGCUAGCUCUUGACGGACUACCCACAGACACCAACAUCGCUUACUGAAUGGGGCGGGUAGAGUAUCCAUAUGCACUCUAACCCCUGGAAUAAAAACCACUGAAACUUCCCCCUCUACGAGCCUUCUUUUCUAAUGCCUUGGCAUAGCCCUCUUGUCUUACGCCCUCCACCUUCUUGACAAAAUAAACCAUCUUCUGGAAAGACCUACCUGAAGAUGUCAUCUGAAGAGCAAAAAUCUAGAGACCUGUAUUCAACCCCUUCAUAAAUAGACGGAUCCUCUCCUUUUCAAUUUUAAGAAAGUGAGAUGCAUACCGAGACAAUAAAUGAAAUUUGGCCUUAUAAGCCACAACUGAGAUAUUUCUCCGCUUAAGAUUAGCAAACUCAUCCCUUUUUCUAUCUCUCAAAGUACGAGGCACGUACUCUUUUUAGGAAAAUUAAGUAAAACUGUGUCCAAGUCAAGAGAGGCAAAGCUGCAUCCCUACACUCAACAUAGGCCCUCCACCACAUCUUAGCAUCCCCUGAAAUUGAAGAGUAACCAAUUCUACACCAUACCUUUCAUCUACCCCCAUCAUGCACAGCCCUGAUGACAGUUAAUAAUAAACUCGUAGGCAUCCUCCGACUCAGUUUUCAUGAAAAAUAGGAGGCUUCAUUUUGAUAAUCUUACAGAACAACUCUUGCUCUUCUCCGGUCAUAAUCGGGACUACUAUUUGUCUUGGAAAAAUAUCUGAUUAUGAUGUUUCUUUCAUCUGAGAGGCUACAACAGCAACAUGUUGCAUCCCAUGCUGAACUGUGGGUGAUGCAUGCAUAGUCCCUGAUCCUGCCAAACCACUCAAAAAAUGCAAAACCUGCUGAAUCAUAGCGGAAGACAUUUGAAUCGGAGCUGCACCUCCCUGACUUGGUGAACCCCCAUCAUGAAACGAUACUUGUUCAUUCUACACUAGUAUAGCUCCAUCCUCUGCUACUUCACGAAAAUACUCAUGUGGGGGAGGAGAUACUAGCCUCUCUCUAGCUGGCCUCGCAGCCUGAGCUCUGCCCCUGGUGGGCACUGCUCUCUUUCCUCUGCCACGUCCUCCUCUUGCCUAGCCUCUAUCGUGACUGCUGCCUCAGCAACCACUACAGGCACCUCAACUCUUGCCUCAUUUGUUCGUAUUCUUACCAUUUGCGAGAAAAGAGUGAAAGAAGUUAAAUACCAAUUGGAAUCGCUAGAUAUCAAUUGAAAUCAAGCAAUAGCACAUAAUAAAGAAGAAUUUGAAUUUUCGUCUUGUAUUGUACCCUUUCGAAGAAAAGUACAGAUGUCUCCAUAUCAUUUUGCAAGACUCUACUAGACAUGUUCUUAUACAAUGAGAUUGACGAACCUAGGAUUCUGAUUCCAACUUUGUCAUGACCCAAAUAGCCAUGUGUGGUACCCACACUAACCUUCCUGUGGGAGAACCAUCUAAAUCAAACCGUUACCCAAUCACUUAGUCAAUAUUAAAAUGAUAUUUUCAUAAAAUCAUCUUAACAAUACUGAAAUUCCCAAGACCCGAAAGUCAUCGUACAAGAUCUACUAACAAAGAUCACGUCUAAAGAGAUAACCAAAAGAAAGUAAAUAACGAAUGUGACAUUGCCCAAAAGAUGAACAAUAAUAAUAAGAUGACCUGUGGCAGUCUGGAGACGGAGUGCUCACCCUUGGAUCAAGAUCUGUUAUCAAAAUCUAGAGGUGAGGUCGUGUUUGAGCCUUUGGAAUACUUUCUGCACUCAACAAAAGAAGAGUACAGGGUAGUAUCAGUACAAACCAUUAUGUACUGGUAGGUAUUAUAGGACAACUCAACUUAAUAACAUGUACACAACAUAAAUCAAAUAACAAGUGGACAAGCAUCAUCACAUAACAAAUUCUUAAUGAAUCAACAAUACAACAAUAACAGGUUAAACAGUGCUCACAAAUAAGCCACAUAACCAUCAAGAGUAUCAACCAUACUAUAAACAUCCACAAAAUCAACACAAAUAUGUAAACAUAUGCUAUGAGACUUAUUUUUGUCCAAAUAUUCAUGACCUGCAGGGAACAGUCUAUUUUCAUGUACUGUACCAACGUGGUACACGAUCCAACAUAAACUAGUAUUAUCAAUAUCAAAUUUACUCUACCUCACAGCAUACAACACGAUGUACCAAGUUUACAAGUACACUUAAAGUCAUAAGACAAUUCCAUCAAGUAAAUUUCAAUAAUCAUUUAUACACGCAUCUGUUAUACCCCAUUUUAAGAUGGGUCAAACCGAGGUACAAUAUAUUGGAAAAUUUUUGAGUUAAAUAAGAAAGUCGCCACCAAAUUAGUUCUACGGUGAAUUAGGACACCUAUUAUAAACUAUGUGAUUAAAGUAAUUAAAGACUUCAUUUUAAGGUUUACACAACCUGAAAUUCUAGGUAAGGAUUCUAAUUAUCCUAAAGGGAAGGGAUUAGGCACCCUAAAGGAUCCAUUAACUACGGUUAACCGGCCAAACUUAAGUUAGAUAAGGAAAUCAAAGCUAUGUUAAGAGGGAUAUGAAAAAAAAUAUAUUAUAUACAUUUUAUUAAAAUAAAACACGCCAAUUAUUUAUAAAACAAAAAUUAAAAACUAAAAAUUUUUCCACUUUUGAAAGAUUAUCAAAGAUAACUCCUAAAAAUAAUGUAGCCUUAUUGUUUUCAAAAGAAGAUUAUUUAAAAUUAUUUUCUUUAAAAAAGCUUUCAAUUAAAAGUUAAUUAUAUGAAGAACUCCUUAUUUUAUUCUAACAAAAUGAGCUCUUUUGCUUUUUUAAAUCAAUUUUUCAUAAAAAUAAGUUAAUUAUCAUACACUAAGUGAAUAGAUAAAAUAUAUAAUUGUUUAGAUAUAAAAUAACUUGAGAAUUUAUUAUUAUUAUGAUGAAGCUAAAAAUGAAUAAAUAUUUUCGUCAUUAGAAAUCCUAAAAGAGGGGCUUGCGAAGUGCCAUCUUUUACUUGAGAUUAAUGAAUAAUAAUAAUCAUGAUAAUAAAUAAAUAAAUAAAUAAAAAAUAGAGUAAAAUUUCAUUUACCAUAUCCAAAUUAGUGAAGCCGAUUUUCCGCAAAAAACUUAUGUUUUAUUAAUCCAAAGUUACUAAUUAGUGAAGAACUAACUGGAUUCUAAAGAUGGGUUAUUAUGUCAUAUUAAAGGAGUAUUAAAGGAUUCUAACAAACUUGACCAUUUAUUCUAAAGGGCAUGGCUUUACCUACCAAAUUUUAACCUUUUAAUGAUAUAAAAUAAAUACCUAAGUCUAUUAUUUGUGCUAAGUUUAGAAUCUAAAGGGGAAAAGGUAACACUUAAACUUAUUAAAAUUAUUUAAAGAAUCACGCUAAUUCAAUUGAGAGACAUACAAAAAAUGCAAAUUUGAAAUAAUAAUGUACAACGUAUUAAACAAAAUAAUAAUAAUGUCUANNNNNNNNNNNNNNNNNNNNGGGAAAGAGGCACUAGACUGCUAGAUGAAAAGGUGUGAUGCAUCUAUUAUCGUUUCUCCGAUUUGGACAGAGACAGAGUCAAGCCAUGAGACUUCAAAUGUGCUCCUGAAUUCACAUGACGCAAAGAAAAAAAUAAUGAUUAGUGACCGAUUGACUAACUAAAAAUAGCAUGAUAAAAUCGAAUAAUGUUAACAAAACAUUUUAAUAACAAAAAGUUUAUAGGAACAAAAUUUUUACGGCUAACAAAAAUAAGUCCAUACAAGAUGCAAGGACGUAAGAAGAGCGUAUGAGCACUUCCACGCACAAAGAGAAGCUUCAACACACACUAAACAUUAUAUCUACAUUGUUUUGGUUAAAUAGGAGAAACAUAUCUAGUGAUACAACCACUAAGGCAACUACUAGAAUGGACAUAAUAUGCCUUGUUACUUUAAUCUUUUCUGAGAAGGGUAACAUUAGGUUAAUACUAAGCCAGUGAUCCAAAUACACAAAUACCAAAAUUCUUACAUCACUUUCAAGUAUUCAAUAGCUAUACUCCUAACAUGUUCACCUGCACGCAACCUAUUAAUCAAAUCUAACAUCUCAAGUAUCAAGACAUGAAAGCAUGAGUUAAGAAUCUUAAACACAAAAUAAGCAGGGAUUUGAGAAAACAGAAGGUGCAAACAAACAGAGAGAUGAAAUUGAAUUGCUGAUUUAAGAGCCAAAUAAUAUGUGACCAAGCCAAUUUUUUAUGCUCAACUUAGAUAAAAUAGACAACCAAGGUUAUGGUUUGUACACAAUUGAUAGCAUUACAAACCAUGUCAAUCCCACAGUGCAAGGAAUAACGCAAAAGCAGAAAAAAGAGGAAAAGAAAAAGGGAAAUCAUCACAUGUUACAUAUGCUUAGAAGACACGAGGCUGCCAUAUAUAUAUAUAUAUAUAUAUAUACUAGGACACAAUCUUCCAAACUUGUUCUUUUCUUAUAAAAAAUGCACAGUAGCACCUAGGCAAGGAAAACUCAUGUAUACAUGUAUUCACAUGACUUCUCGAACUCAGAAUCGUACAUAUCAGGGUAAAGAAAGCGACAACAACACCGGAUAGAUAAGCACCACAUAUUCACGGGAUCAAACUAAGAUGAAAGGAAAGAAUAUUAACAACAAAAUUAAAAGGGGGAAAGGGGCAUUUAGAACAGACUUCGAGUUAAACCAUAUUCCUGACCGAAUUCAAAAUCUAAAUACAUCAUAUAUAUUCACACACAUACAAAACAACAUCACAAGAGUCUGAAUUUUAUUUCUUAUCCGCAAAGUUGAUGAAAAAUCAAUCAAAAAAUUUAAGAAUAUAACAAAAACCGCAUACUCAUCAACCAAACAGGGAAAAAACUGGAGAAAGGAAUAGAGGAAGUUGAUUCGCACCACCAUAAACAACGGAUAACAACACCUCCAUAACCAAGGCCAAAAUUACGUAUUCACCAACAAAUCCACUUCCCAAAACCAAUAACAACGACAUAUAUUUCAUUUAUCCAGAAUCGACAAUAACGAAAACGACACAAGUUUAGCAAAUCGUAUAUUCUCAUAAUCAAGGCAAACAAAAGAGGUGGAUUCGUACCUUUUCUGGGGCAGCAAACUAGGACGACAGGUCGAAGAGCGAUUUCGCCACUAUCUUUGAUUACGAACUCGUCCGAUGAAAGAGAGUCAACGAGAGUGAUGGAAGUAAAUGAAAACAAAGGAAAAUAGAGCCAAGAAAGUAGAGAAAUCAGUGACUAAAGAGUGUGAUCCCCCCAAAAAGAACCCUUUUCUCUUCUACUGAACCCCGUUUUAUAGGGGUUCUUGGAUUGUAGUGGCUUCUUAAGGCUUUCAACAAUUCCCAAAAAAUAUAUUUAAAUUUUGAAUUCAUAACUGGGAAUACUAAUUCAGCAGUGAAUUCAUUGGGAAGGCCAAUUCAGUAGGAUUAAUGGAUGAAAAGAAAUAAAGGUCAGAAAAGGGUUCACUUCUUUCAAUCAAAUUAAAGAAAAAGUGGAGGCAAUGGGGGCUUGAGAUCAUUAGAUUAAGCUCUAUAGUCAUCCAAUCAAGGGUGAAAUACCUCAAAUACGAUGGAUUUUUGGAGUUUCCCAUCUCUUUCCUGAAUUCACAGAGCCUCGGGCUUGCUUUGUUGGAACAAAGAGAGAAAAAGAGAUGAGAGGUGAUGACCCAACGGAUUUGUAUCCAUCCAUCGGUCCGAAGAUUGUCGUUGGUGUUGUUCGACUAUUGCUGGCAUCGUUGUUACUAUCAGUAUUACUGUUGUCAUGUGUAUGUACGCUAUUGUCGGUGAUUUUUUGUAUGCUGUUUGCUGAUACAACUGUUGUUGUCGUCGUUUUGCCGCGUUAUUGAUAGAGAUAAUAGAGUGGGUCGGGUCGGGUCAGGUUCAAAGUGGGCUGCUGAUAUGGGCUGGUUUGGGGUUGGUUUUAAAGCUAUUGAGUUGUUGUUGUUGUUGUAUUGGGUUGAGGGAAAAAGGGAAGUGAGGUGGGCCCUUUAUGAUCUUUAUUGUUGGGCCCAAGUUGGUUAAAGGGGUAGGGGCGUUGGGCUGGUGUGGGUUUGGGCCUGGGGCUGCUGGGUUUUGUUGGGUCAGGUAUAUUAGGUAAAAGGAAUUUUGGGCUGGGAAUUACAAAUACUUAUUAUCCAAAAGUAUCUGUUUUAUAAUAAGCAUAUUUUUGAAGCUUGAAUAUCAAAGAAUUUCUAAAUUGUCUAAUUGGUUAAUGGCAAUCAUAAGAACUUAAGAAGUAUUACUUCUUUCUUCCAAUUUAUGUGAACUUUUCUAUUGUUGAGAUUCAAACCGUGUAAACUUUGAUAAUAAUAUGUAAUGUAUUUUUUUAAUUAUAUUAAUAUAAGAAAAAUUGUAACAUAUAAUACUUUUCAUAUAUAUUUUUAAAUAUUUAAAAAUAUUAAAUUAAUUUAAUUCGAUUUAGUAUAAAUGCCACAAAAUUGAGACAUAUGAAGUAAUUGUUAGGUGACAUUUGACUUUAACAAAAGAAAGUACAUAUAUAAGGACUAGAAAACCCAAGGUUUUGAAGAGAAUAUAUCUAUUUAGAGCUUGGAAUGAUUUUAUGCUAAUUAUUUUUAUUGACGACCCAAAAUGUACCUUCAAUUAAUUAACCAAUAUUUUCCAAAAGUCUCUAUUCAAUGAAUUUGCCCAAGUUUUCAUAGAAAUCCAGAUUUUUAGCCGUCUACUAAUUACACUAUUAGUUGAUCUUGUUGAUUUCGUUUACAAUAAAGGCUAAAUAAAACUAGCUAAGAAAAAUAGAAUUUAACUUACAUACGAUACUGAUAAUAUAGAAAUUUUAUAGUUUAUCAUAAAAUUUUAUUUUAACUUACAUACGAUACUGAUCUUGUUGAUUUCGUUUAUUAUUGUAAUUUAAUUUAAUUGUCUAUAACAAAUUUUAUUUUAUAGUUUAUCAUAUUAGACUUGAGGUAGGUCACAUGAAUUUUCUAUUGUUAUUGGGGGCUAAUUUUUUCUGAUUAAUUAAAAUAUUGACACGUUAACAACGCACAAAAUUAUAUAAAUCCAAAAGAAGUCACUAUCCCUAUGUGAGUUUGGUGUAGAGGAAAAUAUCUGUGGAAAUUUUUUCUUCAAGGACUCUAGGUCAAGUCAAGUGAAAAUAUUCAAAAGGAUUAAUAACACAUUUUACACCAUAGCUAGGUUAUUGAAAAAAUCUAUUUGAGGCUUUGUUACGACUUAAAAUAUUUAAAAUUAAAUUAAAGAAAAUAUGUGCAUUUGAUUCUUUCAAAGUAUAAAAUAUGUUGUAAAGUCGUUGAACAUGAAGUAGCCCACUAUAAAUUUAAAAUAACACAUGAAUAAUUAAGUGAUAAAAUAGUAAAUAAUUAUAGUUGAUUUGUGAAUAUAUGUACAAGCAAAUAAAUCAAUAGCUCACAAUUCAGCUAAUUGAAGAUUUAAUGUAAUCAGUCAUAUACUCCAUAAAAAUUAAAAUCAAAAUAACAAUAAUCGAGGGACCAAAUUGUUAAUCAAAUCCAAAAUAUUAGUGCUUAGAGUUAAUGAUAAAAUGACGGAAGGACACCAAUAAGGGUCGUGAUGGAGUAGUAAGGACUCCUUUAUUCUUAAUUAGAGUUUUUGGAUUCGAGCGCACUUGGGUUUGGAGUCGUUCUUGUCAGGGAGCGUUUUACCCUCCAAUAUAGGAUUUUUUGACGCGAAUCUGGAUUUGGUCGGACUCCAAUGCAAGUAUCGAUCCAAUGUAGCAUUUUUCCGACGUGAAUCCGGAUUCGAUCCAAUGUAGAUUUUUCGAUGCGAAUUCAAAUUUGGUUGAAUGACAAUACAGAUAUCGAAUAGAGUGGGUGAAACCAAACAAUAAAAAGAAUUGCUGAGUGAGAGCCAAGCUGGAAGAUUCAUGCAUUUGUAGAAAGAAAAAAACAUGAAAAAACACCUCUUUCAAAAGUCAAUUAUGUUACGCAAUUUGCAAAAAAACAAGGACAACGUUGUUUUUUACGUUGCUAAACAUCUUGACACACAAAAUAUCAAAUGACGUUGGUGUUCUAUGGUUUUUUCUUAUAAUCCAACCAGCUGGUUUUCAUACAUAUACCCAAAAAAAAAAAAAAAAACUAUGAGCAAUCGGCUAGCUUAUGUAGUACGCCAAGGGAGGAUAUAAGUAGGAGUUUGGAAGUGUCACACCACUUGAAUGUAGUUUGGAGGUGUCACGCUACUCAAACGUUGAGACAAAAUUAUAUUUGUAGGUAUUUUACAUUAUAAACAUGUAUAACUCACGAUUGACAACUGUGGGCUAUCGGCUAACUUAUGUAGUAUGCAAUGGCGGAUCUACGUAGAAGUUUGGAGGUGUCAUGCCACUCGAAUGUAGUUUGGAGGUAUCACGCCACUCAAAUGUUGAGACAAAAUUAUAUUUGUAGGCAUUUUACAUUAUAAACAUAUAUAACUCACGAUUGACAACUGUGGGCUAUCGGCUAACUUAUGUAGUAUGCAAGGGCGAAUUUACUUAAGAGUUUGGAGUUGUCACGCCGCUUGAAUGUUGUUUGGAGGUAUCAUGUCACUCAAACGUUGAGACAAAAUUAUAUUUGUAGGCAUUUUACAUUAUAAAAUAUACGGAAAAGGCUCAAAAAUUCCCCUGAACUAUCUGAAAUAGCUCAAAAAUGCCUCUCGUUAGAUUUUUGGCUCAAAAUACCCCUUCGUUAAAUAUUUGGCUCAAAAAUACCCCUCCCUCUAACAAAAUUCGAAAAAGGAUAAAAAAUAUCCCUGAACUAUCUGAAAUGGCUCAAAAAUACCCCUCUGUUAAAUAUUUGGCUCAAAAAUACCCCUCCCCUUAACGAAAUUUCACCAAGCAUGCCACCUGGAUAAAAAAAAAACUACGUGACUAUGCCACAUUAACAUCCACAUGUAAAAUAUUAGUAUUUUUUAAUUAUAUGACAUUCCUUUCUUGAUGAUGAUGCUAAAAUAAAAUUAAAUAGUUUUAAAACAUACCUAAGCCAUGGUUUCAUAAGAUCAAAUUCCUUCAUAAACAAUUUAAGUUCCUCAUCAGGAUCGUUUAAAUCAGCUAAGACCUCUUUCUCCUCUCGAGGAUCCAUCUGUUUUAUCUGUGGACAGAGAGGGCACAAAUCCUAUAGCUGUAGGCACAAGCCUGAAAGUAUGUGGAUUUGAAAGCCCAAAGGAAGCAUAUCUAACCCGCAAGGACCUAAGACCACUUUGGUACCUAAGCAGAGUUAAUCUUUUCGUUUUGACGAAACAUGUCCGCAAAAAUAAAAAAAGGGAAAUAUGAGCUCCUGAUCGCGGAUGUUCCAAAUACAUGACUGGAAAGAAAGAAAUCUCCUAUGCUUUAAAUAAUGCAGGUGAAGGGUCAAUCAAAAUUCAGUAACAGUGCCAGAGGCAAUGUCAUCAGAUCCGACUCAAUAAAUAAUUUACAAUUUGGAGAUAAUGCUCGCACAAUCUCUAAGCUAUCACAAGACAAGUCAACUAUACCCCCCUCGGAGUCGCCUCUUGCAUCUGAAAUGAUGAAAUGAAAAUGAAGACAGGUUCCCUCUAAGAGGGUACUAACCUCAAUAAAAUCUCUCACAAGGUCAAAAUCAAUACGAAGAGGAGAUUAUAAUAUAUUUUUUAAACAAAGUACGAAAUCAAAACUUAUAAAAAAGGUGAAAAUUCAUUUAGCAAACCAACAACUAAGCUACUACUAAUUAUUCUCCAUUAUAGGCUUAUGUUCUUUUUAUCAGAUAUUUUUAUUUUCAUAAGAAAUUAAAAAGUAACACAUAAGUAAUUUGUUAGAAAUCACGAUGGUUCAUCUUCAUCAUCUCACCCUCACCCUCACUCUUAAUGACGAAAUAAACAUUUGGGCUAACAUUUGGGACACAUAGGCAACCCAACAACUGAAUAAUUUCUUUUAUUGAUUAGCUUAGAAUAGAAGGUUCUUUUAUUCUUAUUGUUUAGCUUACAAGAGAAGCUUAUUCUUUUAUUUUUAUUGUUUAGCUUAGAAGAGAAGGUUUCUUUCAUUCCAUUAGCUUAUAUAAAUAAAUGUGAUUAGCAAGGAAUAUAUAGAGAAGAAAAUUCUCAAAUAUUGUCUCUUAUUUGUACAUGGUAUCAUAGCAGUAGGUUGUUGCAUACAAAUCAUCUUCUUGAUUAUCAAUUUCCUUCAUGUUACCUAUCUCUACAAUGGCGAAUAGAGUCACUACUUCUUCAUCUUCUUCUGGUUCUAUCACUAGAAUUCCACUUGCUAUGAAUCCCACUCACGUUUAUUAUCUUUAUUCUUCAAAUUCACCUAAAAUGGCUUGGUUAAUACUCCAUUUGAUGGAAAAAGUUAUCAAGGAUGGAAGAAAUCAGUGCUUAUAGCACUGUCAGUCAAGAACAAGCUUGGGUUUAUCACUGGUAUUGAUGCUUCACCAGAAUCUCCAAAUAUGCAAUCUUGGAGCAGAUGCAAUGACAUGAUAACAUCUUGGCUUCUUAACUCUCGUUUUAAAGAUAUUGCUGAUAGUGUGAUAUAUACUCUAGGACUGCUAAAGAUUUAUAAAUGAGUCUAUAGCAUAUAUUUGGACAAUCUAAUGGAGCUAAAUUGCUUCAACUAUAAAAAAAACUAAACAGGUUAGUUAAAAAAAAUAAUGACAUUGCUCGAUAUUUCACUAAACUUAAAAGACUCUAGAAUGAGUUGGAAUCUCUCAAGUCUGUUAAGUGCACCUGUGUGUGUAACUGUGAAGGUAAAUUGAAACUUGAAAAGUCUUUUGAAGGUGAGGAACUUAUACAAUUUUUAUAGGUCUAAAUAAUGUGUAUGCUCAAGCAAAAGGAAACAUCUUAAUGAUGAAUCCUUUACACAACAUAAAUGUUGCUUACUCUCUGAUUUUGGAAGAUGAAAAUUAGAGAGAAACCUAUAUGAGUGGCUUGAUCCCAAACGAUUCUUUUUCUUUUAUGGUAAGCAACUUGAAUCAAAACAAAUUUGACAAGAAAGUCCAGAAAACCCCUGGUGCUAUGCCUAAUUUUGGAACUAGAUCAUUCAAUUAUCUAAAGACGAACAAUCAUCAGUAAUUACCCAAAUACACAAGGACAAACCAGCCACAACAGAAAUUUAGGAUUAAGAAGAAGUAUAAUCCUAAUGUAUCUUGUGAUUUUUGUGGUAAGACUGGACAUGUCGAUGAUGAUUGCUUCAGGUUACAUGGUUUUUCUAAAAAUUUUCAAUUUACAAAUAAUAAAGAUGGACAGGUUCAGAUUAUAGAAACUAUAGUUAUGUCUGGAGAAGAAGGUGACAAUGAGCAUAUGAUUGACAUUGAUUUAACUAAUCAACAUUUCACCAAAGAACAGUUCAAGCAUUUCAUUCAAAUGGAAAAACAAAAAUCAACAGAGGGAUCAUCUAUGAACAAAGGAUCUGAGAUAAAUGCUAACGCCGUUGCUGGUACUGUGCUUAGAUAUAUUAAAACUUGCAUUUCAAUCUUUAAUUUUGGAACAUGAAUAAUAGACUCAUGUUCUUCUAAGCACAUGUGUUGCAACUCUAGUUUUUUUCUUUUCAUGAUAGCUCUUAAAAUUUCCAUUAACAUUAAUUUGCCCAACUCUCAGUCCAUCUUUGUGACUCACAUAAGAAGUGUUCUAAUUCCUAAUAACCUUAUAUUGUAUAAUGUUGUUUAUAUUCCAAGUUUCAGAUAUAGUCUGUUGUCAGUUCAUAAGUUUAAUGUCCAAUACAGUUACACUAUAUCUUUCACUUUUAACAGUUGUGUCUUGCAGGGCUCUUUAAUAAAGAAGCCUCAAGCUUUUGGUGAAGUGAAGGAAGUUCUAUACUUGAUUCAAAUUAUUCCUAAGGAGUCUCGUGGGAACCAAGAGAUUUACAAGGAUUCUAAAAUCUUUUCUAACUUUAACAGUACUGGUUCUAGUCCCAGUUCAGUUUCACAUUAUUUUUUAGUCUGUUUUAAUGUGAAUUCUGAUAUAAGGUUAUGGCAUCUAAGACUUGGUCAUUUGCCUUAUUCAUCAAUGAAAAAUGUUCAUUUCCUCAUAAUUUUCUCUAAUUAUGAUUGUCAUUGUGAAAUCUGUUCUUUAGUGACGCAAACUAGAUUGCCUUUUUCUAUCAGUCAAGUUACUUCUCAAUCCAUUUUUGAUCUGUUUCAUAUAGACACUUAGGGUCCUUAUAAGUCACUUACUCAUAAUAAUUAUUGUCAUUUCUUGACUAUAGUAGAUGACUAUAGUAGCGGAACCUUUUUAUACUUGCUAGCAACUAAAAAUAAUGCAUUUUUUGUUAUUCGAUGUUUCUUGAAAAUGGCUGAAAGACAGUUUCACAAGAAAGUAAAAAUUAUUAGAUCUGAUAAUGCAAUGAAGUUGGGUAGGAGUACAGAUACAUUAAAUUUUUUAACAUCUCAAGGAAUCAUACACUAGACAUCUCGUGUUGUUAAUCCACAGCAAAAUGGGUAGCUGAAAGAAAGCACAGACACUUGCUUGAAAUUGCUAAGUCUUUGAUGUUUUAAUCUAGAGUUCCUAUAAUCUAUUGGGGUGAGUGCAUACUCACUGCCGCAUUUCUAAUCAACAUGUUGCCUUUCAAAGUUCUUAAAGGUAAAACACCUUAUGAAAUUCUAUUGGCAAAGCACCUUCUUAUCAAUUAUUAAGAUGUUUUGGUUUCCUAUGUUUUGCUAACACUUUAUCUCAUAGGAGGAGUAAAUUUGAUCCUAGAGCUACUAGGUGUGUCUUCUUAGGAUACCCAAGUGAUCAAAAAGGAUUAAAAUUUCUUGACCUAUCUUCUAAGAAAUUUUUUAUGUCAAGAGAUGUUCAAUUUAUAAAACAUGUGUUUCCUUUUGCUUCUAACCAUUCACAUAUCCCUACUCCUACUUUUACUAUCCACACAGAAGAAGACCAUUAUUUCACUCCAGGAUAUCUUAUUCCUUCUAACCCUAUUGAACCAGAUUCUAACUUACCACCUUCUAACAUUUUUGAACCAACUCUUGAUCAUUCUAAUUCUUCUACUCCAGUCGUUAUACUAUAUUUUCCUUUAGAACAAGAUGUUUCACAACCCCUGCCUUUUCCUAGAAGAUCUCAAAGAAGAAACAUUGAUGAACUACCUUCACAUCUCAAAGAUUAUAUCUGGAAUACUAUUUAUCUUAGUGAUGUGACUAAAUCUUAUUUUGGUACUCCUAUUAAACGCACAUGUCUAUCAGUUUAUACUCUUUCCAUACCCAACCAAGCUAUACUACAUUUUGUUCCCUUCAUCAUUGAACACAAUAGUUACUCUCAAGCAUGUACUUAUCCAGGUUAGGUGAAGGCAAUGCAAGAUAUGAUUGGUGUUUUAAUACUCAAUCAGACUUGGGACGUUAUCUAUUUUCCACAAGGUAGAAAGGCAUUUCUUUGUAAGUGGGUCUAUAAAGUGAAACAACAUGUGGAUGGAUCUCUUGAAAGGCUAAAGACACGCUUAGUAAUUAAAGGUGAUAUUCAGCAAGAGGGAAUUAAUUUCAAUGAGACUUUUUCCCUAGUGGUCAAAAUGACCACCAUCAAAUGUUUAUUGGCAAUUGCAUCCAAAAAGAAAUGAAAAAUCUCACAAUUUGAUGUGAAUAAUGUCUUCUUGCAAGGAACUUUGCAAGAAAAAGUCUAUAUGAAAUUCCCUGCGGGAAAGGAACCUUCCCAACCGAAUAUGUUUUGUCGAAUUAAAAAGUUACUUUAUGGCUUAAAGCUAGUCUCAAGGCAAUAGUAUGCCAGGCUUACCGAAGCCUUAAAAUUUUAAAGGUUAUACAACCUUCCUCAAUGAUUAUCCCUUAUUCUUUAAACAAUCAGAAGAGCUUGUCUCUAUCGUAUCUGUCUAUGUCAAUGAUAUUUUUGUUAUAGGGGAUGCUAUUGAUGAGAUACAUAACCAUAAGGAGUUUCUUCAUACUGAGUUUAAAAUUAAGGAUCUCGGCUCACUACAUUAUUUUUUUGGGAAUGAAAAUUCUGCGGGAAUAACAGGGAAUCAUAAUGAGUCAACGAAAAUAUACCUUAGAUUUAAUCAAUGAAUUUGAUGUUUCACAUCUUCUUCCAGCUUCUUCUCCGUUAGAUCCUUUAGUCAAGUUCUCUGCAAAUUCAAAAAGUCACAUGUCAGAUCCUACACUUUACAGGCAUCUCAUUGGUAAACUCAACUAUUUGACUCACACUAGACUGGAUCUGUGUUUUGUUAUUUUGAUUCUCAGUCAAUUUAUGCAACAUCCUAGCAUCGAUUAUUUUAAAGCAGGAUAGUGAGUCAUAAGUUACCUGAAAGCAUAUUUGAAUCAGGGCAUCUUUCUCAAUGCUUCACCCUCCUUCUCUCUCGCUGCUUAUUUCGAUGCUACUCAGCCUCUUGCCGCACUACACGAAGGUCAGUCAGUGAAUUUUUUAUAAGCUUGGGAGGUUCAUUGGUCUCCUAGAAAUCAAAGAAACAAUCUUCCAUCUCCCUUUCAUCUUCAGAGGCUGAAUAUCAAUCAAUGAGGAGAUUAAUUGCGGAAUUGACCUGGAUGACAAGAUUGCUUACCGAUUUAUCCGUUCCUCCCCCUCUUCCUGUUUCAGUUCACUCCGAGCAGCGUUACAUAUAGCUCAAAAUUUGGUAUUCCAUGAGCGAACGAAGAACGUCGAGCUUGACUGCUACUUCGUUCGUCAAUAAUAUCUCUCAGGCUUGAUAUCUCUUUCUUUUGUUCCAUCUAAGGACCAACUCGUCGACAUCUUCACCAAAUCUUUUGCCGGACCUCCUCACCAUCAGAAUUUGUGCAAGUUAGGUAUCACUUCUUUCCCCUCCAACUUGAGGGGAUGUUAGAAAUCAUCAUGGUUCAUCUUCAUCAUCUUACCCUCACUCUCAAAGACGAAAUAAACAUUUGGGCUAACAUUUGGGACACAUAGGCGGCCCAACAAUUGAAUAAUUUCUUUUAUUGAUUAGCUUAGAAUAGAAGGUUCUUUUAUUUUUAUUAUUUAGCUUACAAGUGAUGCUUCUUCUUUUUAUUUUCAUUGUUUAGCUUAGAAGAGAAAGUUUCUUUCAUUUCAUUAGCUUGUAUAAAUAAAUAUGAUUAGUAAGGAAUAUACAGAGAAGAAAAUUCUUAAAUACUAAUUUAAAAUAAGAGACAAUUUUACGAUCCUCCAUAUUAAGUGACACCAUUUUUCCAUUUGAAACUUGUAGGCAUGCCCCAUGCUACGCCUAUGAACAUAUUUUUUAUUUGAGAUAAAUAAGAACAAGUUUUUGGGAAUUGCUAUGUGAAUUGUUUUUUUUUCAAGUGAAAAAGAUAUUUAUCAAUUACUUUUGUAAAUAUGAUACCUAUGGUUAAUCUAAGCGCUUAAGAACAUACGAUUGGCCAUAAUCUAAUUUUUAAUGUCCUUUUAUAUUUGUACAAUAACAAUAAUAGUAUUUAUAUACCCCGUGGCCAACUCAAAGGGGCUAAAAUUUGACUUUUAAAUAUGAUUUCUGAUACGAUAUUUUUGAAAAUCUUUCAAUUUCUAGCCAUAAUAGAUUGUUGCACCCUACACUACACUGCAAAGAUUAUCUCCUCAAAUUUUGAUUUUUUAUGUUAAAUAGGGCUUCAUAUAAAAUAUGCCACUUCCACAUUUAAAUCAACUAGCAAAUCACUAAUGUGAGGUUAGUUUGAAAAAUAGGUUUAAAAUGCUCAUUAAUAUAACCAUGGAUGGGAUGUUUAGAACUGUAUUUAUAUUAUAAGACAGAGUCAAAAUUUAGUUAGAUACAUUGCAUGGGAAUAUACUAUCAAUUCAGUUAGAAAAAAAGGCAGGAUUUAUACCCCAAAUUGACAUUUUCCAUAAUCUUAUCAUGUCAUCAUCAUUUAUUAUAUGAAGUUGAUUAAUUAAAAAGUAUAGUGACACAACAUAGAAUUCUGUUGGGCUUGAAAUAACACUAUCAUUAAAGGUAAGCCAUGUGUCAAGAGGUGAGUAAGCCUAGGUUAUACUUUUUUUAUAACCAUUUUCUCUUCAGAAUUUACUGAUUCGAUUAAUUAGAAUUUGUAUCACUUAUUAUAACUCAUUAAAAGGAAAGUAUUUGUCACUAAAAUUUCUUCAUUUUCAAGUCUCGAAAUUUGAGAUUUUUUAUUAAAAAUAAAAGAUAUGUCAUACAUGGAUCAUUUCCCUUCUCUCCGAUUUCUCCAAGUUCUUGCUUGAAUUAAAGAUAUAUGUCAUAGUUUAAAAUUAAUAAUUGAAAUUUAAUUAGUUAAAUCAAAGAUUUAAUCAUAGUUAUCUACUUCCAUAUAUUUGUCGCUUAAAUAUUUUUAACAAUCCAUUAUAUCUUUCUUAAAUAUAUUAAAUUAUUUUCUUUCUAUCGUUGAACAAUUUUCUGCUAGGUUUUCACUUUUUUUUUUUGCUAAUGUUUGCCAUUUUUCUUAAGUAAUGUUUUUCAAAUAAAAAAAAAUAAAGAUUUUGUAUUGAAGUUUUUAUAAUUUUAUUUUCUUUAUGUGCCAAAUAAAUUCAUUAUAUGUGUGCCAAAUAAAAUAUAAAGAUUAUGCCAAAUAAAUCUAUUAUAUUUUCUUUAUACUUUUCUUUUUGCUAAUGUUUUCCAUUUUUUAUUAAGUAAUAUUUUUUAAAUAAAAAAGAUAAAUAUUGUGGAUUGAAGUUUUUCUAAUUUUAUUUUCUUUAUGUGCCAAAUAAAUUCAUUAUACAUGUGUCAAAACAAAUAGAAAGAUUGUGCCAAAUAAAUUCAUUAUAUUUUCUUUAUGUAGCUCUUUUGAAUUCUCAACUAGAAAAAUUAAAAUUUUAAGUAUAUUAUGAAUUUUAACAAAAUAAAAAUAUUUAUGAAAAGUUUUUAAUAUAUAUUUUGUGGCAGUAAAGAUUUUUUUUGAAAAAAUAUUGAGUAAAAGAUAUAAUGAAUAUUUAGAAAACAAAUAUAACUAAAUAUAUGAAAGUAGAUAACUAUGAUUAAAAAUUUAAUUAACUAAUUAAAUCUCAAUCAUUAAUUUUAAAUUAUUCAAUUCAAGAAAGAAUUUAGAGAAAUUGGAGAGAGGAAAAUUGGAGAGAAGCCGGAUCUCUAAUUAUUUUUGAUGGUAAGCUGAAGUCAUGAAUGUUCUCUAAUUACUAAUCUUAUGUUAAAGCAAUAUGAUAGACAGAUUCUCAAAUCAACUUGUCAAUAUGUGGUCUGAAAUUUAGAUUUGUUGCUUAGUAUAGCUUAAUUGGAUGACUUCAUGUCAUUUCAUCUUGACUAAAUUAAGACUUUGUCAGUAUUCAAGAUUCAAUGUUCAUUUUUGGGUUCAUGUACCUAAAGAGAAGUAUGGUUGUUGAAUAGACUACUGCCCGUACAGUAUUAAUAUUUCACAAUAAUACAGUAGCAUUUUGAUGAAAUUUUAUAAGUGAGAUUUGAAGAAAAUAGUAUGUAAACAAACUUUAUUACAACCUUAUGGAGGUAUAGAGGCUAUUUUAGAUAGAUAACUUAACUAGUACUUGCCAACGAUAUAAAAAAAGAAAACGGAUAUAAAUAUGGAGCGAUUAUAAUACAAGCUAAUCGAACUGGAAAGCAACAUACAAUAAGAAAAUAAAAUAAUGUAAUAAUCAGCACAUAAAAUAUCAGUAAAAUAUGAAAUCAAAUAUCAAGGAACAAGUAUAGUACUAACGAUAUUAAAAAAGAUGGGACAUCCAAGAAUGAUCAUCAAACCUAACUCAAAGGAAAGUUAAAAAAGACGAUCAACUAUCAACUAAUCUUCUACUCUGAUAGUAUGCGACGUUAAAACUCUCUUGUCUAACACUGUAUAUAUAUAUUACAAUUCAUUUUUCAUGUUAUGUUAUGAAUAUCAUAUGAUUUUCAUAAUAAUAUUUUAAUAUAACAGUUAAAAUAAUAAUAUUAUAUUCAAUAUGAAUACAAUUUUUCCUUCAGAUUUCCAUUAUCUUUUUGUGGAAUCACUAUCUUUGGGUUUAUCUCUGCAAAUAUAAUUGUUUUUUUUUGCACGUUGUCUUGUAGGUAGUUAGGGGAGUAGGUAUACAGAUGGAUUAGGAUAAUCCAACAAAAUCAUUAAUUAUUGAUUUCUCUAAGAAGUGUAAAGUAACACGUGACUCUUUCUUACUGUAGUACUGUAGUAUUAGAUUAUGUUACAAAAUAGACCAAUAAAUAAAUAAUAAAUGUUAUAUAAAUCAAUAAGUCCAAAAUUCUUAGAUACUCAGUGAUUUACCUUCUAUAUGUUUUGACAACUAGAACGUGGAAAAGAGAUUCAAUUUUGGAGAAGAUUAUUUUCUAUUUAUUUUAAUUAUUUAGUAUAUGAGUAAAAUAAAAGAAAUGUAAUAUAAUGAAUCGAUGUUAACAUAAUAUAUACAUUUGAUAUAGUCAUUUAAUAAGAAACAAAAAGAUAUUUAUAAAAAAAUACUACCAUGUAUAAUUUAAUUACAAAUGUCUAAAUAAAAAUAUUAUCAAAAUAAUACAUGAGGACAAAAAUUACCGCCAUAAAAAUGAGGAUAAAACUAAUAAAUAUAAAGAAAAAAUCAUAUGCAUGUGUAACCAUUUUAUUUACUACUAUAUAUAAGUGAAGGUUGAGGUGACUAAAAUUAUCGAAAUAACCUUGGUAAUCACCCCAACCUUCACUUAUAUAUAGUAGUAAAGUAAAGUAAAAAGCAAUAUGCAUGCAACCAUUUUAUUGCACCAUAAAAAUGAGGACUAAACUAAUAAAUAUAAAGGAAAAAUCAUAUGCAUGUGCAACCAUUUUAUUUACUACUAUAUGUAAGUGAAGGUUGAGGUGACUAAAAUUACCGAAAUACCUUAGGUAGUCACCCCAACUGUAACGCCCUGGAAAAUGGGUCCCGGAGCAUCACACGGUGCUUGAGGCUAUGAGUAGCCCCAAGCUAACCCUUUGAGCCAUUUUCAUUCAGUUCAACACAAAUCAACGGGGUUUCCAUAAAUAACCCUCAAAUAUCAACAGAGUAAUCAUCAUCCAAGAAUAAAAGAAUUUCAGAAAGAUAACAAAAUACGACUUAUUAGUCAACUCCCAACAUCUAUACUAGUCUGACAAGCCUCUAAGAAAAUCAAUAAAACCAGAGAGCCAUUGAGACAUGCCCCAACUGACUCAUACUCAGUUAUCAAAUGUAAACAAUUCCGUGAAACCAACAUCAGACAUCACGUCCUUGGAAUAUGAGGACUCACCACAACAGAGGAUGUAGAACAGCGUGCCCGAAGAAUUACUGUCGAACCUAGAACUGAGCACCUGAACCUACAUUUCGAGAAAAUGCAGCCCACAUCCGAAGAUGUGGGUCAGUACCAUGGAAAGAAACCGAGUAUAUGGGGGUAUAUGCAGUUGUAUAAACAUCAUCAUCAUAAAUAUUUAUAAGAAAUAUGUAGGAUGUAUGAAAGACUCACAUAGCCCGAAGAAAAUCAUAAUAAUCAUGAGAUGAUGAAAUAAGUACAAUAACACAUGUGAGUNNNNNNNNNNNNNNNNNNNNNNNNNNNNNNNNNNNNNNNNNNNNNNNNNNNNNNNNNNNNNNNNNNNNNNNNNNNNNNNNNNNNNNNNNNNNNNNNNNNNNNNNNNNNNNNNNNNNNNNNNNNNNNNNNNNNNNNNNNNNNNNNNNNNNNNNNNNNNNNNNNNNNNNNNNNNNNNNNNNNNNNNNNNNNNNNNNNNNNNNNNNNNNNNNNNNNNNNNNNNNNNNNNNNNNNNNNNNNNNNNNNNNNNNNNNNNNNNNNNNNNNNNNNNNNNNNNNNNNNNNNNNNNNNNNNNNNNNNNNNNNNNNNNNNNNNNNNNNNNNNNNNNNNNNNNNNNNNNNNNNNNNNNNNNNNNNNNNNNNNNNNNNNNNNNNNNNNNNNNNNNNNNNNNNNNNNNNNNNNNNNNNNNNNNNNNNNNNNNNNNNNNNNNNNNNNNNNNNNNNNNNNNNNNNNNNNNNNNNNNNNNNNNNNNNNNNNNNNNNNNNNNNNNNNNNNNNNNNNNNNNNNNNNNNNNNNNNNNNNNNNNNNNNNNNNNNNNNNNNNNNNNNNNNNNNNNNNNNNNNNNNNNNNNNNNNNNNNNNNNNNNNNNNNNNNNNNNNNNNNNNNNNNNNNNNNNNNNNNNNNNNNNNNNNNNNNNNNNNNNNNNNNNNNNNNNNNNNNNNNNNNNNNNNNNNNNNNNNNNNNNNNNNNNNNNNNNNNNNNNNNNNNNNNNNNNNNNNNNNNNNNNNNNNNNNNNNNNNNNNNNNNNNNNNNNNNNNNNNNNNNNNNNNNNNNNNNNNNNNNNNNNNNNNNNNNNNNNNNNNNNNNNNNNNNNNNNNNNNNNNNNNNNNNNNNNNNNNNNNNNNNNNNNNNNNNNNNNNNNNNNNNNNNNNNNNNNNNNNNNNNNNNNNNNNNNNNNNNNNNNNNNNNNNNNNNNNNNNNNNNNNNNNNNNNNNNNNNNNNNNNNNNNNNNNNNNNNNNNNNNNNNNNNNNNNNNNNNNNNNNNNNNNNNNNNNNNNNNNNNNNNNNNNNNNNNNNNNNNNNNNNNNNUGAAGUAGAUCAACCAUAACAUUUUACUUGGAUAUCCAAAUUCGAUAAAACCAAUUUUAUUAGAAAGAGGACUCUCAUAUAUUUCCAUUGAUAUAUAGUAUCUUAUCCAGAUCAUUGUGUAUGAGGAGUUAUGAUUGUUUGAAGUUGACCCAAAAAUUUGUAUUUGGAAGGCUGACGUAGAUCGACCAUAACUUUUUGCUCCGAUAGACAAAUUGGAUGAAACCAAUUUCAUUGGAAAGAGGACUCGUAGAGCUUUCUGUUGAUAUAUAGUAGAUUACCCAGAUUAUUAUGUACAAAGAGCUAUGAUUGUUUAAAGUUGGAGAAAAAAUAUGCUAGGCCUCAGUAUUUUUUUCUGCACGUUUUACUAUUCACUACUAUUCACGGUUCAAUCGGAAUGUUCAUAACUCGUCGCUCGGGUGUCCAUUUUGGAUGAUCCACAUAUCGUUAGAAUGAUUAUUCGAUACUCUAUGUAAUGGUGGGUCAUAAUCUAAGACAUUUCGCAUGGAAAAUUUAUAAUUCAUUCUAGAAGAUAGAACCCAACACGUUUAUGCACAAAAUUUCAAUGAAAAAUUUCCCGGGGUAUUACAUUAUCCCCCUUUGGAAACAUUCAUCCUCGAAUGAUGCUAGACAUGCCAAGAUUAGAUAGGGAAACGAGCAUACAGCUAAAACCAUUCGUUAGACUCAUCACUACAUCGUUUCUCACUCCGAAUGCAACAUAGAAUGCAUAAAUUCAAGAAACUACAGCUGACACAUAAUAAAUGACAGCUGAACUGCUGCAACUUUUAUCAAAAGUGCAUGAUUUAGGAAAGAAUGGUACCUUCGGCUUGAUCGGAGUUCGCGGAAAAUAGGUGCGGUUAGUUGGAUCGCAUAUCCGCCUCAGCUUCCCAAGUUGCACCCUCAACAGAUUGGUUUUGCCACAACACCUUAAUCAAGGGAACUUCUUUGUUCCUUAGUCUUCGGACACUGAAAUCAAAAAUCUCAACAGGAAUCUCAUCAAAAGAAAGAUUUUCUUGAACGUCAGCACUCGCGAAGGAAUCCACUACCACAGCAUCACUAAUAUGCUUUCUAAGCAUGGAGACAUGGAAUAUUGGAUGAAUAGAGGACAACUCGGAAGGCAACUCGACUUCAUAAGCUACCUUACCAACACGACUAAGAAUUUUGUAAGUACCAACAUAACGGGGACUAAGCUUCCCCUUCUUUCCNNNNNNNNNNNNNNNNNNNNNNNNNNNNNNNNNNNNNNNNNNNNNNNNNNNNNNNNNNNNNNNNNNNNNNNNNNNNNNNNNNNNNNNNNNNNNNNNNNNNNNNNNNNNNNNNNNNNNNNNNNNNNNNNNNNNNNNNNNNNNNNNNNNNNNNNNNNNNNNNNNNNNNNNNNNNNNNNNNNNNNNNNNNNNNNNNNNNNNNNNNNNNNNNNNNNNNNNNNNNNNNNNNNNNNNNNNNNNNNNNNNNNNNNNNNNNNNNNNNNNNNNNNNNNNNNNNNNNNNNNNNNNNNNNNNNNNNNNNNNNNNNNNNNNNNNNNNNNNNNNNNNNNNNNNNNNNNNNNNNNNNNNNNNNNNNNNNNNNNNNNNNNNNNNNNNNNNNNNNNNNNNNNNNNNNNNNNNNNNNNNNNNNNNNNNNNNNNNNNNNNNNNNNNNNNNNNNNNNNNNNNNNNNNNNNNNNNNNNNNNNNNNNNNNNNNNNNNNNNNNNNNNNNNNNNNNNNNNNNNNNNNNNNNNNNNNNNNNNNNNNNNNNNNNNNNNNNNNNNNNNNNNNNNNNNNNNNNNNNNNNNNNNNNNNNNNNNNNNNNNNNNNNNNNNNNNNNNNNNNNNNNNNNNNNNNNNNNNNNNNNNNNNNNNNNNNNNNNNNNNNNNNNNNNNNNNNNNNNNNNNNNNNNNNNNNNNNNNNNNNNNNNNNNNNNNNNNNNNNNNNNNNNNNNNNNNNNNNNNNNNNNNNNNNNNNNNNNNNNNNNNNNNNNNNNNNNNNNNNNNNNNNNNNNNNNNNNNNNNNNNNNNNNNNNNNNNNNNNNNNNNNNNNNNNNNNNNNNNNNNNNNNNNNNNNNNNNNNNNNNNNNNNNNNNNNNNNNNNNNNNNNNNNNNNNNNNNNNNNNNNNNNNNNNNNNNNNNNNNNNNNNNNNNNNNNNNNNNNNNNNNNNNNNNNNNNNNNNNNNNNNNNNNNNNNNNNNNNNNNNNNNNNNNNNNNNNNNNNNNNNNNNNNNNNNNNNNNNNNNNNNNNNNNNNNNNNNNNNNNNNNNNNNNNNNNNNNNNNNNNNNNNNNNNNNNNNNNNNNNNNNNNNNNNNNNNNNNNNNNNNNNNNNNNNNNNNNNNNNNNNNNNNNNNNNNNNNNNNNNNNNNNNNNNNNNNNNNNNNNNNNNNNNNNNNNNNNNNNNNNNNNNNNNNNNNNNNNNNNNNNNNNNNNNNNNNNNNNNNNNNNNNNNNNNNNNNNNNNNNNNNNNNNNNNNNNNNNNNNNNNNNNNNNNNNNNNNNNNNNNNNNNNNNNNNNNNNNNNNNNNNNNNNNNNNNNNNNNNNNNNNNNNNNNNNNNNNNNNNNNNNNNNNNNNNNNNNNNNNNNNNNNNNNNNNNNNNNNNNNNNNNNNNNNNNNNNNNNNNNNNNNNNNNNNNNNNNNNNNNNNNNNNNNNNNNNNNNNNNNNNNNNNNNNNNNNNNNNNNNNNNNNNNNNNNNNNNNNNNNNNNNNNNNNNNNNNNNNNNNNNNNNNNNNNNNNNNNNNNNNNNNNNNNNNNNNNNNNNNNNNNNNNNNNNNNNNNNNNNNNNNNNNNNNNNNNNNNNNNNNNNNNNNNNNNNNNNNNNNNNNNNNNNNNNNNNNNNNNNNNNNNNNNNNNNNNNNNNNNNNNNNNNNNNNNNNNNNNNNNNNNNNNNNNNNNNNNNNNNNNNNNNNNNNNNNNNNNNNNNNNNNNNNNNNNNNNNNNNNNNNNNNNNNNNNNNNNNNNNNNNNNNNNNNNNNNNNNNNNNNNNNNNNNNNNNNNNNNNNNNNNNNNNNNNNNNNNNNNNNNNNNNNNNNNNNNNNNNNNNNNNNNNNNNNNNNNNNNNNNNNNNNNNNNNNNNNNNNNNNNNNNNNNNNNNNNNNNNNNNNNNNNNNNNNNNNNNNNNNNNNNNNNNNNNNNNNNNNNNNNNNNNNNNNNNNNNNNNNNNNNNNNNNNNNNNNNNNNNNNNNNNNNNNNNNNNNNNNNNNNNNNNNNNNNNNNNNNNNNNNNNNNNNNNNNNNNNNNNNNNNNNNNNNNNNNNNNNNNNNNNNNNNNNNNNNNNNNNNNNNNNNNNNNNNNNNNNNNNNNNNNNNNNNNNNNNNNNNNNNNNNNNNNNNNNNNNNNNNNNNNNNNNNNNNNNNNNNNNNNNNNNNNNNNNNNNNNNNNNNNNNNNNNNNNNNNNNNNNNNNNNNNNNNNNNNNNNNNNNNNNNNNNNNNNNNNNNNNNNNNNNNNNNNNNNNNNNNNNNNNNNNNNNNNNNNNNNNNNNNNNNNNNNNNNNNGAGGCAUAAGAAGAAUACAGCCAGUCCAUACCCAGAAUCAUAUCAAAAUCUACCAUGUCUAACUCAAUCAGAUCAGCCAACAAGACUCUAUGAAGAACGGUAACAGGACACUUUUUAUACACUUUCUGGGCAUGUUUUCAUUCAAUGGGUCAGUGGGUUAAGGUUACUGACCAUCAUUAUUUCUUCUCGCUCGACGUGGAGGCAUAUUUCUGAAAGAAGAGGGCACAAAUUAAUAGCAGAGAGAGACAUUUUAAGCAUGAUAGACUUCUGAAAGAAAGAAUCACAUUUUUUCCUGAACCGUCUUGUAGCCUCUUGCUCAUAGAUGUGGCGCGCUAUAUACUGAUGAUCAAGACUCUACUUAACGCAGCUUGUCAGACUCCCUAGGAUACCUUAAAACUUUAGGCUCUGAUACCAAGUUUGUAAUGCCCCAAAAAACGGGUCUCGGAGCGUCACACGAUGCUUGAGGCUACGAGUAGCCCCACGCUAACCCUUUGAUCCAUUUUCAUUCGGUUCAACACAAAUCAAUGGGGUUUCCAUAAAUAACCCUCAAAUAUCAACAGAGUAAUCAUCAUCCAAGAAUAAAAGAAUUUCAGAAAGAUAACAAAAUACGACAUAUUAGUCAACUCCCAACAUCUAUACUAGUCUGACAAGCCNNNNNNNNNNNNNNNNNNNNNNNNNNNNNNNNNNNNNNNNNNNNNNNNNNNNNNNNNNNNNNNNNNNNNNNNNNNNNNNNNNNNNNNNNNNNNNNNNNNNNNNNNNNNNNNNNNNNNNNNNNNNNNNNNNNNNNNNNNNNNNNNNNNNNNNNNNNNNNNNNNNNNNNNNNNNNNNNNNNNNNNNNNNNNNNNNNNNNNNNNNNNNNNNNNNNNNNNNNNNNNNNNNNNNNNNNNNNNNNNNNNNNNNNNNNNNNNNNNNNNNNNNNNNNNNNNNNNNNNNNNNNNNNNNNNNNNNNNNNNNNNNNNNNNNNNNNNNNNNNNNNNNNNNNNNNNNNNNNNNNNNNNNNNNNNNNNNNNNNNNNNNNNNNNNNNNNNNNNNNNNNNNNNNNNNNNNNNNNNNNNNNNNNNNNNNNNNNNNNNNNNNNNNNNNNNNNNNNNNNNNNNNNNNNNNNNNNNNNNNNNNNNNNNNNNNNNNNNNNNNNNNNNNNNNNNNNNNNNNNNNNNNNNNNNNNNNNNNNNNNNNNNNNNNNNNNNNNNNNNNNNNNNNNNNNNNNNNNNNNNNNNNNNNNNNNNNNNNNNNNNNNNNNNNNNNNNNNNNNNNNNNNNNNNNNNNNNNNNNNNNNNNNNNNNNNNNNNNNNNNNNNNNNNNNNNNNNNNNNNNNNNNNNNNNNNNNNNNNNNNNNNNNNNNNNNNNNNNNNNNNNNNNNNNNNNNNNNNNNNNNNNNNNNNNNNNNNNNNNNNNNNNNNNNNNNNNNNNNNNNNNNNNNNNNNNNNNNNNNNNNNNNNNNNNNNNNNNNNNNNNNNNNNNNNNNNNNNNNNNNNNNNNNNNNNNNNNNNNNNNNNNNNNNNNNNNNNNNNNNNNNNNNNNNNNNNNNNNNNNNNNNNNNNNNNNNNNNNNNNNNNNNNNNNNNNNNNNNNNNNNNNNNNNNNNNNNNNNNNNNNNNNNNNNNNNNNNNNNNNNNNNNNNNNNNNNNNNNNNNNNNNNNNNNNNNNNNNNNNNNNNNNNNNNNNNNNNNNNNNNNNNNNNNNNNNNNNNNNNNNNNNNNNNNNNNAACACACACUUUCUAAAAAAACACAAUUUCCAAUGGGGAUUCACGACCCAAAUAUCAAAAUCAUGAUAAAUAUCAUUCAAGACUCAUGCUUUAUAUCACCACACAUGCAAAUUCAUCUUUCAAAAUUAUAAACAUCAAGUUUUCAUAAUAAUCAUCAUAAGAUAUGGGUUCAUGCUUCAAAUUCAUAAAAAUUAAAUAAAAAUUAUGCCUUUGUAAAGAAAAUUACUUUUGGGCACAAGAACGAAAGAGAGUUCUUAUUGAAAAACCCCACAUACCUUGAAUGAUGAACUUUAGAUCGAUACUCAUUUUUGAGAUGUUAAUCGUGCNNNNNNNNNNNNNNNNNNNNNNNNNNNNNNNNNNNNNNNNNNNNNNNNNNNNNNNNNNNNNNNNNNNNNNNNNNNNNNNNNNNNNNNNNNNNNNNNNNNNNNNNUUGCAGAAUUUAUGGUGAACUUUGGAGGUUCUUGAAGUUGGAUGUAGGAGCUUAGGGUUUUCUUUUGGAGGGAUUUUGAUGAAAUAUAACAUAUAAUGCUUCUAAUAGGCUUUAAUAUAGGGUUUGGACGGAUUUUGGGUGAGGAGAAAUAACCAAAAUGCCCCUAAAAAUAAAAAAAAAUUCUCUAAUCUGUCCUUUGGUGGACUAUUUUGAUAGUCUGAAGUAGAUCAACCAUAACGUUUUGCUCCAAUAGACGAAUUGGAUGAAACCAAUUUCAUUAAAAAGAGGACUCUCAUAUCUUUCCGUUGAUAUAUAGUAUCUCACCGAGAUCAUUGUGUACGAGGAGUUAUGGUCUUUUGAAGUUGACCCCAAAAUUUACUUUUGAUAGGUUGAAGUAGAUCAACCAUAACGUUUUGCUCCAAUAGACGAAUUGGAUGAAACCAAUUUCAUUGGAAAGAGGACUCACAGAGCUUUUCGUUGAUAUAUAGUAAAUCACCCAGAUCAUUAUGUACAAGGAGUUAUGAUCAUUUAUAGUUGGAGGAAAAAUACGCCAGCCCUUAGUUAUUUUACCUGCACGUUUUACUGUUCACUACUAUUCACGGUUCGAUUGGAAUGUUCAUAACUCGUCGCUCGGGUGUCCGUUUUGGAUGAUCCACAUAUCGUUGGAAAUAUUAUUCGAUACUCUACGCAAUUGUGGGUCAUAAUCUAAGAUAUUUCGCACGAAAAAUUUAUAAUUCAUUCUAGAAGAUUGAACCCAACACGUUUACGCACAAAAUUUCAACGAAAAAUUUCUCGGGGUAUUACACCAACCUUCACUUAUAUAUAGUAAUUGUCACACCUCUUUUUUAACCUGAAAACAUUCAUUUUUUAAGUUUGAAAGGGUUUUUAUUAUUAAGUGACAAAAAGAUGAAAAUUUAUUUCGUAAAGGUCUUUUUAUAUUCAAAACUCAGAGUCGCCACUUGGCAUAAAUUGGGUGUGCCAAGUCACCUGUAGAUAUUCUUUUCAAAAUGGUUUUGAAUCUGUAAAACUUAUCCGCGAACAGAGAUUCCAGCUAAGGAAUUCUGUUGACCAAAGAGAAGGUGUUAGGCACCCCUCGGUCCCGUGGUUUGACAAAGUCGCUUGAUGGAGAGUAUCGGCUAAUUAGACACCACGAAUGUAUAAACCACACAAAUCACAUAAACAAUCAUCAAACAACAAUUCAAAACUAAAAUAAUAAUGUCCAAUCCAAUUAUACAGUCCAAAACAGAAAAAUCGCAAAAAAUAUAUAUCCUAUUCUAUACUAAUGCUAGAAUAAACUCCAACCCGAUGCCUCCGGCCUUCGUCGCGAACGUCCUUCGGGUACAAAUACUUCGGUUCAUUCCCCGACCAAUAAACACAAUUACCUCGGGGCAUUCCCUAGCCAAAUGAAUACAAUUGAGUCGAAUACGAUAAAACAAAAUCAUUUCAACACAUAUCUCAAACAUUCAAUCAAUGCACAAUCUCUAGAUUUGCCUACCCGACCUAUGUCUAGCCUAUUCCUUCUUGACCUAAAACAUGGCACUAUCGGGUUCAACCAUAUUCAUGUUUAAAUCGAAUUACACCAACAUCAAUAAAUCUAAAUUAAUUUGUAUUCAUUUUUUUCAUUAAGAUCGAUUCAUCUCUAAACCAUUCUCAAAAUAAUUAAUUACUUCUUCGACUACUAAUCCAAGUUUUCAACAUUUGAAUUCAAUAUCAACCAAUACACAAUCAAGAUUCAAACAUACCAAACACACAAAUCCUCCACUCUUAUGUAAAAAUUAAAUGGAGAAAGGAUAAAAUUGGACCUUAAUGAUGAUUUUAAUCUAAAUAUCAGUCAAUCGAGAAGUCAGAGUUCGUGUGUCGAAGAACCCCGAAUCAGCCUCGACAACGAAUCAAAUUCAAACUCGGUAUCAGAAAUCGAAGCCCGUCAAACCAAACCCGCAACUCGAAGCAAAGAUUUCAAAGUCCGAAAACCCAUACCUGAUCAACCCGCUCAGUUACUAUUUUUGGUUUUUUUGGUAGAUCUCACCGAAAUCAAUACUGGUUGAGCCAAUUUUGAUUACUCGCCAGCGGGUUUUGGCACCUUUCGAUGAAUGAUCGCCAGAAAUGACCCUGGGGGUCGGUUCGGUGGUUUCCCAGCAUUCUCCUAUCAAUGUGGUAGCGUCGCCAAAGCUCCGGCAAGCUUAACAGCGGCGUCACUGUCUUCCUCCUCCCAAAUUCUCUCUCUCGUUCGACCUCUCCUCUCUCUCCAGAUCAAUAUCUCUUACUUAUGUAUCGGUGUAUGAAUCUUAAGAAUAUUCAUGAGUGAGUGACCUAUAUGAUCUAUGUGUAUGCUGCCCAUUUUUUGGUUAAUAGUGCAUGUGUACGUGACUAGUGAAGAAGAAGAAACCCCUUUGUGCCUAUAUUUUCCUGUAUCUAUAUUGCCCACCCCCCCAAUGUGCUGAUAUGAAUUAGAAAAUCCCCUCAAUCUUCUCCGUGGCCCCCCCUCUUUUUUGUUGCUCUCUCCGUAUGUAUAUAUAUGGAAAUUUCUUUUAAAGGUGAUGAAUUGUGUGAUGUCAAAAGCAAGUGCCUCCCCCCCCGGUGAGAGUUUUUUUUUUCAAUUGGAAAAGAUGAAAUCUUCUUGGUGGGCUCUUAUUAUCUGAUAUGUUUGUUAUCAAAAGAAGCCAAAAAGAAAUACAAGGGGUACGUAGGGUAUGGGUUUAGGGUAGGGUAGUGGUGAGGUGGCCUAAUUUAAUAGGGAGGGUUGUUAAUUUGUUAUCAAUUGAGAUGAGGUGGGAACUUUGGGAUAAAAUUUGUUUAGAGUUGGUCAUUGUUUUGUCAUUUUAUGGAGGGGUUAUCAUGUAGAUGAUGGUACGCGGUAGGAUAAAGUAAAAAUGGAUAAAGGUGAUGUCGGGGAGGGACGAAAUUAGAUGUCUACAUCAUGCCCCCUUUGAAUGUAAACACGCAGUGUUUUCAGACAAAGAAGUAGAUAACAAGACAGAAUUUUGUCCCGGCCAUUAUUCAGAGGAAGAAACAGAAGGAAAAAGGAUGACCAAGUCCUGACUUCGGACAUUCUAGUUACCCAAGUUAUGGAGGAAUCAGGUGACGGGUAUUUCAAAGGAUUUGAAAGAGAAGGACUAUACCGAGUUGGAGAGUCGAGUGAGGUCCCAUCGAGGUUCCGAUCUGCGGCUCUGUCAUUACAUCAAAAUGAAAAUUACAAGUUAAAACAUAAAUGAAAUUACAAAAUCCUAUCUAUACAGCUUCUGUUGGACUCCUAACUUAAGUUUUAUCACCCUAUUCUUCAGGCGGGCUCCUGACUUGCAAUUUCUUCACCCUGUUCUUUAGGCAGGCUCCUGAGUUGCAAUUUCAUCACUUGUUGCUUGGUUUUAAAUUUCUUCACCCUGUUCUUCAGGCGGUUUCCUGACUUGCUAUUUUAUCAACUUGUUGCUAUGCUUUUAAUUUCUUCACCCUGUUCUGCAGGAAGGCUCCUGACUUGUUAUUUUUCAAUCUGUUUAACUUUUAAUUUCUUCACCUUGUUGCUUGGUUUUCCAUUUAUUCGCCCUGUGCUUUGGGCAGGCUCCUGAAAUCAUAUCAAAACUGGAAAGAAAAUUAUUCCAAAUAAAAAUUAUUAUAAAGAGAAAUUUUGUUUGCCAGAAAAGUAAGUUCCAAAAAAAAGAAUUAAAUUUUUCCCCAGUUUAUCAUCAAAAGACUUUUGUGAAAGUCACAUAAUUAUAGAAAUUAAAGAGAAUAACUCGACUAUAAGGUACGUCUUAUAGGAAUCAAAAGAAUUGACUCGACUAAAAGGUAAAUCUUAUAGGAAUCAAGGGAGAUGACUCGACUAAAAGGUACGUCUUAUAGAAAUCAAUAGGGAUGACUCGACUAAAAGGUACGUCUUACAGGAAUCAAGGGGGAUGACUCGACUAAAAGGUACGUCUUAUAGGAAUCAAAGGGAAUAACUCGACUAAAAGGUACGUCUUCUAGGGGUCAAAGGGGAGAUGACUCGACUAAAAGGUACGUCUUCUAGGGAUCAAGAGAAAUGACUCGACUAAAAGGUACAUCUUAUAGGAAUCAAAGGGAAUGACUCGACUAAAAGGUAAGUCUCAUAGGAAUCAAAGGGGAUGACUCGACUAAAAGGUACGUCUUAUAGGAAUCAAAGGGAAUGACUCGACUAAAAGGUACGUCUUCUAGAGGUCAAAGGAAAUGACCCGACUAAAAGGUACGUCUUAUAGGAAUCAAAGGGAAUGACUCAACUAAAAGGUAUGUCUUAUAGGAAUCAAAGGGGAUGACUCGACUAAAAGGUAUGUCUUAUAAGAAUCAAAGGGAAAUGACUCGACUAAAAGGUAUGUCUUAUAGGAAUCAAAGGGGAGGACUCAACUAAAAGGUACAUCUUCUAGGGGUCAAAGAAAAUGAAUCGACUAAAAGGUACGUCUUAUAAGAAUCAAAGGGGAUGACUCGACUAAAAGGUACGUCUUCUAGGGGUCAAAGGGAAUGACUCGACUAAAAGGUAUCUCUUCUAGGGAUCAAAGGGAAUGACUCGACUAAAAGGUAAGUCUUAUAGGAAUCAAAGAGAAUGACUCGACUAAAAGGUACGUCUUCUAGGAAUCAAAGGGGAUGAAUCCACUAAAAGGUACGUCUUAUAGGAAUCAAAGGGAAUGACUCAACUAAAAGGUAUGUCUUAUAGGAAUCAAAAGGGAUGAGUCGACUAAAAGGUACGUCUUCUCGAAAUCCAGGAAAAUUACUCGACUAAAAGGUACGUCUUCUAAGAGUCAAAGUAAAUGACUCAACAAGAAGGUACGUCUUCUAGGAGUGCAGGUUCAAUUUAAGAAGUGUAUCACCCAACAAAUGAAAACUAAAAUCCCUGGACAGGAAAGUGUGUCUCCGAGGGAUAUAAGAUGGUGAAUUUUUACCAUGAUUUAAUUAUCAAACCUGUGCAGCAACAUUGCUUCCUGCAUUUGUAAAAGCGAGAAAUUAGGGGCCUUGAUGUUUAGGCUUUGAAAUCCUUGAUUUGAAGGUGACAUGUAUUCCUGUUUCAUCCAAAGAAAAGUUGUGAUUUUAAAAACAUGGACACAGGUUUGUGGCUUUGGAUUUCGUGGCAAACGCUCUUGCUGUCAUCACAUUUAACCUUGCUUCCAACCAUUACAUAUAUCAAUGACUUGAUGCAUCAUUGACCCAAACUCAGAUUAUUAAGAGUGACUUUGAAAUAAAUACAGUAUCUUUGCUUUGCCAUGCUCCUUAGAUAAACCCUUUGAACUUUGGUAUUUCCAUGAGGUCUCAGACUUUUUUGUUGAUAGAACUUUCUAUAUGCCUUAUUUCGGCUCAUAAUCAUAUCUCUUUCAUGUGUUGGCCUUUUGUCUCGCUUUUUGCAAUUGAAGAAUCUGGUAGCCAGUUUUGAAAUCUUUUCUCACUUGUUUUGACACAGACUUGACUCAAAGACAAGAAACGAAAAAAGAAUGACAAUUUUUGUUUGGAUAACUUACUCAAGAAAGAUAAAAUAAAAAUAAAGAGAAGAAAGAUUAUGCCAUGCAUUUUGGAUUAAGCAGCUUGAUCUUUUCAUCUAAACUUUCUACCCAUUGUUGUUGUGUUAAUGGCCUUGAAACUGAGUUGCUUCCUUAGGUCAAUUGUAUUUAAGACCCCAUUCGUCUAGUGGUGCCUUGAAGGGUUUUCGCCAACAAGCUUCUCUCAUUUUCUUUUCCUCAGCUCACCAUUGCCUUAUAGUGUCUUUAAGGGUUUUCCACUAAUGAGACUCUCUUAUCUUCGUUUCCCUUAACUCACAGUCGUCUUAUGGUGCCCAUGAGAGUUUUCACCGAUAAGACUCUCUUAUUUUUAUCUCUCUCAACUUUCCAUCGUCCUACGGUGCUCAUAAGAGUUUUCACCAAUAAGACUCUCUCAUUUUUAUUUCUCUCCAACUUUUUAUGCUGAGGAAGACAAAUAGUUCCCAAAUGCAUCAUCAUAUCCCUUGCAUGCUCAGCCUUAACAUCCUUAAAUAUUGAUCUGAAGGUCUUUCUUUGGUUGUAACUUGGUUUUUGGAUAAAGUUAGAAAGAAGGGAUGACAUGAGGCCCAAACAAUACUUGAUGUGGUGUAGGACUUACAACUUUUGGAAUCUACUCAAACAAUGAGGAUUAACUCAUGCCCCAGUUUCUUUUGACUGCGCAAUUCUAAACUAUUUAUUUGGUUGGACCGAGCCCAGGGUAGGGCUGCCUACGUAUCUCACCCCCGAGAGAGGAGAAUCAGGUUACACGUAGUUCUGACAGCUUGUUCUUUCACUUGAUUUUAAGUUUUUUGUUUUCUUUUGUUGACUCUUUUUCUCUUUGGGACAUUUCUAACUUUAUUUUUCUCGACGCUAUUCUUUUUCUCUUUUUGGACACAUUUUUUUCUUUUUUUUGAAACUUUUCUGACUCUACUAUUUUGCUCGACACCUUUUCUUUUAAGCUUGUGAGAUUUUUUGACUCUAUAUUGAUUCCAUAAGAGGGGUGUGAAAUAAAAUAGGACUAAAUCUCAAAUGGGGUAAACAAAGGAUGACACGAUGUUUGGAUAGUAGAAUGAAAUGCGUUCGUCAUAUCAAUCCUUAAAAAUGCAAGUACAUAUCAUGCAAUAUGAAAAUGAAAGAUGAAGAUCAUUUGUGGCACUUUAACAACACUAACUUCAACUGAGCAUGUAUGUCACUUCUUUUUCUACAUUUGUCAAACAUACAACUCCAUUUUCAUUGUACAUUCCUCAUGCUGAAGGAUUCAUGACUUCGUGGAGCUGAUUUUCUUUCUGUUCCUCUUGAUAUAGGAUCACGCAGCCACUGUUUGACCUAAUCGAGACAUGUAUUUCAAUUGAUGACCAAGUUAGUCUUGUAAUCUUAAAAUAAUUGCCUUAAUUUUCAAAGAAGACUUCAACUUGGUCACCAAAUGUCUCAACACUCUACCUAUUUUCUCAGAUGCUUUUUCUAACUUUAACCCUAUGAUUCCAUGCUCAUGCUUAAACUAGAUUUUAAAAUCUGGCUGAAAAUUCCGCUAGCAUAUCAUAUUACCAGAAUCAACAUAAAAUAUACUAUGUAAAGAAAACAAAAAAACAACACUUUUAAAUCACAAAGGAAAUGGGGACACUCUAUUUAAUUAAAAUGAAAGAUAGAAGGGUUUGAACAUAAUGACAAAGGGACAAAACAAAAUAGAUCCCGAACUAAAACUCUGAAAUAAUUCAAAAAACAGAAAAGAAGACAAAACAAACUACUAGACCUCUUCCUAGUAAGGAGAUGGGUGACUUCUCAAUUGCUCAGCCUGACAUCUUAGCCACUGAUUUGCAUAUCAGCAUGAAUAGAGCUUUCCUCACUGUCAAUAUUCUGUACCAUAAUUAAUUUAUCUUGAAUCAUCUUUUCAAUUUCUCUUUUCAAAGCAUGACAAUUUUCAAUACUGUGACCCUGAACAGCAGAAUGAUAUGCACAUCGUAUAUUAGGAUCAAAACUUCUUGAAUAUGGGCUAGGAGUAUACCCAAGGAGAGAAGUGAUCAUGCCCUGCUGUACCAAUCUCUAGAAUAAACUAGCAUAGGAUUCCCAAUAGGAGUGAAAUUAUCUUUUUCCUUCCUCCUCUUUACGAACUCUGGCCUUGGAUGAAACUUAGAUUUAGAGGUUCCUUGGUAAAUUUGUAGGGGUCUAGGAUGAUGUUGAGGGACAGGUUCAUGCUAUUGUGGAUAAGAAGAUGGAUGAGCAUACAAUUGUGCAUUGUUUAAAGGAUAUUGAGGAAGUGGAAUGGGUUUUCUUGGAUUUUGGGUAAAGAAACCUUGUUGUAAGUGGUUACGUGGAUCUAAUAUGUAAGCUCGGGAUUGAGGUUGAAUGUAUUGGUGGGUUGGACCUCUCAAACUCUGCUUUGGCCCUGGCAUGACAAUAGGUGCAUUUUCCUUCUUCUUUUCUUCAGUUUCCCUUGGUUGAUUGCAAUGUCGUCCCAAAUGUUUCACAAAAUCCUUCUGUCUAUCAGGAUCCCCAAAUUUUGUUGUCUCAAAUCUAAGAGGAAGGUUAACACUUGAAGACAUGCCCCAAUUUUUAUAUGAAACAUCUUCAUAGCCCAUAAGUCCAAGGGAAUUUUCCAUAUUAUUUUCUACACUCUUAACUUUCCCAACCACUUUCUCUAGCUCUUCUAGCAUGCUAGGCUUCUUAGUAAGAAAUUUUGGCGGUCCACUUAAUUUAAUGGUAGGCUCAAGAGUAUGAUCAUCAAGAGUAUUGAACGUGGAUACACUAGUGGACUGGGGAAGCACAAUCAUUAGAUUGAUAGCCAAAGUGGAAGUCUUAGUAGAAGGUUGAGCAACAAAAGCACAAACGGUAUGUGGUGUUGUGAAUGUGGUAGACUUAUACUGAGGAGCUAAAGAAAGAGUGGUGAAAGUAUUGAGUUACAUUUUACGUGGAAUAGAUUCUGAGGCAUGCUGUGGUGCAUCAACAAUAGUAGGAAACUGACUUUGCAAUUUUGGUGGAAGACUCAAGGUAUUUGUAGGGUCAAAAGUGGGGAACGGAGGUGGAGGCAGCCCACUAGCCCAAGCUCGGUACAUUUCCAUCAUUUGUUGUCUCAGUCUCAAAUUCUCUUCCUUUAAACUCUCAAUUUCCUGACUCUUUGUUUCAUCCAUGAGGCCACUCUCUAUAUCCUUGUUGGACACAACUAACCCUUUCUUGAAUUUGGUAUGAUAUGAAGGAUCAGUCAGGAUGCCACAAACCAACCACCUUAAACUAACUGCAUAAGAGGUAACAAGGUGUUAAAGUUCAACACUUUCUCAAAAUCUUCUUUUUUUUUUUUAGUUUUUCUUUUUCUUUGAAAAAGAUCACCGAACCCAAAAAAGGGUGCCUACGUAUCUAACCCCCGAAAGGAGAGAAUCAGGUGUGCGUAAUUCGUGAUGUUUUGCCAAAAUGGCCAAUUAAAAUCUUUUUCUUUUCUUUUUUUCUUUUUCUUGAAACUUUAAGAAGAAAAAGAAAAUAACCAAUUAUCAAAAGAAUUGACGAAAAUAUUUUUUGCAUUUUUUUAGGUUUAAACUCCCUAUACAAAAAUGAAACCUACGAUUACCAAAGAAAAAUCUUUUUGGAUUUUCAAUUUUGAAUUUUAUAUGAAUAUUAAACUUGAAGCUCUUAAAGGAAAAUCUUUUUAUAGUUUUCUUUUAAAAAUGUAUAUGAAACACCUACUCUAAUAACGACUGAAGAAAAUCUUUUUGAAUUUUCAAAUAAGAUCAACCAAAAAUGAAACCUACGACUAUUAAGGAAAAUCUUUUUGUAGUGUUCUUUUCGAGGCAUAUGUGAAACACCUACUCUAAGUGAAAAGUGAAGAAUUUUUUUUUUAAUUUUUUAAAUAAGAUCCCGAACCAACAAUAGGUUGCCUACGUAUUUCACUCCCAAGAGAGGAGAAUCAGGGGUGCGUAGUUCAUCAAGUCUGGACAAUUGAGGAUAAAUAAUGAACUGAACCCUAACUUAAGAGACACGACCAAAGACAGACGAUGAACAAUGUAAAUAAAAUUUUUUCGAGUUUUCAUUUAGACAAUUCACAUAAGACUGACACUAACAACUAUGAAAGAAAAAUCUUUUUGGCAUUUUCAUUUUAUGAAAUGGACACAACUACUACCAUUUUUGAAACUUCUAAAGAAAAUCUUUUUCUGGAAUUUCUUAAUUAUGAAUGCAUGCUAAAGAAGAUAAAUGGAAAAUCUUUUUGAAAUUUUAUUUAUUUGAGAAAAUGAGUACGAAAGGUAAAAAAUCUUUUUGAAUUUUUGAAUUGUGAAAAAAUUAAAGCCAUAAAGAAUACUAAAAGCUAUGAAACCCUUUUUGACUCAUUUUUCUUUUUCUUUUUUUUUUUCAAACACUCCUUACUUCUAACACAUGCUUUUCCUGAAUCAGUCCAUCAAAUGACCCCUUACCCUCAAAAGUGCAACAGUUAGCAUGUAGAGAUGACUUAUGGGUGAGCCUCCUAUGAAGGACCAAGUGGGCGCCACUAGGUCUCAAUAUGAUACCCAUAAAUAUGACCUAAAGGCUGACCUACGCUGGGAUUUACUAACAAGGCUGUUUAGGGGAGCGUAUGGUCGAUAGUGGCUGCGACAGCUUUCCACCCACUUCAUACGUCCAAUGGCUCCCCCUCCUAAAAUAAAGGUGACUGAACUAGAGUUCAUAUACACGACUUGCACUCUGAGACUUGUUGCAGAAAGAAUUGACCCGGGUUAUGCAAAUGAUGCCAGAUAUAAAGCGUUAACACAUAAAUAAAAACCAUAAACAAAGAGCACGUAGGCACUCCACAAUGAUUAAAUAAAUACAAAUGAUAACACAGAUAAUGUCUAUACACCCAUAAUGUCAAACUAAGCUGAUACAACUCCAAAAAAUAAGCUCGAAUUCUGAAAGUUCCCCAGCAGAGUCGCCAGAGCUAUCACACCCCUUUUUAAAUCUGAAAAGAUUUAUUUUUUAAGUUCAAAAGGGUUUUUAUUAUUAAGUGACAAAACGAUGAAAAUUUGUUUCGAAAAGGACUUUUUAUAUUCCAAACUUAGAGUCGCCACUUGGCAUAAAUUGGGUGUGCCAAUUCACCCGUGGAUAUCCUUUUCAAAAUGGUUUUGACUCUGUAACACUGAUUCGCGAAUAGAGAUUCCAGCUAAGGAAUUCUGUUGACCGAAGGGAAGGUGUUAGGCACCCCUCGAUCUCGUGGUUUGACCACGGUCUAUUGAUGGAGAGUAUCGGCUAAUUAGACACCACGAAUGUAUAAACCACACAAAGCACAUAAACAAACAUCAAACAACAAUCCAAAAUCAAAAUAAUAAUGUUCAGUCCAAUUAAACAGUCCAAAACAGAAAAAUCGCAAAAAAUAUAAAUCCUAUUCUAUACUAAUGCUAGAAUAAACUCCAACCCGACGCCUCAGGCCUUCGUCGCGAACGUCCUCUGGGUACAAAUACUUCAGGGAGAGUUCGCAUGUCGAAGAACCCCAAAUCAGCCUCGACAACGAAUCAAAUUCCAACCCGGUAUCAGAAAUCAAAGCCCAUCAAACCAAACCGGCAACUCAAAGCAAAUAUUACAAAGUCCGAAAGCCCGUACCUGAUCAGCCUACUCCGUUACUAUUUUUGGUCAUUUUUCGGUAGAUCUCACCAGAAUCAAGACUGGUUGAGCCAAUUUUGAUUGCUUGCCAGCGGGUUUCGACACCUUUCGAUGGAUGGUCGCCGGAAAUGACCCUGGGGGUCGGGUCGGUGGUUUCCCAGCAUUCUCCUAUCAAUGUGGUCGCCAAAGCUCCGGCAAGCUUAACAGCGGCGUCGCUGUCUUCCUCCUCCCAAAUUCUCUCUCGUUCGACCUCUCUUCUCUCUCCAGAUCAAUAUCUCUCAUUUGUGUGUUAGUGUAUGAAUCUCGAGAAUAUUCAUGAGUGAGUGACCUAUGUGAGCUAUGUGAAUGUUGACCAUUUUUCGAUGAACAGUGCGUGUGUGCAUGAAUAGUGAAGAAGAAUAAGAAACCCCCUUGUGCCUAUAUUAUCCUGUAUCUAUAUUCCCCUCUCCAAUGUGCUGAUAUGAAUUGGAAAAUCCCCUCAAUCUUCUUCGUGGGCCCCUCUCUUUUUUGUUACUCUCUCCGUAUGUAUAUAUAUGGAGAUUUCUUUUAAAGGUGAUGAAUUGUGUGAUGUCAAAAACAAGUGGGCCCUCCUGGUGGGAGUUUUUUUUUUGAAUUGGAAAAGAUGGAAUCUUCCUGGUGGGCUCUUAUUAUCUGACGUGUUUGUUAUCAAAAGAAGCCAAAAAGAAAUACAAGGGGUACGUAGGGUAUGGGGUUAGGGUUGGGUAGUGGUGAGGUGGCCUAAUUUAAUAGGGAAGAUUGUUAAUUUGUUAUCAAUUGAGAUGAGGUGAGAACUUUGGGAUAAAAUUUAUUUUAUGGAGGGGUUAUCAUGUAGAUGAGGGUACACGGUAGGAUAAAGUAAAAAUGGGUAAAAGUGAUGUCGGGGAGGGACGAAAUUAGGUGUCUACAGUAGUAAUAGUAAUUUAUUAGUUUUAUCAUCAUUUUUAUGGUGCAAUAAAAUGGUUACACAUGCAUAUUAUUUUUUUCUUAUAUUUAUUAGUUUUAUCCUCAUGUAUUAUUUUAAUAAUAUUUUUAUUUAGACCUUUGUAAUUGAAUUAUACAUGGUAGUAUUUUUUUAUAAAUAUCUUUUUGUUCCUUAUUAAAUGAUUAUCAAGGGUAUUUCAGUAAUUUUAUGGUUCAAUAAAAUGAUUACACAUGCCUAUUAUUUUUCUUUAUAUUUAUCAGUUUUGUCCUUAUUUUUAUGGUGCAAUAAAAUAGUUAGACAUGCAUAUUAUUUUUUCUUAUAUUUAAUAGUUUUGUAGUAGUCAUAAAGUAAUAAUAAUAAUAAUAAAAACAACAACAACAACAAUAGUAGUAAUAGUAAAUAUAUAUAUAUAUAUAUAUAUAUACCACAAAAGAAAAAUUAGUAGUACACCAAACCUUUUUUCCUUAUAUGUAUUAAUUUUGUCGUCAUUUUUAUGGUACAAUAAAAUGGUUAAACAUGCAUAUUGCUUUUUUCUUAUAUUUAUUUAUUUUGUCCUCAUGUAUUAUUUUAAUAAUAUUUUUAUUUAGACCUUUCUAAUUGAAUUAUACAUGGUAAUAUUUUUUUAUAAAUGUCUUUUUUUCCUUAUUAAAUGACUACCAAGGGUUUAACCAAAAAAAGACUACCAAGGGUAUUUGGGUAAUUUUAUGGUGCAAUAAAUAUUUCGAAAUCGAUGUAUGUCCAUAUGCAUGUGUAACCAUUUUAUUUAUUUUUAUAAUUAUAUAUAAGUGAAGGUUGGGGUGACUAAAAUUACCAAAAUACCCUUUUUUUGUUGAAUAGAGCAUUGAAAGAUAAAAGUUACACUGUUAGUGAAUUACAUAGAGCCAGGCUAGUUAGCCUGGGUUAAUAGCAAAAGAUAAAGAUUCGGCAGACAAAGUUUGUGCUGCAGGUAAUCUAGUACAUCUUUCAAAAGACGUGCCUACCAUGUCUGCCCACAAAGACUGUCGGGCAUACACGGGAGGAGCUAGGAAUAUUUCAGCUUCUUCAAAAAAAGAGGAGGUUGCUCCAUUUUUAGCUAGUACAUCAGCAACUUGAUUUUGUUUCCUGUAGAUAUGAGUUACCACUGAUCCCUACAUCCUUGCUAAUCUAGUCCUGCACUCAUCAAUAAUUCCGUUAUAGAGGGGGUUACCCUUUCUUAACAUUUUAAUAACUUUCAUGGAAUUGGAAUUAAUUUCAAUAGGCAAUAGGCUUUGAGACUCGCAUAUUUUAAGACUUUUCAAGAGAGCUAAAAGUUCCAUGUGGUUGUUCAUAGCAUGAAGAAAACUCUUGGUGAAACCUAUAAGCCAAUCUUCGUUGUGAUUCCUAACAAUGCCACCAAUGCCCUCUUUCCCCGGGUUACCUAAACAAGAGCCGUCUAUGUUGAGCAUGAGAGAGUCCCUUUUAGGAGGAUUCCACUUAGUGGAGAUGUUCAUUAAUCUACUGAGGUGGGGUCUUUGGCUGCUAAUGUGACUAAAUUUAAUAGCUUCAGUAUAAGCCUCAUGGAAGAAGGGUUUACUGGAGGAGUUGUUAAAGAGAUUAAAAUUUUUAUUCUUCCAAAUCACCCAGAGACAUUGGGGGAGGGUUUCAAACCACAAUAGUAUAUUAUCAUAAGGUUUGUGUUUGAUCUUGGUCCAGUUGUUAGUCCAGCUUUAAGAGAGUAUGUUGGAGUGGGAGAAGGCACAAGGUUUCUUGGCUUUAUGAAACAAAUCAUUCCAGAGAUCCGUAGUUAGAGGGCAUCCAAAGAAAAUGUGGUGCCUAUCUUCAGGGGUCUGGUUACACCCAUGAAAGUCAGGGCUUAUAGCUAGACCUUUUUGGCUAGAUUAAGGCUUGUGGGAAGCCUAUUAUGAACAAGCAGCCAAAUAAAGUAUUUGAUCUUAUUUUGAGCAGGGAGGGACCAGAUGAUGUUGAAAUUUGUGGAGCAAUUGUUGAAGCUCUAGUUUCCUUUAUUAAUAAGGUAAUUGUAGGAAGAGCUACAGGAGAAAGAACCAGUCCUUUUAGGUCCCAAACAGGGAAGUCUUCAAGGAUCCUAUGGUUGGGAUAAAAAGCACUUUUAAUGUGGCAUUGGAUAUUUUGAGGAAUUUCCAUGUUAAGAUUGCUGAAAUCCCAACUAUUGUCCUUCCAGGUAUUAGAAAGCUUGGUAUUUUGAUCAUGAGGAGUUAGAGGGCCCUAAAUAAGGUUCCUAAGGGCAAGUUAAUUGGGGAUCCACUUGUCCAUCCAGAAAAGAAUAUUCGGGCCAUUUUUUGCACUCCAGGUACAGGAUUCAUUGCAUUGACUCCAACCCCUGUGAAGAGAUCUCCAGGUCCUAGAGUUGGAGGGGUUAGAGUUAAUACUUUUUUGCAAUACUUAUUUUUUAGGAUAGAAGCCUAGAGAGUCUGAGGGUUUUUAAUGAACCUCCGACAAGGCUCAUAAAAAGAGAAGUAUUCUUAGGCUUGGAUCUUUGAAUCCAUAAUCCACCCUCCUUUUUUGGGAGGGUGAUAGUGUUUCAAGAGAGCUAGUGGAUUUUCCUAACCCUUCCAUAGUGCCCCAUAGAAAAUUUCUUUGGAUUAUGUCAAUAGAGUUCAAGAUCUUAUUGGGAAUGGCAAUGAAUUACAUUAUGUGAUUGGGAAUGCUAUUGAGAGAAGCUUUUUCCAGGAUAGUUCUCCCAGACAUGUUAAGGAAUUUCGUCUUCCAACCCCUAAAUUUGGAGUUCAGGGAGUCCAGAAUGAAUUUGAAGUCCUAAUUUGUAGGGUUUUUUUUAUGAAAGAUGGGAAAUUAGGUAUUUCUCAUACUCAUGACCUUCUUUGAUUUUAAGGUCAGUGGCUAACUUCUCUCUAAGUUCAGUCUUACAGUUAUGGGAGAAGAUGAGCUUAGACUUAGACGAAUUGAACCUUUAUCUAGAGAAAUGUCUGAAUAUAUUAAGAGUGUGAAAAAUGGUGUGAUAGUUUUUGUGGUUAACCCUGGCAAAAAAGAUGAGGUCAUCAACAAAGAAGAGGUGGGAUAAGGAAGGGCCACCUCUACUGAUGGAGAUAGGAGUCUAGUUGAGAGUGUCCACCUCAUGAUUUAUUCUUCUAGAGAGAAGUUCCAUAUAGAUGAUAAAAAGAUAGGGAGAGUUGGGGUCCCUCUAUCUAAUUUCUCUGGUGGGAAUAAAGAAAUCAGUUUUGUCCCCAUUAACCAGGAUAGAGAUGGAAGAAGUAGAAAUGCAAGACAUGAUGAGGGCACUGAGUUUAGGGGGAAAAUUGAGAAAAUGAAGGGUUUGCCUGAUGAAGGACCAUUCAAUUCUAUCAAAAGCCCUUUUUAAGUCAAUUUUAAGGAUCAUAUUUGAUUGUUUGCCUUUCAUCUUAGAGAAGUGGGUUAUAUAUUUCUGCAUAAUAAUGCCAUUAUCAGCAACCUUUCUGUUUGAGAGAAAAAUAGCUUGGGUGGGGCUGAUAAGAUCUGCCAGGAAGGGCUUUAUUCUGUUGGCAAUGAUCUUGGUUAUAAUUUUGUAUUGGGUAUUGCAUAGGCCAAUAGGCUUAAAAUUCUUCAGGUGGGUAGCAUUUUUUGUUUUGGGAAUAAGGCACAGGUAAGUGGUAUUGACCUCCUCCUCCAUGGUAGCCAUACUAAAAGUUUUCUGGCCGAACUUGAUGACAGAGGGACUUAGAAUAUCCCAGUAUUUAUGUUGAAGAAGGGGGUGGAUACCCUCAGGCCCAGGAGAUUCUUUGGGCUUGAAAGAGAAAGCAACCCUCUUAAUCUCUUCAGGAUCAGGAAUAGAGAAAGCAACCCUCUUAAUCUCUUCAGGAUCAGAUGGAGCCUCUGGAGGAAGGGCUGACUUGGCAUUUGAAGGGUGAAGUAGCAUGGUCAGAUAUGAAUAUAGUAUGGUAGUAGUUAAGAAUGCUACUCUUGAACGUCUUCUAGAGAGUGGGACCAGAGCCCUGAAUCAUCUUUUAGGGAGUUGAUUCUAUUGUUUCUUCUUCUAUUAAGGGUGAAAUUAUGGAAGAAGCUAGUGUUCCUGUCCCAUCCAGUUAGCCAGUUUAUUCUGGACUUUAAUUGCCAAAAUUCUUACUCCUGUUUGAGGAUGGCACUGAACUCCCUGGAGAGAUUGGAUUCUAGAUCAUGGAGGAAGGAAUUGUAAGGAUAAUCAGGGGAUCUCUGAAUUCCAGAUAAUCUGGCGAGGAGUUUUUUAUUUUUUAGGAAUAUGUUACCAAAGGUUUCCUUAUUCCACUUGGAGCUGUUGGUUUCAAAGUGAGAAAUAGCUUUGGUGAGAUUAGGAGCAUUUUCAAAAGAAUUCCUGACCAUUUGGGGAAAAGAGGGACUAGAACACCACAUAGAUUCCAUUCUGAAAGGUUUAUGAUGGUGAGUGUGAUGGUUGUCAAGGUUGAUGAGCAGGGGGAGUGAUCAGAAUGAGUUCUAGAAAGAUUGGUGACAGAGGCAUCAGGGAAGAGCUUGAUACAUGUGUCAUUAGCCAGGCACCUCUCUAGCCUUUCAAGAAUAAGGGCAUGCCUUUUUUUAUAUCUUUUGUUGGUCCAGGUGUAUCUACUUCCUUUGAACCCAAGAUCAAUAAGUUGGCAGCAUUUAAUGCAAUCCCAAAAGUGAUUGGCCCUAAAGUUAUUUAUAGGAUUCCCCCCAAAAUUUUUCAUUGGCUUUAAGAAUUUCAUUAAAAUCACCACCCACCAACCAAGCAUUGUUAGGCUGGUUUCUUAUGAAAACAACAAAGUUGUUUAGUUAAUUCCAGAGAUCCAGUCUUUUCUCAUGCCUAUUACUUGCAUAAAAGGUGCUAAAGAACCACAUAGAAGGAGAAUUGCUAACCUAAACAGAAAUAUGGAUGCCUUGGAGGGAGAUGUUGAUGUCAUUAAUGGAAAGAUUGUCAUCCUUCCACAUGAUUACUAGGCCUCCAGAACUCCUAACAGAUGGGUAUUGGAUUUUCUUGGGAAAGCCCAGGUCCUCAGCAAUUUUAUUAUGGUCACUCAUUCUAGUUUCCAAGAGGGCACGGAUCGAAGAAUUAUGGAUGUCUACCAUGGCUUUGCAGUGUCUCUUGAAUUCUGCACUGUUAGCCCCUCUAGUGUUCCAUAUUAUGUAGUUCUUCAUCAAGAGAGAUAGGUUGAGGAUUUCCUGCAUAAUCGCUUUGCCCUUCCCCAGUGGGUGAGGCAGGUUGAGAUCCCCUGAUCUCUUUUUCUUCCUGAUUAAAGGGGAUAUCUUCGUCUUGUAGAAGUUCUUUAUUAUUGGACUUGGUGGGGUGAUUUCCAGAUCGAAAAGGCAUACAUCCUUUGGGAUAAGAACUAUAGUCAGUUCGCUUAUGAUAUCCUUGAAAGUGAGAUGAAUUGGCUUUUCUAGGGUGACUACUUGUGUGCUUGGAACUCGCAUUGUGGCUAGAAUGGACUCCAUUUCCCUAUUGCUUUCUCUUAGUAUCUCUAGAGUUUUCCCCUUUCUACAGUCUCGAGUGGAGGACAGGGGUUUGAGGGAGUGGGUGGACAUUGUGUCAGUGUUGGGGUAUCCCCAGAGAUUAGCGCAAAAGGAGGUCCCUCUUCCAAGAGAGUUAUCAUUCGAGGGGGGAACAAAGGUAGAGACUGACUGACUAGGCUCAUUUAUGUGUUGAUCAUUUUCAUGGUUAGGGUCCCCAUUGAUGAUAUAUUGGUCAGGCGAAUAAGAGCCGUCAUCCAAAUGUUGGGGCCGAAAUUCUGAAGCCCUUGUCUUAGUCCCUUCAUGAAUACUUGGGCAAGAUAGAGGGAGUUCUGGAUGAAGAUUUUGAACCUUCUCCCUCCCCAUUCUAGUUGAUGAGGGACUAUCUGUUCCGUCAAUCCCAUUUCUAACCAGGAGGAUGGUUGGUAAUUUAUGGGUAGAGGGAGUGUAGAGAAGAUCAGAGUUUGGAGGUCCAGAUUUGAAUUCAGAGAUGGUAGGUCCUCCAUUUUUUUUGGAUUGGUUUAGGGGUUCCUGUUGAUUGUUAAAUCUCUGAGAGAUGUUAGCUAGGGUAACCUCUACAGAAGAAGUAUUUUGGAGAAGAAAAGAUUUUUGUCCCAUUGUCAAGGAAGCAUCAGUCAUGUCUUGGUCAGUGAUUUGACUAGUUGAAGCUUUUAGCUUCCUAGGAGAAGGAGCCUUAGAGGCAUCAUUAGUGGUGGACGAAGGGGCUAAAUUUUGAGGAUAGUUGGUCAUUUUUCCCCCCAACAAGACAUCUUGUUGAGGGAGUUAAGAGGUAUUGACUUGAUGAUUGGGCCCCUUCCCGAGAGAAUGUGAUUUGGGCUCAUUCCCAAAAUGUUUGGUUAGGAAACCCAAGUUGGGUCUGUUGUUAGAGUUUCUAACAUUAGAGGGCCCAGGAGAGUUGGAACUAGGGCCAUGGGUAAUGGGAUUUUGGGUAGAGGGCCCAUUCCCCUUCAGAUCAGGAUCCGGUUGGCCAGAACCCUUGUUCCUUUGUUCUCAUUCUCUUUCGUAAUUGUGUCAUUCCCUUUGGAGAGGGCAGAAGGAAUCUUUAAUUGAGAGUUCGGUAGAAGAGAGAGCUUACCUUUUCCUUUCGUAUUUAGGUUUUGUUGAGACAUGGAGGGUUUACUUUUAUUGGUGCUCUUACCUCUCCCUCUUUUGAAGGAGACUGUUUUCCAUUUCGAUUAUUCAUCACUGUGGAGUUGAGAGUUUUGGGGUUGCUACACCUGUUCCUUCUCCCUGGAGAUCUGUGCUUUCCUACAAUAGGUACUGGUGUGGCCAAGACAACCACAACCAUGGCAUAGGAAACCUUCGCCUUCGUAGAGAAUUUUUUGUGAGUGCUGGCCAAUCAAUACUGAAGUCCGUAUUCGAGUUUCCAUGGGAGCUUGGAUGCAGAUACGCGCGUAUCGUCCCCUCAAAGUAGAGGAGGUACAAACGUCUACCUUGAGUAGCUUCCCGAUUUUCCCUCCAAUUUUUUCCAAAAUAUCCUUAUCAUAGAAUUUUGUUGGUAAUUGGGGGAACCUAACCCAUAUAGCAGUAGUCAAGAUCUUGUUUUCUGUGGGCAUGAAGUUGGGAUCCCAGCAGCGAAUCGAUAUAUAGGCUCUUGCAAUGAACCAUGGUCCCUGUUGGAGCGUUUUUCUUUGGUAUUCUUCGCAGUCAAAUUUGACGGUGUAGAAUUUCUUGCCAAGAUCUAUUAACACAAGGUUCCCCUGAAUUUUCCAUAGCUCAAUUAGCUUUAUUCUUAAGUAUUGGUGAGCGAAUUUCUUCCCCACAGGCUUGAUAAUUACUGAGAAUCUCCAUGGCUUAUAGAUCCGCAAUUUGUCAUCUGGGGUGAGGGGAAUGACGUCAUCUGAAGUCAGUGGAGUCUCUGAGUAGGAUAGGUUUUCCAAAGACAAUAGCGGUUCAUUUGGUGUGUAGAGGGUUUCCCUCACAAUGUCGCUGUACGAUGCCAUUUUUGGAUUGAAUUGCCAUUUGGUAUUCUCCUUUGUCAGGAGGCUCCAGAGGGGUGAGGGGUAUAGGGUGGGAUAAUGUAGCUUCGAUCAUUGGAUUGGGACAAUUACAGUAGGGAAGAAGAUAAGAGAGAAGGUGGACCUUCUCUCCGUAACUAUUUCUUGUGGGAAAUGAUAUUUAGCUGCAAAAUAUUUCUUACCGAAAUAACCUUUGUAGUAGUAGUAGUAAUAAUAAUAAUAAUAACAACAACAACAACAACAACAACAACAACAACAACAACAACAAUAGUAGUAAUAGUAAUAGUAAAAAAAAAUGAAUAUAUAAGUAAAGGUUUUGUAGUACCACAAAAGACAAAUUAGUAGUACACCAAAUCUUUACUUAUAUAUAAUAGAUAGAAAUAAUAGUAAUUUAUUAGUUUUAUCAUUAUUUAGAGAAAAGUUAUAUUUUCCACCUCAAACUAUACAUGAAAAGUCUAGGACACACUCAAACUAUCAUACUGACCUAUUACACGCCUAUACUAUAUAAAAGUGAAACCAUUAGUCCUCAAGUAUUAUUUUAAAAAUAUUUUUAUUUAGACCUUUGUAAUUGAAUUAUACAUGGUAGUAUUUUUUUAUAAAUAUCUUUUUGUUCCUUAUUAAAUGUUACCAAGGGUAUUUCAGUAAUUUUAUGGUGUAAUAAAAUGGUUGCACUUGCAUAUUAUUUUUUUCCUUAUAUUUAUUAAUUUUGUCCUCAUUUUUAUGUGCAAUAAAAUGGUUAGACAUGCAUAUUAUUUUUUUCUUAUAUUUAUUAGUUUUAUCCUCAUGUAUUAUUUUAAUAAUAUUUUUAUUUAGACCUUUGUAAUUGAAUUAUACAUGGUAGUAAUUUUUUAUAAAUAUCUUUUUUGUUGCUUAUUAAAUUACCUAUUUUUAUACCCCAAGGGUAUUUCAAUAAUUUUAUGAUGAAAUAAAAUGGUUACACAUGCAUAUUAAUUUUUUCUUAUAUUUAUUAGUUUUGUCGUCAUUUUGAUGGUGCAAUAAAAUGGUUACACAUGCAUAUAAUUUUUUUUCUUAUAUUUAUUAAUUUUGUCCUCAUGUAUUAUUUUAAUAAUAUUUUUAUUUAGACCUUAAGGUUGGAUGACUAAAAUUACCGAACUCCUUUUGAUAGUCACCUCAACCUUUACUUCUAUAGAGUAGUAAAGUAACCUUUACUUAUAUAUAGUAGUAAAGUAAAGUAAGUAGUAGUAGUAGUAGUAGUAGUAAUAAUAAUAAUAAUAAUAAUAAUGGUAAUAGUAAAAAAUAUAUAGUAGUAAAGUAAAGUAAUAAUAAUAAUAUAACAACAACAAUAAUAAUAAUAACAGUACUGGUAAUAGUACAAAAAAAAUAUAAAAGUAAUAAUAAUAAUAUAAUAAUAAUAAUAAUAAUAAUAAUAAUAAUAUAUAAUUACUUAUAAAUGAAAGAUUGGUGUACUGCACAAAAAGACAAAAUAGUAGUACACCUAUUCUUCAUUUAUAUAUAAGAGUAAUAUCACACUUAUUUAUUUAUUCAAGGAAAUAAGUUUCUUGGUGUUCCAAAUACUGAUACAAGUAAGUGGAGUAGUGAUGUUGCAAUUGUUAAAAUUAUUUAUUUUAUGUGGACUUAACAUUAACUUUUUGUUACGUUAAAAUAAAGUGUAAACAAUAUAAAUUUACUACCUAUUGAAACUAAUUGCAUAAAAUUCCUUCAUGCUUUCUCUCUCCCGAUUUUGUAAAUAUACUCAUACAUUCGGCCGUCCCUCAUACAUUGAUCGAAUGCAUGAUAAAACAGUUAAUCCUAUAUUUAAGACAAGGUAAAUCAUAAAUUAUUUUACUGUUUCUUAAUUAACGUCAAUAAUUAUGUAACAUUAAUUAAGGUAUGAUUAAAAAAUGUAACUGAAAUUUAAAUGUCAAAUAUUUGUUAAACAUCAAAGUAAAGUCGUCUUGUUUUUUGGUUUUACGAUCUGAAAUUUAUUUUUUCUUAUACUCCAUUCUUCAAUUCGCUUAAAAUCAAUAUGAACAUCCCUAUAUCAAUAUCGGAGAUGGCAAAACAUACUGCAGCAUGCUCGCUGGGAUACAAUUAAGGCUGGCUUUAAGGAUUGCGAAACGAAGAAGGCGGCAAAAUUCAGUGACCAUUCAGGGAAUGCAUGUGGCAGAUGAUUGAUUUACUAGUUGAAGAAAUACAAGGCUUGAUUUCGUGCAAGGAACUCCAUCAUAAGAGUUACAAUAAGGCAUAUGUGUAUGUAGUGUCCCUUGGAUUCUCAAUAGUGUUAAAUUAGCUCAUAAACUAUUACAUUUUAGUUGAUUCUCUUUCUAAAAAUAUUUAUUUGACGAUUGUGUGUUACACAGUUAACAUUAACAUGUAUGAUGUUAAACUGACACCACUGACGUUUAAUUGACCACAUUUAUUUUUUUUGUUUAAACAACAUAAGAAAUGGUACACUCAUGUAACAUAAAUCGUGAAUAAUUAAGUUGCUUUUUCCAUUUUGUUUUAUGUGUAUGAUUCUAGAUUCUACGUUAGUGUAAAUGUAUGAUACAUUCACAAAGUAUUAAAUGUAAAAUUCCUUAACCGUAUGUUAAUAAUGUAUGAUAUUGUAUUAUACUUUGUACAUAUGUAUGAUAUUAAUUAUUUUCGUUAUUUUCUAUCAAGUCUUGAGCGUUUAACAACAUGUAUGAUUUUAUGUAAUACAUAAAUUUAAACGUAUGAGACACCUGUUCAAUGGAUCAUUAUCAUAUAUCAUAAUUUACCUGCUGGUAAAAAUACAAUGUAUUUUUUUUUGGUUAAAUAAAAAUACAAUGUGUUGAUAUACAAUAACACAUUAAAAAGUAAUUUAUUUUUAUACGUUAUAUAUAAUAAAAUGUAAGGUAAACUCAUUAACUAUCAAACUAUAUAGUAACAGUACAAUAUAGUGUAAUUUAUUGCAAAACAAUUCUUCAAGAAGAUAUAUGUAUAGGAACAAUAAGGAUAUCCAUACAAUUUGAAGAUAGCAGCAAACCGAUAUUAUACAAACUGAAGACAUUUACAAAUGUAAAUUAACAUCGAACAAGAAUCAUUGUAACUGUUUAACAUCAACUACAAAAAUAAAAAUUAGAUGUUUCAAUCCAGGCUAUUAUAAAAAAGUGCUACUCUAAAGUAACAAUUGUACUUUCAUCGAUUGUUUGGAGAAAACUAUUCCUUGGCCGAGGAGGAUCAUCAUUAUCACCCGUGGACCCUUCGUUGUCCUUUGUCACUACGUAAUGCCAUAAUAAUGAAGCAUAGCGUACACGUCGACUUCCAGCAUCAAAACCACAUGAAUGCACUUGAUGCCCUUCACUUAAUAUUUCUGCAUAGGCAGCAACAAAGGCACCGCAGUCUUUGAUUUGAAAAAAAAUAAUGAAGUAAAAAUUCGUUCAAUAAUUAUAACAUCGUUAUACAUGUAAAAAACAAUUACUUACAAACUAUCAAACGCUUGCUGUGGUAUGUUUUGAAUGUAUUCAACAUCAAAUGAAUUUUAAUUUGAGCCGAUACUUUGUCAAUACGGUAUUUCAUGACCUUAAAAUAAACAAACUCAAAUUCAUAGAGAAAAAAGAUUGCAGCAAACUGAUACGUAUAAAGAUGACAUUAUACACCAUUUGCACAUGUAUGUGGACAUAUUAUACAUUUAAAUAAUAGUAUAAAGAAAUGUAUAAUGUCAUACAAUACAUAUUAAGAAUUAACUUUCAACAUGUCUGACUUAUAAACUUGUCAUAAUGUAUAAUUUUACCUUAUACAAAUAGCAGACAUUCAAAAAGUAUAAGGUAUUCAAUAUGCAGACAUUAUACAAUCAUCAUACAUUCACAAAAUAAAAGAUAUGCACAAUAUCAUAAUAUAAAAAUAAUCAGAAUGUAUAAUGUGACAUUAUACAAUGAUCAUACAUUCACCAAGUCAAAGGUCAGCACAAUAUCAUAAUGUAUAAAUAAUCAGAAUGUGUAAUGUGACAUUAUACAAUCUGCAGACAUACGCAAAGUAAAAGAUAUGCACAAUAUCAUAAUGUAUAAAUAAUCAGAAUGUUAACGUGACAUUAUACAAUCAUCAUACAUUUACAAAGUAAAUGUCAUUCAAUAUGCAGACAUUCACAAAGUAAAAGGUAUGCCCAAUAUCAUAAUGUAUAUAAGAUUAGAAUGUAUAAUGUGACAUUAUACAAUCUGCAUACAUUCACAAAUUAAAUGAUAUUCAAUAUUCAUGUUCCUUUUCAUGUACAAUAUCCCUCAAAAAUACCUCUCCAAUCUUUAUUUUCGCAAUCGCUCCAACAUCCAAUCUAAGAAGCACUUCGUACAAGGUGCUCACCUCCUCUCUUAAGCCAAAUCCACCGCCUCAACAAAACACCUAGCAUCAACAUCAACUUCUUCUUCGUCUUAUUCACUCACUAAAUUAGCGAAAGAGCAAGCUGAUUCAGCGAUAUCGGCUUAUUUUGAUGUCUUUGUUGUAUGCAAUUGGAUUACAGAAAAAAUUAAAAUAAUUUUUAAUUUGGAAAAGCAGAAAAAAGGAGCAAAAGAUGGCUUGAUUUGAAACUCCCCAGUCAGAUUAGCUUGAUUCUAGGCGUAAAUAAAGGAACACAAAUAUAAAGCAAAAAAUGGUGCACAAAAUAUGGAGCAAAAAAUGUUAUUUUUGUAUGUAUGAGGGGGAUGAGAGAGAAAGUAAAAAAAAUAGGGGAUUUCAGUAAUUAGUUUGGGAUUUAUGUAAUUACUUUUCCAAUAUGAGAUUUUAUGUAAUAAGGUAAAGUUACCUUGUGUAUAUAUGUAAAUUUUGCUAAAAUAAAACGGGCUGAUGUUAUUAGUUCGUGGACAAGACACAGAUCGUGUAUUCAUGUGGAUUCCAUAUGAACCUGUAUCCAUUUCAUGUUGUUGGUGUGGGCUGACAAUAGUGUGGGCCUGUAGUAGAUCUGUGAGCCCAUAAUUGGGGAGGGGGAGAGGUGCACGGGUGAAUCUAAAAAAUAGACCCAAAUUGGGGUGACUUUCAAAUUUUAGCCCCAAAUAAAAAAUCUACCUUAAAAUAGCCUUUACCUAUUAACUAAUAUUUUUUUGGGUUAAAAUUGUCCCGGAUCAAUGGAGUAAAUUACAUAAAUGAUCAUCAUAAUGGAUAAAAACUCCAUAUUUAUAUCUUUCAACUUUUAUUUUUUUUUCUCUUUUUAGUUUUACUUUGAUUUUUAUUUUUUCUUUUCUCUUUUUAUUUUUAAUUUUCUCAAUCCUUACUUUUUUCCUUUUUUCCUCUCAACUUUUUUUUUCUUUUUUCCUUUUUCUUUUAUAUUAUUUUUAGUUUUUCUUCCCUCUUUUUUUUUUUUUUUAAUUCUUUUUAGUUUUUCAACCCUUAGUUUUUUUUCUUUACAUUUCUUUACACCUUUCAACGUCCACUUUUAUAAAAAAAGAAAACUUUUUUUUUAUUUUUCUUUGAUUUUUUUCUUUUUAAAUUUUUAUCGACCUUUAUUUUUAUUUAGUAUUUCUUUUUUUAUAUCAACCUUUAUUUUUUUUCAUUCUCUCAACUUCUAUAUUUUCUUUGAUUUUUUUUUUUAAUAUUUUUCUUCAUUUUCUUCUUUUUCUGCAAUUUUUAUUAUUUUUGUUCUUUUCUUUGAUUUCUUCCAUUCAAGUUACAUCUCAUGAGAAAGAGUUGACACUAUCACAUUGUAAAGGCAAGACUUACGACUUUCCAACAAUAAGCUACGUUUCAUGGGCAAGAGUUGACACUACUAUAUUGUAGAGGCAAGACUUAUGACUUUCAAACAACAAGUUAUGUUUCAUGGGCAAGAGUCGACAUUACCACCUUGUAUUUUGAAUUAUAAGAUGUUUUAUAACUCUUACCUUAGAGGAAAGACUUAGCUCAAGGACUUUCAAACAACAAACUAGACCCACGGGCAAGAGUUGACUCUACCACAUUAUGUUUUUAUUUAUGAGUUGUUCUACAACUAUUGCCUUAAAGGAAAGACUUAACUCAAGGACUUUCAAACAACAAGUUAUGUUUCAUGGGCAAGAGUCGACACUACCAUAUUGUAUUUUGAUUUAUGAGAUGUUCUACAACUAUUUUCUAAGAGGUAAGACUUAGCUCAGAGACUUUCAAACAACAAAUUACCCCUUACGAGCAAGAGUUGACUCUACCACGUUAUGUUUUCAUUUAUGAGAUGUUCUACAGCUAUUUCCUUAGAGGCAAGACUCAGCUCAAGGACUUUCAAACAACAAAUUAUGUCCCACAGGAAAGAGUUGACUUUACCAUGUUAUGUUUUCAUUUAUGAGAUGUUCUACAGCUAUUUCCUUAGAGGCAAGACUCAGCUCAAGGACUUUCAAACAACAAAUUAUGCCCCACGGGCAAGAGUUGACUUUACCACAUUAUGUUUUCAUUUAUAAGAUGUUCUACAACUCUUGCCUUAGAUGCAAGACUUGACAUAAGGACUUUCAAACUACAUAUUAUGCCCCACAGGCAAGAGUUAACUCUACCACGUUAUAUUUUUAUUUAUGAGAUGUUCUACAACUAUUGCCUUAGAGGCAAGACUUGGCUCAAGAACUUUCAAACUACAAAUUAUGCCCCAUGGGCUAGAGUUGACUUUACCACAUUAUGUUUUCAUUUAUGAGAUGUUCUAUAACUAUUGCCUUAGAGGCAAGAUUUAAUUAGCUCAAGAACUUUCAAACUACAAAUUGUGCCCCACGGGCUUGAGUUGACUCCAUCACCUAAUGUUUUCAUUUAUGAGAUGUUCUACAACUAUUGCCUUAGAGGAAAGACUUAGCUCAAGGACUUUCAAACUACAAAUUAUGCCCCAUGGGCAAGAGUUGACACUACCAUGUUAUGUUUCAUUUAUGAGAUAUUCUACAACUUUUGCCAUGGAGGCAAGACUUAAUUAGCUCAAGGACUUUAAAACUACAAAUUAUGCCCCAUGGGCAAGAGUUGACUCUACCACGUUGUGUUUUCAUUUAUGAGAUGUCGGCAAGACUUAGCUCAAGUUCUUUCAAACUACAAAUUAUGCCCCACGGGUAAGAGUUGACACUAUCACGUUAUGUCUUCAUUUAUGAGAUGUUCUACAACUCUUGCCUUAGAGGCAAGACUUAGCUAAAAGACUUUCAAACUACAAAUUAUAUUCCACGGGCAAGAGUUGACACUACCACGUUAUGUCUUCAUUUAUGAGAUGUUCUAAAACUCUUGCCGUAGAGGCAAGACUUAGCUCAAGGACUUUCAACUAAUAAAUUAUGCCUCACCGGCAAGAGUUGACACUACCACAUUAUGCCUUUAUUUAUGAGAUAUUCCACAACUCUCGCCUUAGAGACACGACUUAUCUCAAGAAUUUUCAAAGAACUUCGUAAUAACAAUUCAAGCCCUUAAAUUUGCUUUGAUGUCAAAAAAAGAAGAUAUCUUUGUGGAUUAUCUAAUUUUUUAUUUAUUAGCAAAAUAUAAUAGAAGUUGAGAAAAAAGAAAAAAACGAUCAAACACAAUAGAGAAAUAAAAAAACAUUGAGUAAAAAAGGAAAGAAAAAAAUAAAGAUCUAGAAAAAAGCGAAGAAUUAAAAAAAUUAAGAAAAAUAAAAAUGAGAGAAAAAAUAAAAAUAAAGUUUGAGAAAAAUGAAGGGAAAAAAAAGAGAACCUAAAAAAAGAAAAAAACGAUCAAAAAAAAUAGAAAAAUAAAAAAAAAAGAGUGGGGAAAAAAGGCGAGAAAAAAAUAAAGAUUAAGAAAAAAGCGAAGACUCAAAAAAAUUAAGAAAAUAAAAAAUGAGAGGAAAAAAUAAAAAUAAAGUUUGAGAAAAAUGAGGGGAAAAAAGAGAACUGAUAAAAACCAAAAAUAAAAGAAAAAUAAAGGUUAAAGAUAAUGGAAUUUAAAAAAUGGAAAAAAAAGAAAUAGAUAAUGCUUGAAAAAAAAGGAAAAAGAGAAAAAAAAGGCUGAGACAAAUGAAUUAAAACAUGAAAAUAAAAUUAAUGAAAAAAAUUAAAAAGUGAAAAUAAUAAAAAAUAGAAUAAUAAAAUUAAAGGAAAAAAAUAAAAAAGUGAAAAUAAUAAAAAAUAAAAUUUGAGAGACAAAUAAGUAUGGAAAGUUUAAAAUAUAUAUUUAAAGUGUAGAUGAGCAAAAUAGUACUUGUACUAUACUUUAAAAGUAAGGAAUGUUAUUCUUUAAAGACAUUUCUUAUUUGGGGCACAUAUCUAAAGUCACCCAUAUUUGGGUCUAUGGGAUGCAAUUUAGGCGGGGUGCACUAGAUUAAGGCAUUUAAGCCUAUAAAUAUAAGACUAGGUCCCCUCUCCUGGCUUUAACAUAAGACGUAUUCCUAUAAGCCGCCAGCUGUCAUAAGCAAAGGAGAGGAAGACUCAGCCUAGUUCGUCUUCAGUUACGUGUUGCAAUGGCGGACAAAGGUACUCAUCUUUCCUCUCUCAUAUUUGUUACUUUAUAGGUGUUCUUGGUUUAUGUGAACCUGUGGUGUGUUUCUCUUUAAAUCUAACACUUGGUAUCGAAGCUUUUCACAUAGAUCUUGAACCCUAUUAUUCAGUUCAUGAGAAAAAUAAUUGGAAAUAAUUAGAAAUAAUUAUCGUGAUGCACUCCAUCUUAAACUUAAAUCUGAAAUGAUUUUCCUUUUCCUUUUGGCGGCUGACUUCGUUCCGAUUGCCUCACACUACUUUAUUCCAUUAAAAAAAAAGGUGUACAUAUGAUUAAGAGUCAGCCGAUGGCCAAAUCUAUUAGAUUUGGAAAAGUGGAUGAAACCAAAUCAAUUGGAUUUAUUUUUUAAAAAAAUUGUGGUGUGUUUUUCGGGUUGUAGGUGUUAUUAUUGUGGGUAAUGGAACAGUUGUUUUUAUUCGUUGUAGAAAUUAAUCUACGGAGUGUUGUUAGUUUAAAAGAAAAUUGUUUGGAGCUGUAAUUACAAAAAAAAAUAAAAAAUUAAUUGUAUUCUUUGACAAAGUUCUUCGCUACUUUAUACCUUGUCAAAAGUGUCUAAAUAUGUUUUAAAGUGUAUUGAUAAUAUUUACAAAUUAAAAUUAUUUCAGAAGUUUUUCACUAUCUUGAAAGGCGAAAUCGUACUUUAAAAGACAUGAUGAGAAGUAUGAUAAGUAGAUCUAACUUACGUGAGUUCGUUGGGGUUAAGCUAUUAAAACAUCCAUGUACAUUUUUAAUCGUGUCCCUGCCAAGUCAGUCCCUAAAAUUCUUUUUGAGUUGCGAGCCAAUAGAAAGUUCAGCUUAAAUCAUUUUUGAGUUUGAAUAUCCCGCGGAGUAAAGAUAUAUAAAACUAAACCUAGAACCCCUCAGCUUCUACUGUCCUAUAAGGAGGACCAGAAAUGUUGAAUUUUAAAAUGCAAAAUUUCUUGUAUGUGGGACUAUCCUAAACUCCAUGGGCAUAAAUUUAUCGAUUAAACAAGCAUUUAAGGUAUUUAAUUUCAUACAUAAGAUGAGUUUUGAAAUCAUUGAAGAGCAUGUAUUGUAAUCCCCGUUUUAUGAUGAAAUCUUAUAUAAACUAUGAGGUUGUUUUCCUUAAACUCGAAUUGUUUUCAUGUGUACAUGUGUUAUUAGUUUGAAAAGUUAUAUGAGAGCAUGAUUACCUCUCUUGUUAUGAAAUUCAUUGUCCAAAGAAUGUCAUGAAUUGUUAUUUUUUUAUAUACGAAUGAGAGGGAUUUGUCCUUGAUUUAUAAAUGCUCAUGUUUCCGAAUAAAGAAUUUGCAUGUGAUUGAUGAAGAGAUGAUCAUCGUGUGAUAAAGUAUAAAGUAUUGAAAAGGGAGUAGUUUGCAUAAGUUUUCAUGUGUUUUGAAAUAAGAACUCCCUUAUGUGAUGUUUAAAUAUUUUGGGUGGUCAUUAACAUGCUUUUGAAUAAAAAGAAUAAAAAGGCCUAUGUGAUGUAUAAAUAUUUUAGAUGGUCAUUAACAUACUUUUGAAUAAAAAGGGCUAUAGAUAUGAUGUUGUAUGAAAUGAAUAACUUAUAAGUCUGGGUAUGAAAUGAAUGACUUGAAUUUGGGACUAUUGCAUGAAACUAAGCAUUCAUUGAACAAAGUGUUUGAUAUGAAAGAUCUAGGAGAGGCAUCAUUUAUUCUGGGCAUUAAGAUUCGACAAGAUAGAUCUCGUAAGUUAUUGGGUUUCAUAAAAGACCUAUAUUGAUCGUAUUUUGAAAAGAUUUCAGAUGAAAAAUUGUAAGUCUGGAGAUAUCACUAUGAUGAAAGGUGAUAAGUUAAUCUUACACUUGUGUCCCAAAAAUGAUCUUGAGAAACAUUCUAUGAAAGAUAUGCCUUAUCUAUGUAUUUUUUUCACUGCGUUUCUUGCUUACAGAGUGUUAAUUUUAUUUAUUUUUUAAUAUUAACUGAAGUAAAGUCGGCUAAACUAAAGUCUUCUUAUGAAUGUGUUCUAGCGGCUAUGUUAUUAAAGAUUCAUUCAUUUAUUUAGUUCCAUAUGCUUAAAUUAACUAAUAUAAAAGGUUACUUAUUUUAUUAAAUUUUUAAAAAGUCUAAGUUAUUGUUUAUAAAAGAUGUCGAAUUGUUAUUUAUUUAUUCUUUUUGAUUUUGCUUUCAUCUGAAUUGUAACUAAAUCAGAUUUAUAAUAUUUUUAAUUGAGUGGAUAGUUAUGAGCUAUAACGCCCCGAAAUCUGAUCCCGAGAUGUCACACAGUGCUCAAGACUACGAUUAGCCUUAAGUUAACCCUGUCUGCCUGUUACUAAAUCUGAAUCUCAUGAUAAAGGAAAUAUAGACAUAAGAGCCACACUAAAUGCGGAAAACUAUCUGAAAUAACUAAAAAUGAAUCUGAAGUAAUGUAUGAAAAUUCAUUCUGUAAGUCUGAAUAAUAUCUAGUAGUCUGACAAGCCUCUACUACUAAUAACUAAAGAGUCACUGGGACAAACCCCCAACUAACUCGAACUGUCGGAAGAGAAGCAAAAUCUGAAUGAACAAGUCCCCAAACUAUGAGGACUCAUCAACUGUAGGAUGUAGAUGGAGAUGCUCGACCUACUCACGCUGCUGAUACUGAGCACCUGAACCUACGUUAUGAGACAAUGUAGCACACAGAAAUAUAUGUGGAUCAGUACUUUGAGGAUGUACUGAGUCUAUGGGGGUGAAAUGCCUAAGUAAAACAUCAUCUCAUCAUCAUAAUUUAUAAAAUAAUGCAUGCUAAAUGUAAAUGACUCACAUAAGAUAGAAUAUCUGAAAUACUGAAAUUUGAAAUCAUAAACAACAAAUCAUACUUUGUAAAUCUAGUGAGUCAUAAUAUUUAGUUCUAAAAGUUGUACUAAUGUUCUGUUUGUAAGUCAUACUGUCUAAGUGUAGAAAGAGCUCACUUCUGAAUCUAAAAUCUGGAAUUUGAAAUUUUUAACUUUUAUCUUUCUGUAAAGUAUAAUUUGAAUAAAAUUUGUGAGCCUUUGCACUUAGUUUUCUAAAAGCAUUUCUUUAAGUCUUUCAAUUUAACUAGAAGGAGGUUCUCUUAACCGAAAUAAACCAUGAGAGCUAACAUGGAGUCCAACAUCUCAUCCUCCUAAGGAGGAAACCUCACGUUGGGGAGAGGUAUCAUACUCUUGUCAGAGAGUAUAACCUACUAUCCAUGGGAUCGGUCAUAAGCUAAAUUUUUCAUCCAUAUUGGAAUGAGAGUAAUCUGAUAAUAUAUACCUACGUUGGCUACGUAGUUCUGUGAAAGAAAGGGCACGCUAAUCCCACACUUUCCGCUUGGUGCUAAAUACCACUCCCUUUAAUUUGUAUGCUUAUUCUGUUAGAAAUCCAUUUUAAAAACUAGCAUAAGGGUUUAUUCUGAAACCAGUUAUAUCUUUACCUGAUUAAAUCUUUAAAUAAAGAUGAUUUGAACUCUUUAAUCUGUAAUAAAUCUGUAAAGUGGAUUUCAUGACUAAACUGAGGAUCAAAGAUCAAAGCUUUGUUGUAAAUCUGAAAUAAAUCUUAUCAUAAGGUUCUUAAGACAUCAUCUUUCUUGAAAUAUCAACAUAUAAACUUGGGCUUGAUAACUCAUGUAUCAAAUACAUGUUAAAACAUCAUAAUAAUCAUACUUGAUAAUGAAAAAAAUGAUAAUUCAUCUCAAAAUCUGAAAAUUACUGCAUUAGGCAUGAAAAUAUGAAAAUAUACAUGUAAUUCAUCUUCUAAAACACUUGAAAUCUCAUAAUCUUGUAAAUAACAAUAAUGGGUAUGAACCCUAAUUCAAAUCUCAUGAAUAUUCAUUCAAAAUCAUAUGAAUUUGUAAUUAAAACUUGGUUUUGGGGACAAGGAUGGAAGGAGAUCCUUGUUCAUAAAUUCCACAUACCUUGAUUGAUGAUUAGAUGAAGAAACCUUGAAUUUUGGACUCCUAUUUGAGUUCUUGGAGAUGGAUUCUUGAUUAUCUUGUCCUGGGAAUCCUUAAUUUAAAGCUUGCUUGGGGAAACAAUGGUGGAUUGUAAUUUCUUGGAGAAGAAGCUCUUGGAUUCUAGGGGUUCCUUGAAUAUAUUUAAUCUCAUGUUCUGGAUGGAUUUGGGGUCUUGAAAAUUGACUAAAAUACCCCUUUUAAUAUUUAAACGGAACUGGAAAAACAAUAUUUUUCUGAGCUGGCAGGCCACCGUGAUGCACCACUAUUGUGGUGGCUCACUGGAAAUAGGACAAUUGGGAACUGGGUGUUCUCCACGACGCACUACCAUCGUGGUGCCCCUUUUGAAUGCCAUUUUGGCCAUUGGCGUGAUGCCCCACUAUCGCAUUGGGCUACUGGAUUUUGACAAAUGGAAAAUUGGACCUCUCCGCUAUGUGGAGCUAUCGCGGAGGGCCACUAAAAUUUGACGAUUGCCAUUUUGGCAUCCACCGCGACGCGGUGAGUGCCCAAGUAGGACACUGCUAUACUGAAUUCGCCAUAACUUCUCAACCGGGUAUCGGAAUUAGGCGAAUUUGAUAUCGAUGGAAAGCUUAUUCAAUUUUUCACACAAUUGAAGGUCUAAAUCUGAAAAAUUUUAUAUGAAAUAAAUAUUAUUUAUUUUGAAAGCUCACCCUUAACAUUCUAGGAAUGAACUUAAGUUAGGAAAAAUACGGGGUAUUACAUAAACAAAUCAAGCAAUGACAUGUUGAAUUCCUGAGAUUGAAUUUGUUUUGUAAAUUAGGGUAAAUAGCGUACACCAAAGUGACAUAUUUUCUUUAUUUCAUGAGACUUGUUUAAUCCAUUUCGAGGGAUAUCACUAAGUUAGAACAUACAAUGAUCUGCCCAAAGGAGAUUAUUGUGUGUUUUAAAUUAGUAUUGUGAUGAGCCCCAUUAUGUGAAAAUAUUUUAAUUUUAGUAAAUUUAUCUUCCCAAAGGAGAUAGGUUUCUAAUAUUGAAAAUAUUUUCUUGCAAUGCCCAAAGGGGGGCUACUUGUUGAUGUUAUGGGACUCAUCGUUGUGAUAAGAUUAUUAUUCUUAUGCCUUGCUAUUUUGAUAAAUUCAUUUAUGUUAUGUCAUGAAAAUUUAUCAUUUAUUUGAACAAUAACAAUGCUGAAGUUGUGGUUCUGUCGGGCUAUAACUUUAAGCAAUGAAAAGAAGAUCUUGAAUUUGCUUUAGGCAUGGCUGACAUAGAGCAAGAAUUGCAUGAGGAUGAGCCUCCAACUCUCACCGAUUCUAGUACAACUGCUAAAAAUAACUUUAUGCUAAGUGGGAGAGAUCUAAUAGGCUAUGCAUCUUUGCCUUUAGGAGAUCGAUUGCCUAGCACCUUAAAAAUGGCUUGCCUGAAACUAUCAGUGCCAAAACAUUUCUUGCCCAAGUGGAAGAAAGGUAUCUUAUAUCUAAUAAGGCUGAGACUGGAGAUCUAAUGAAUAAACUUGCAGGGAUAAAGUAUGACUUUAUUGGGGGUAUUAGAGAUUACAUACUUAAGUUGGUCCACAUUCAACCCAAAUUGAAAACUCGUGAAAUAACUCUUCCUAAAAAUAAUAUUGUUCAUUCUGCUCUUAACUCUUUGCCUGCUGAGUUUAGCCCAAUGAAAACUGCCUAUAAUACUCAGGAUGAAUCUUGUUCUAUCAAUGACAUCAUCUCCAAAUGUGUUAUUGAAGAGGGAAAAAUUAAAAAGGAGAAGGGUAAGGUUGCUAUGUUAUCUGCUCAUAAUUCUAAAGCAAGCUCUUACAAUGGACCUAGGAAGUUAGAAAGAUCUAAUAAUAAUACUUUUAAGAAGGAUUCAAAAAAAAGGUAAUCAUCUAGCUCUUGUUUGUUUUGAGUCAUACUUUGUAGAUGUCCCUAUUAAUUCUUGGUUUGAUAAAGGAGCUACUGCUCACGUUGCCAUUUCCUUGCAGGGAUUCAAAAACAAGAGGAACCCAAAUAAAACGGAAUCAAGAAUUAGAGUCACCACAAAUGUUUAAGUUGAAGUAGAGUUCAUAGAAACUGUAGUUUUAGACUUAGAAACUGGUUAUAAGCUUGUUCUUGAAAACACUCUAUGUAUUGUCUUUUAGACAAAGUUUGAUUUCUAGUCCAAUUUUAGACAAAUUUGGUUAUGAUUUUAAUUCUCUUAAUGGAAAAGUUAAUUUACUUUUUAACUCCGGAGUUGUUGGUCAUGCAAUGCCAUUUGAUGGUUUAUUUAAAAUUUUCUUGACUUCUAAUUUUGAAUACAACUCUUUUAAUUUUGAAAUUAUUGUAUCUAAAUGGUUAAUUUUAAAUUAAAAAAAAUGGGCAUGUUGUGGGAUAGGCAUUUAGGUCACAUCUCUAAAGAUAGAGUUGAUAGGUUGGUUAAGUCUAAUAUUUUACCUCCUCUUGAUUUUGAAAACAUAAGAAUAUGUAUUGAUUGCAUUAGAGGAAAGUUGACAAAAAAAAUGCUUUUCGUAGUUCUAAUUUGUUGGAAAUCAUUUAUACAGACAUAAGUGGUCCGUAUUCUACUAAGUUAUUUUAUCAUCUUCAUUGAUGACUUUACUCAAUAUGAUUAUAUUUUUCUUAUUAAAGAAAAAUCAGAUUCUCUUGAAAUGUUUAAAGUAUUUAAAAUUGAAGUAGAGAAACAACUGGAAAAAGGUCAUUAAGAUAGUGAGGUCUGACCAUGGGGGUGAGUAAUAUGGUAGAUGCACUAAGACUGGGCAACAGAUAAGAGACCCUUUUCCAAAUAUGUACAAGAUUGUGGCAUCUAAGGAUUAUUUUUUAGGAUUAUUGUGCAUUGAUAGCCCAUUUUGAUCUUGAGCUACAUUAGAUGGAUGUAAAGACAACUUUUUUUGAAUGAUGAUGUUAAUGAAGAGGUUUAUAUGCAGCAACCCCAAGGUUUUGUUGGUAAAGGACGUGAGCAUCUUGUGUGUAAGUUGAAGAAAUCUAUCAAUGGCUUAAAGCAAGCUUCUCGCUUCUCGACAGUGGUAUUUGAAGUUUGAGGAAAUUAUCACUUCUAUUAGGUUUGUGGAGAACAAGAUUGAUCAUAGCAUCUAUCUCAAGAUUAGUGGGAGUAAAUUCAUCAUUCACACUUUAAUAUUAUUUUAUUAUAUUAAGGCUUUUUACCUUACGUGUUGGCUAUGUCUCAUAUUGAUAAGGUCAUAUUGUUGUUUUAUUGGAUCUUUCUUUUGAAACAUAUAUGGUAUAUCAUUCUACCUUGUGAUUUUUUUUGGUUGUUGCACAAUGUAAUAUGUUGCACAUGUUGAACCUUAAAAAUCAAGAUUUUCUGAUGGAGAACAUGUUGUUUUAGUGCUCACAAAUGUUGUAACAGAAAAUCACGGUGACGAUUUUUUCUGUGGUACGCAUGUUGAUUUUAAGUGUACAUAUAGAUAUGAAAAAUCUUUUGAAGGACUAAAAUGAAAUAGCCUCGUUUUGGUCCAUGUUGACUAUUUCUUGCUACACUACCACAUCAUUUGGUUUAUGUCUAAAAAAACUUCAGUGUUAGUAAUUGUGGACUGGUCUUGUGUCAUUGGUUGAUGCAAGUACUGCUGCAGUUCAACAGUGAUGUUUUGCUUGACUGAACUAUGUUGGAGAUGACAUUCCACCACUAAAUGUUCAUGGCCACUGUCUAUUUAGUCUGAGAGUCAUUUUCAUAAAAAUAAAUUUUCUGAAACUUUUCUUUAAAAGUUAACGUUGUCCAAGUGGGAGAAUGUUAGAAUUAUUUAUUUUAUGUGGACUUAACAUUAACUUUUUGUUACGUUAAAAUAAAACAGGUUGAUGUUAUUAGUUGGUGGACAAGACACAGGUCGUGUAUUCAUGCGGAUUCUAUUUAGGCCUGUAUCCAUUUCAUGUUGUUGGUGUGGGCUAACAAUAGUGUAAGUCUGUAGUAGAUCUGUGAGCCCAUAAUAGGGGGUGCACUAGAUUAAGACUUUUAAACCUAUAAAUAUAAGAUUAGGUCCCCUCUCCUGACUUUAACAUAAGACGUAUUCCCAUAAGCUUCCAGCCGUCAUAAGCAAAGGAAAGGAAGAAUUAGCCUAAUUCAUCUUCGGUUACGUGUUGCAAUGGCGGACAAAGAUACGUACCUUUCCUCUCCCAGAUUUGUUACUUUAUAGGUGUUCUUGGUUUAUGUGAACCUAUGGUGUGUUUCUCUUUAAAUCUAACAGCAAUCACACAAUUAGCAAGUUGGAAAAAAAAAGUUUUUCCUCGUGAAGUACUUCUGAAGUCUUCAUUAAGCACAAAGUGCUUCUAAUAUUGGCAAAGUUAAUUCUCAAAUUAAUUAGUCAAAUACAAAUAUUUAUUAUGCAAAAGUAUCUUUUUGUAAUUAGCAAAUAUUUGAAGCUUGAAUAUCAAGGAAUUUCUAAAUUGUCUAAUUGGUGAAUGGUAAUCAUAUAAGAAGUACCAUCUCUGUUUUCCAAUUUAUGUUAACUUUUUUAUUUUUGAAAUUCAAACCAUGUAAUCUUUUAUAAUUAUAUAUAAUGUAUUUUUAUUAUGUUGAUAUGAAAAAAAUUGUGAAGUAUAAUACUUUUGAUAUAUAUUUUUAAAUAUUUUAAUUUUAAUUAUAAAAAUAUUGAAUUAAUUUAACAUAAAAAGAAUUAUCAAAUUGACUCCGCCACAAAAUUGAGACAUAGGAAGGAAUUGACUCUUCAAAAGCGAAAGGCGCAAGGACUAGAAAACACAAGGUUUUGAAGUGGAUAUAUCUAAUUUGGAGCUUAGAAUCAUUUUAUGUUGAUUAUUUUUAUUGGCUACCCAAAAUGUACCUUCAAUUAAUUAAGCAAUAUUUUCCAAAAGUCUCUAUUCAGUGAAUUUGCCCAAGUUUUCAUAGGAAUCCAAAUUUUAAGCCGUCUACUAAUUGUACUUUUUUUUUACUACUACAUUUAUUUUGCUUAUGCGAUUUACUAUUAGUUGAUUUUGUUGAAAAUUAAGGGUUAAUAAAGCUAGCUAAGAAAAAUAGAAUUUAACUUACAUACGAUACUGAUAAUAUAAAAAUCCUAUUAUAUUAUUAUUGUAAUUUAAUUGUCUAUAACAAAUUUUAUUUUAUAGUUUUAACUUACAUAUGAUACUGAUAAUAUAAAUUUUUUGUUAUAUUUUUAUUGUAAUUUAAAUGUCUAUAACAAUUUUUUUUUUAAUAGUUAAUCAUAUUACACUUGAGGUCACAUGAUUUUUUCUAUUAUUAUUGAAGGUUAAUUUUUUUCUGAUUAAGUAAAAUAUUGACAAGUUGGCAAUGCACAACUUUAUAUAAAUCCAAAAGAAUUUAAGUCACUAUCCCUGUCUGAGUUUGGUGUAGAGGGAAAUAUAUGUGGAAAUUUUUUCUUCAAGAACUCUAGGUCAAGUGAAUUAAAUCAAAAGGAUUUAUAACACAUUUUAGACUCUUAAGUUACUGAAAUUUCUAUUUUAAUCUUUAUUAUAUAUGACUCAAUGUAUUUAAAAUUUAAUUAAUCAAAAUAUGUGUGUUUGAUUUUUUCGAAGUAUAAAAUAUGUUCUACUCAUUGUAAAGUUGUUGAACAUAAAGUAGCACACUGUAGAAAUACGACGCAUAAAUAAUUAAGUGAUGGAAUAGUAAAUAAUUAUAGUUGAUUUGUGAAUAUAUCUAUAAGCAAAUAAAUCAAUAGCUCACAAUUCAGUUAAUUAAAGAUUUAAUGUGAUCAGUCAUAUACUCCAUAAGAAUUAAAAUCAAAAUAACAAUAAUGAAGGGAUCAAAAGUGUUAAUCCAAUCCAAAAUGUUGGUUCUUAGAGUUAAUGACAAAAUGGCUGAGUGAGACCAAAAAGAAUAGGAGUGUAGUAGUAAGUAUUUAUUCAUUUUUAAUCAGAAGUUUCAGGUUUGAGCUCUUCUAAUUACACAGUUGUCUUUGUUAAGGAGCGUUUUACCCUCCAAUUUAGGAUUUUUCAACGCAAAGACCAAAUGGGAAACCAAACAAUAAAAAGAUUGGCUGAGUAAGAGUCAAGCUGGAAGAUUCAUGCAUUUGUAGAAAGAAAAAAACAUGAAAAAACACCUCUUUCGAAAGUCAAUUAUGUUACGCAAUUUACAAAGAAACAAGGACAACGUUGCUUUUUACGUUACUAAACAUCUUGACACACAAAAAUAAAAAAAUGACGUUGGUGUUUUAUGGUUGUUUCUAAUAAUCCAGCCAGCUGGUUUUCAUCUCUCUCUAUAUAUAUACCCAAAAAGAAAAAACAGUGGGCUAUCGGCUAGCUUAUGUAGUACGCCAGGGUGGAUCUACGUAGGAGUUUGGAGGUAUCACGCCAUUCGAAUGUUGUUUGAAAGUGUUACACCACUCAAACGUUGAUGAGACAAUUAUAUUUGUGGUCAUUUUACAUUGUAAAAUACAUAAAACUCAAGAUUGAUAGGUGUGGGCUAUCGGCUAACUUAUGUAGUAUGCAAAGGCGGAUCUACGCAAGAGUUUGGACUCGAAUGUAGUUUGGAGGUGUCACGUCACUCAAACGUUGAGAUAAAAUUAUAUUUGUAGGCAUUUUAUAUUAUAAAACAUAUAUAAUUCAAGAUUGACAGUUAUGGGCUAUUCGACUAACUUAUGUAGUAUAUGCAAGGGCGAAUUUAUGUAAAAGUUUGGAGGUAUCACGCCACUCGAAUAUAGUCUAGAGGUGUCACACCACUUAAACAUUGAGACAAAAUUAUAUUUUGUUGGCAUUUUACAUUAUAAAACAUAUAUAAAUCAAGAUUGACACCUGUCGACUAUCGGCCAACUUAUGUAGUAUGCAAGAACGGAUCUACGUAGAAGUUUGGAGGUGUCAUGCCAGUCGAAUGUAGUUUGAAGAUAUCGCGCCACUCAAACGUUGAGACAAAAUUAUAUUUUGUUGGCAUUUUACAUUAUAAAACAUAUAUAACUCAAGAUUGACAAUUGUGGGCUAUCACCUAACUUAUGUAGUAUGCUAGGGCGGACCUAUGUAGAAGUUUGGAGGUGUCAAACCAUCCGAAUGUAGUUUGGAGGUGUCACACCACUAAAUGUUGAGACAAAACUAUAUUUGUAGGCAUUUUACAUUUUAAAACAUAUAUAACUCAGAUUGACACCUGUGAGCUAUCGGUUAGCUUAUGUAGUAUGCAAGGGCAGAUCUAUGUAGAAGUUUGAAAGUGUCACACCAUUUGAAUGUAGUUUGGAUGUGUCACGCCAUUCCAUUCAAACGUUCAAACAAAAUUAUAUUUUGUUGGCAUCUUACAUAAUAAUACAUAUAUAACUCAAGACUGACACCUAGAGGUGUCAAAUGUUAGCUCAACCCGCUCAACUCGUCACGAACUUUCUUAGGUUGGGUAAUAAGUUUAUUUUUUGAUGGGGUCAAUUUGAGUUAUAGCAGCUUUAGCUGACCUAUUUUUUAAGUAAUCUAUAUUUCCUUUAGAGAUGAAAAAUAAUAUAAUUAUCAAUUUUAUAGCUCACAUACAUUUAUUAGGCAUGACAUAACAUAUCUUUAGCUUAUCAAGGACAAGAUCUUUGAUAGAAGGCUACAUAGAUUGAGGAUUAGAAUAGAAGGUUGAUAGGUAGUUGAACGUUUUUCUUUUCUAUUUUCAGGACUAUUAGUAUUGUUCUUGCAUUUCUUAAUCUUUACCACAUGUUUCUUUAUUCUUUCAUCUUGUUAUCGUUUUUGUUGUUGUUACCGCUACUUUUUCACUGAGAAGAUUUAGGUAAAAUGCCACACUGAAAAUUUAUUUUGAGAAAUAGACACCUUUUUUUGUUUGACCUAAUUUUUUAAGGUUUUGUAGGGUAUGGGUUAAAGUGUAAAAUAAAAAAACCUUUUGGCGCCCUUAUGUAUUUAUUAAAUCUUUUAGAACCCCUUUGUGUAUUUAUUAAAUACAUUUUUAACCCCUCUUUCAUUAAAUACAAAAAAAAAAUUCUCUAUCAUCUUCUCUCAUUACCCGCUUCAUCUCCCCUUUCCACCAUUUUUUAAUUUCAAGCUUGUGUAAACAUCUCCAACUUCGAUCUUCAACUUUAGGUAAGUUAUAUUCAUCUUCCGGUUAAUUUAUGUUCCAUAUUGAUGGUUUUAUUUUUUAUAUUUUUUCGAAUUCAUUUGUGGCGAUUGAACUCGUUGGAGUUACAAAAAUUUAAUUUUUUUUUUUUGAAAAUGGGACUUGAUUUUACUAAAAUUGGUUGUUUUUAGUUUGUAUUUCCUUGAUUGGUGAUGGAUAAUUGGUGUAUAUCGAUUAUCUUUGGCGAUUCUAUGUUGAAAUUUUCUUCACUAAUUUCGUCGGAAUGUGGCAAGAUAUGUGAUUUUUGUUCAAACUUUUCUCCAAUGUAAUGGUGUUGUAGAAGCAUGUUAAUGUUGGGGAUUCCUUGAUUUGAAUCAUUGACUCGAAAAAUAAUUUUUUUUUUUGAAAAAAUGGGACAUGAUUUUACUUAAAAUUUGUGUUUUUAAGUUAGUAUUUGGUUUGAUUUUGCAUUAUUUUUUUUGGAUUUUAAUUUCCCUCGACGAUUGCAUUGAGAAUUUUUUUAUCAAAUUUUCUCGAUUUUCGUGCUAAAAAAUUUGGGUUUCUUCCUUUUUUUGUUCAAUAUAAUGGUGAUUUAGAUGUAUGUUCUUGUGGGUGAUGGAGUUGUUUUGGAAGAAGAUUGUUCUGCAAAUAGGCCUUUUGGGUGCUGUAACUAUUGUCAUGUUAAUAGACUGCUAGGUCGAUUUGGUAUCGUAUUUGCUGUUAUAGUUGAGAAACGUUAUUUUUUAUCCGUAGAUCAUAACAAAUGGCUAGAGGUAAUAAACCCAAGGCUGUAGAAUUUGAUAGGUCUGAGAAAAGAAAAAAACGAGUAGUCGAUGAAUCAGAGAAUAGAAAUUGCAGCGAGAAAGCUUUUGAUGCUUCGGUUUGAGAUGAGACGGAGGAAAUAGAAAUUGAGGCUAGGAUAGAUGAGGAAACAUUGAUCUUGCCCCAUUGUUCAAGGUUUAUUUCGGCUAAAAAGUACGACCUCGCCACAGUCCUGGAUGAUGUUGGAUUAUUUCCGGCUAAGAUAUCUGUUAGGUCCUGUUUGAAAAUGUUUUAUGAAUUCAAACAAGUCGUGGUUGAUCAACGUAUGAAGUCUAGAUUUAAGAAUUCCUAUUUUGAUAGUUUAUGGGACUUGCCAGAAUAUAUGAAGUUCAUGGACAGCUUGUCUACUAUACACUUUUUUACCGAGUUGAACAGGACAACAAGCUGUGUGAAAUAUGGUUCUGCAUCAAUGACAGGCCUGCAUGUUUGGCCUGAAAGAGUUUACGCUAAUCACGGGUUAAACUGUGGGUGUUAUUCUCAUGAUUCAAAAUAUGUCAAAGUGAUGGAGGAGGGUAAAGCUUUUUUCAAAAAAAUUGCGAAAAAGAGGAAUGUAAAUGCGAAGAGAUUGAUGAAGAUUAUUAUAGGUGGGAGGCUGGACAAGGAGGAAAAGUUCAAAUGCUGCUUGGUUUAGUUCCUGCACUGAAUAUUUCUUGCACACAACUUGUCAAAAAUCGUGGACAUAGACACCAUCAAGAUAGUGGAUAACUUGAGCUUCUUUGAGAGAUACCCUUGGGGUAAGGAGUUAUUUGCCUUGACUCUAGACUAUCUAAAGAAGAGGAUAGACUUCAACAGAAAGAAGAAGAUAUUUGUGACAAAGAGAGUUUCAUCGUACGUGCUCUGCAUAUUUUUCUGGGCAUUUAUCGUAUUUGAUUAUAAAUCAUUGAAAUAGUUUAUUAUAUAUUGUACUUCAUCUAUGGUGUCUAUACUAUACUGACUCUCAUUUAUAUGUUUUUGUUUUUUCUUUUGAUCACAAAUUUGAAUAUACGAAGCCUUUUCCGCGCUCGACAGGGGAAAUAAUAAAUCAACUGAAGACCCGCUGUCCAUUACCCGAUUGCUCAGAUGGCACAUCUCAAAAGGCAAUAAAUUAAUCGAAGGUGAUCCAUAUUUGAACGGAUGGAGCACAAAGGUAUGAAACUAUUUUUUGAAGAAUACUUUUACCAAUAUUGUGUUGAUAAUCAAUCACAUUUGCCUAUUUAUCUGUAUAGAGUGCACCCGUACCUUAUCCCCACAGUUCGUGAAAUGAAGCAGCACUACACGAAAAAGUUCAAAGCAUUCACGGACGAACCGAUGGACAUAUUUAUCGAUGGCUUGAAGGACCAUCUGAAGGGUGUGGCUUUCAUCACCUCAUCGGGGGAUGGUGAGGAUAGGGAUGAUGACCGAUAUUUUGGUGGAAAUGUUAUUUCAAGGCAUGUCACUUACGGUACGGGGACGAGUAAGCUGAGAGCAUCAGAAAAAACUCCGAUGAUUGAAAUCUAGAAGUGCACGUGUUUAGGAUGGAGGAGUCGAUCAAGGACAUCGUUGAUUUUGUGAAAGAGGGGAGGCUGAGGAGAGCAAAAAAGAAGAAGCAAAAGAAGAGAGAUGAAGAUGAAGGUAAUAUCUGCUCUAUAUAUUAUAGAAGUUGCAUAUUUUAUAUAAUUCCUUUUACUUAUAACAGAAUCUAUACCAUUCUUCAUCAACCUAUUUCUUAGUUUAUUAUAAACGGUAAAUACUUGAAAAUGCAGGUGUGCAGGUGCAAAGUCGGCAUUCAGCGACGAGGGUUGUCUGCGAUGACAGCGACAUUGAGGAAGCGCUCCUUGAUGCAACAGCUUUGGAACAGGCCUCGAUCAAUGCUAAUGAGGUGAUGAUCCCUGAGGUUGCAGCUGUUGUAGAGAAGAAAAAUCUCAAUGAAGACAAUGAAGAUAAAGAACAAGAAAAAAAUAAAGAAGCUAUUGGUGAAGAAGAAAAUAAAGCUGAUGGAUCAGCUGGUGUGGAGAUGGUGGAUCAUGACGAAGGCAGGAAGGAUGAAGAAGAUAAAAAUAAGAAAAGUGUUUGUGAAUAAGAAAACAAUGAAGGAGAUGGAGAGGAAGUAGAAGAGAAGAAUGCAGGAGAAGUGGAGAAAGAAGAAGAAAAAAAAUGAUGCACUAGAAAAAGAAGGUAUCGGCGUAGAAAGAAAAUGAGAAUAAAUUUCCGAACUUAGAUGAAUUUCUUAAUGAAGUUACUCAGGACAUCGACAAGAUGCAAGUGGAAGACGAAAAUAUUGAAUGUUUAGACAAUAUUUAAUUUUUAUUUGUGUCUGAUGAUUAUUUUUAUUAGACUAGACAAUCUUAAUUUUUAACUUUCAGCUUAGGAUGUGUACAGCUGAACAAUUUUAUUUUAUAAACUGCUUUUAUAGUUUAUGAUAAACAUUAUAAAUUUUAUAUAAUCAACGUAUCAUUGCUUUUACAUGAAUGUCAUUGUUGAUUAUAGACGCUGAGUAAAAGGUAAAGUAUAUACAGUAGAGUGUUGUGUAGUCGAUGAAUGAAAAAGGUAAAUCAUAUAUAAUAUAAGUAAAAAAUAGUCAAUUAAUAAAAGAGUCAGAAUACAUUCAAUCCCACUACACCUCUAUUACACCUUUUCAAAAAGCUAAAACUAAUAGCAAAUCAUACACCAUAAUUUUCAUGCCCUUUUCUUUUUCUUUAGCCAUAGCCAAUCUAUGCUUAAGUUGAUCCCUCUCAAUUUCGACGUCUUUCAAUAAUAUCUUUAAGUGAUCAAUCUUGUGUUCUGAUUCUCUAUAUAAUGUCAUAAGAAGAUCCCUGUUUUCUUCAGAAUUUCUAAGCCUUUCCAACAUUUCAAAUUUUGCAACGCCUUGAAAUUUUGAUACCCCAAAAUUGGAGGGAAGCCACUUGAAGAGCAACCGCCAUUAUCCUAAAAAAAUGAGGAUAAAUUAGUAAAUUGAAUUUUGUGAUGAACAAAAAUAAAUUUUUAUUUAAACAAAAACAAACCUCUCCAACCGCACAACUGUAGAAUUUUCAACCCAAAUUUUUAUCGGUUCGUGAUGUUCUCAACACCUUAGUAUUACCACAAUGACAAAGAUAAGAACAUUCGGACGUUUGAGAUGACUGCGACAUUGUUAUUGUUGAAGCAAAACUAGAAAGUGAUGAAUAAAUGAACAUGAAGGAGUUCAAAAGGGUCCCUUUAAUUAAUAUUGUAGGGCUACCUAAAUCUAACUGUUGAAAAAUUCUACCCCUCUGAAAUUGUACUGUUGGAGAAAAUUUAAAUGGAUUAUCAUUUACUUCAAAGGAUCUCAAAAGAAUGUUUAUGUCUUCUAUACUCGACUGACUUAUCUCUUGUAUUAAAAUAUUAUCGAUUUAGACUUAGGUUGAUUAUAGACCCUUCAUACAGUCUAUGAUUAACUUACUAAAUUUAUGGACAACUUAAAAUAAUGACAAAAAAGAAGAACCUAAAUAAAAUAAAAUUAGAUUAUGUCAAUUAACACCAUUAAAAUAUUGUAAAGCAAUAAAGAUACAUCAAUUGUGAGUCACAAUCACUUUUGAAUGUGAUCAAGUGUUAUCUAAGACACGGACUAGUCGUAGAUCAUUGAGAUGACACAAAAAAUGAGAGAAAAUAAAAUAAAUUAAAAUAAAUACUAAUCAUCCAAGCAGUAAAGAAUGACUACAUAUCAUGACAAGAGAUUAGAUGUGUGUGAUGACCAUAAGGAAGAGUGGUGGUCGUCACUUGUGAGUAUUCAAUGGACAAGUAGUGUCUAAGAACAAAAAGUCCUUCUCAACAGAGACGCUUGUUUUGAGUAAUUGGUUGUUACUACUAUUGCCCUCCCCUAUAUUCAUUUGAUCGAGUGUCCAAUUAUUUUGUAAUCUCAUAUUAUGAUAUUUAGUCACUUUACACUGCGUGAAUGAUGUUUAUUUAUUUUAUUUUAUUUUAUUUUAUUUCUCCCUUUUUUUAAUCUCACCUCCUUUGAAAAUAGACUCAAUUGGUCGAUACAUCACUAAUAAUAUAGUCUGAUAUAGAUAAAGCUAAUUAUCUAUAAUAUACUCAAGAUGUCAUCAUAGGUCUAUUUUCAAAGGAGGAGAGAUUAAAAAAGAGAGAAAUAAAAUAAAAUAAAAUAAAUAAAUAUUAUUCACGUAAUGUAAAGUGACUAAAUAUCAUAAUAUGAAAUUACAAAAUAUUUGAACACUCGAUCAAAUGAGAAUAGGGGAGGGCAAUGAUAGUAACAACCAAUUUCUCAGAACAUGCGUAUCUGUUGAGAAGGACUCCUUAUUCUUAGACACUACUUGUCCAUUGAACAUUCACAAGUGAUAACCACCAAUCUUCCUUAUGGUCACCACGCACGUCUAAUCUCUUGUCAUGAUAUGUAGUUGUUCUUAAGUGCUUGGAUGAUUAAUAUUUAUUUUAAUUUAUUUUAUUUUCUCUCCUUUUUUGUAUCAUCUCAAUGAUCUACGACUACUCCGUGUCUUAGAUAACACUUGAUCACGUCCAAAAGUGAUUGGGACUCAUAAUUGAUAUAUCUAAAUUGUUUUACAAUGUUCUAAUGAUGUUAAUUGGCAUACUCUAAUUUUAUUUUAUUUUAUUUCUCUUUUUUUUUAUUAUUUUAAGUUGUCCAUAUAUUUGGUAAGUUGAUCAUAGACUGUAUGAUAUGUCUAUAAUCGACCUCAGUCUAGAUAAUAUAUCAAUAUAUAGGAUCAUCAAUAUUGAUAUCUGUAUAUAAUUCAUACGUGACCCAGUCGAUUAUAGAAUUCAUAUUUAGCGUAGUCGAUUAUUUAUUCGUACUGUACUCCGAAUUUAAACAAUGUUUGCAAAUCUUUAAACAUGCAUUACUGAAGAAACACCAACAAAGACUGAAAGAUAGAAAAUUAUUAUAGAUAAAUUAGAAUAUCAUGAAAAUAGAAACUUGUUUAUAGAUAGAUAGAUGUUCAUUGCAUCUAUAUUUGCAAUUUUUGGAAAAAAAUCUCAAACAAAAAGACAAAAACGAAGCUUUCAUUUACAUAAUCCUACCAUAAAAGCUUCAUUCAACAAUGAACUACAAAACAAACAAAACUAAACUACACUAGGGGGGUGAAGGGGGGUGAUGAGUUCACGGGGGUCCAGGUUGAGCCUCUCAGCUAUAACAAGAAGAAAAUGAGCCAUCCACCGAAGCUCUCUAUCUAGCCACCGUUGAUUGGCGGCAAGAUCCUGAAAAAGAAAAUCUAGGUCUCUACAAAUUCUAAGCAACUCUAUGUUGUUGAUAGUUGUCAUUCUGUGCAUUUGUCGUGGUGUGUACCUCCUCCUAGCCAUUUUCUUCUCUCCUUAGUCUUUUUUUCACAAAUUGAAUUUACAAUCAACAAGGGCCUCUUUAAAUAGACCAAAGCACGAGACAAUCGACCAAUAGAAGUUGUACACGUGUUGAUGAAAGGGGAGAAGGCGUGUGAGAAUAGAAAAUAAAAAGUCUCCGCGGUUCUGGCAGUCGAGUCAUUUCAAAUCGUGGCAUUUUCUGAAGUGUAAUAAUUACAUUGAAAGGUUCAGUGUAUGAGGAAAAGGGUUUCUUUAAUAUACUACACGAUUGGUCGAUGAUAUACUAUGUAGUUUAUGCUAUACCACGUAGACCAUGCAUUGAUCUAUUAUAUAUUUUGAAUCCAGUCGAUGUGUAAUGUGUAUAGUCAAUUUUAGAACUUGAUGUGACAGUUUUCAAAUUGACACCCUUUCCAAUGCGUCAUAAUAAUUUUGAAUUCAACAUUGUAUGAAGAAAAAAGUUUGUUCAAUAGACAACUAAGUAGGUUUAUAAUACACUACAUAUUGACUAUUUACUUUGUAGAUCAAACACUGAUAUAUUAUAUAUUAUAAGGCUGGUCAAUUAUUUAAGUCUAUAAUCUAUUUAUUACGUAGUAUAUCAUAUAUGAACUGGAAUCGAUAAUGCACAACAACAAAAAAAUUGUUUUUGACUGCAGUCCAGUGAUUUUCAAAACAGAAUACACAUUAUAUACUGCCCAAUGCAUUUGAACAAACAAAAAAUAUAAAAUGCAAUGCCAAUCAUAUUAUCUUACGUUAAGGUUGCAUGUUGUUCUCUUAUGUCCCGGCCUUUUGCACUUGGAGAACUUGUUUCUUUUCUUGUACCUUGAAGGCUCCAACACACCCUUAACACAUUUCACCUUCCUCCUUCUGAGUUUGAAAUCAAAAUUCGGUGGAGAACUUGCAUUUCUAGAUGCUUUUGCGCCACACUCCACUCCAAACUAGUGGUGCUGCAUAAAUACGUUCCAAGUAUGCAAGGAGGUAUGAUUCUUUCGAAUAUAUUUGCGAAGAGUAGUUGUAAAUGCUAAUGUCAUAUUCGUCCCCGUGCUUCAAACGCACCGCUGCCAUUGCAUGAGUGCAUGUCAAUUUCAUCAAGUCGUACUUUCUGCAAGAACAUGAUUGUCUCGAAAGAUUAACUUUGACGGAAUAACCAUAACCAAGCAUGAUGAAUUCGUCAGUGCUUCCAUUUAUGUUCACAUAUAAUUUAUCGCCCUCGAUCAUGUUUUUCCUCAAGACCGUCUCAGAUACGGGAACAAAUAUUGUCUUUAAAUUGUCUACCUCCGCAUACCUCUUCCUAAAUAUUUCUCCAAACCUAUGAGCAAUUGAAUUGAAUAUGGCCGCCACUGGAUACUCUCUUUCGUCGUGCAACAUUGAGCUGAGCAACUCGGCGAUGUUUGUGGUCAUGACGUUGAAUCUAUUACCUGAAAAGUGAGCCCGGCUCCACUUUUCAAAUCCAACUUCAUGCUCGAGGCAAGCUGUUGCGCUGGGUCAUCUUUCUUUAAGGACAUUGAAGUAGUCAUUAAAUUCUUUCAACGUGUACGCCUUGGCCGCAUGGUAGUACAAAUAGAGAGAAGUGGAACAAGGGUGAUUUGUUCGGAGAUUUUCACUGAGAUGCCUCAUACAAACACUGUGAUGCGCAAGCGGAUAAUAUCUUGCGAGGCCAUUAGCUAUGCUUACGUGUCUAUCGUAGAUAAUGCACAACUCUUAUUCAUCGACAACAAAGGCUUUAAGCUUCUCGAAGAAGAAGCCCACGACGUAUCGUUCUCUUUAUCCACCACACAAUACGCUAAGUGAUAGAUAUGAUUUUGCGUAUCUUGAGCGACAGCGAACAACAGCAUGCCCUCAUACUUGCCGGACAAAUGCGUUCCAUCAACAACAACGAUCUUUCUCAUGUGUGCAUAUCCACAGAUAGAAGCCCCAAACGCCAUAAAGUAGUAAAUAAAUCUGUUUGACUCCUCAUGGACCAUGAGGAAAUUAAUAGACUUGGGAUUGAGGCCGUUGAAAACAUAUGAAAAUGAGGGAAGCACUGCAUAUCCGUGCUCGGGCGUACCUCGAAUUAUGUUCUUCGCAAUGACGCCUGGCAUCCAAUACUUCCAAUAGACUGACCUGCAAUGUAUCUCCCUAAAUACGAUCCUCUCGAUCUCUUUCAAUCUUGGAUCUUUGCUGUCGACGAAAAAGUUCAAAAUAAGUGAGGCAAUGACCUCCACGGUGACGUUCUUGUGCUUUCUCGUGACAUGAUCAACGCUACAAGUAUGCUCUUUCAUGUAGUUGUGGAUAUGAAACCAACCCGAUUCUCUGAUAGCAUAUAUGUGCACCAUCCACGGGCAAGUAGGAUCUACUUACCUCACCCUCAAGUAUUUCUUACAACUCUUCACCUUUGUGUAAUUGAACGACAUUUUCACUGGCGCCUGCUUUAACAAAAGAUUCAACUUUUUCUUAUCUUUGAAUGUUUGUCCUACAAAAAGAUUGGUGUCGUCCGAGAAAGAGUGGCUUCUUUGUGGUUCGAGCUGCCCGUCCUCACCUCCUCCACACUCUUCUUCUUCUUCUUCUUCUUCUUCUUCUUCUUCUUCUUCUUCUUCUUCUUCUUCUUCUUCUUCUUCUUCAUAAUCUUCACUAUUAUCCUAUUCAUCACCACCCAUGCAAUCGUAUUUCAUUGACGUAUCAUCCACUGUCAGGGGUGGGGGUGGGACUGGAGCUGAUAUGGAAGCUUCUUCCCGUGACCUUUCAACAACUUUAACCUGCAAUAUAGGUCUAGAGUUAUCAGAAUCAACGUAAAGCAUGUAUAAUUCCACAUGUCUAUCAUUCCUUAUGAACGUUGGAUGGAUCCCUCCCCCUCCCGUUCAUCAAGUAACUAAUUACCACCUCGCUUUGAGUGUUGGAAUGUUGCUAUUGAGCCAAUAAUCAAUUUCGAAAUGUGGGAUUGAUUUUUAAGCUUUUUGUAUGAAAAUCAAAGAAAAAUUGGAGCUAAAAAUAAGCGAAAAUGGCUUAAAACAAUGGAGAUAAUGUCACUUUCUGAUGGAUGCCAAAAAAUUCGACGAAAAAUGGCCGAAAAAUUGAGGAAAUGGUGUCAAAAUUGAGCGGUUGGUAGUGGAUUGGUUGAGAAACUUUGGGAUACUUUUUUAAAAAAUUAAUUAUCCAAUAUUUAUAUUUUUGGACAUGGGCUAAAGUGUAUAUGCUUUAAAAAAAUUAGGGCUAAAAUGGAAAAAGGGCUAAAGUGUAUAUUUUGUAAAUUGAGUGCUAGGGUUGCAUUUUCUUUUUGUGAUCCCAUUAAAGUGUCUAUUUUUUCAAUUAAAAAAACUUGGUGUCUAAAUAUCAAAAAAGGUUUGGAUCGUUGUGAAGUGACAUUUUAGCCAACUACCCCUUUUCACUUGUCCUUGUGUUGGAGAUCUUCAAAAACAGAAUAUUUCAUAAGUGAGAUAAGAUCUGCAUAUACUCUUCUUUUCAUACAUUAUUUAUGAAAUUUUACUGAAUUGUUAUUGUUAUUGUUAUUAUAUUCUUUUUUUAAUGAUACUAUGGAUACAAUAUUUUUAUUUUUGAAAUGCUUUUUCCAAAGAAUUAAAUUGUUAGUACUAGAUAUAUAUUUGACAAAAAGGAUGGAAAAAAGAGGUAGACCUAAAAUUGUUGUUUCAUAGAGUAGACACACUAAAUGAUUAGAGCUGAGAAAGUCAAUUUUCACUUUAUUUCCCUUUUUGUGUCUUUUAUUUUUCAAUCUCUUCACUGUCUAAUAUUUUCUCCGUCACAAAAUAAUUGAUAAUUAUAAAUUAUACAUAAUUAUUAAGAAAAAAAUUAAUUGGAAAUAUGAUUUAACUAAUAUAACUCUUAUUAGUUCUUUAAUUUUCAUCUAUUUAUGUGCAUCUUAAUUCUAAAAUAAUUAUUACUAAGGAUAGAAUUAGAAAAAAAUGGCUAAUUAUCUAUCUCUUGAUCUUUUAAACAUGCAAAAAAAAUUCUUUUCUAACAAACAUGCAAGAAAAUUCUUUUUGAACAAACAUAUCAAUUAUUUUGAGACGAAUAGAGUGUAUGUGAUAUAGCACUAAAAAAAUUUGUAAGUGAUUUGGAGUGAAAAUUAUGAAAAUAGUUUUUGAAGUUCAAGUUGAAUUUUGAAAAAUUGAUGAAUGUCCAAAACCAAAUAAUUUUCCAAGAUAAUAUUCUAGAAAAUAAUUAAAAAUAAUUCAUAGUCAAACAGACGCUACAUAUAGUUUGAAUAUUUUUUGUUUUUUAACUUUCUUUUGAUGAGAACUAGUUUCUGUAUCUUGAUAUUUUUUUAAUAAAAACGAAAAAGAGAGUUAGAAUUCUAUAUAUUUUUUUUUUGUUUUUAAUUCCUUGAGGGGGUGGGUUGAGAAAUAAGAAACAUAGUAUUUGUGAGUCUUAAAUAGAUUUUGUUCUGGUGAAUGAUUUUAAAGAAUCAGUGUCAUUUUUUGUCAAUAUAUAUAGGAAGAAUUAUAUAUAGUGGGGCAUGAAAAAGGAAUAAAUGGACCAUAUGUUAUACAUGGGCCACAGAUAGAAACAUGAAGAUUAAAAUAAGAAAGAAGGAGUGCAUGUACGUAACAUUAAAGUUCAUGCACGGUUUCUAAUUUUUUAUGUUAAUAGAAAGGGAACAACAUGAAUGCAAUUUUGACCUAUUUAUUCUCCACAUAGCCACCCAUUAUUCAUGUCUUUCCCAUUUUAGAUAUAAGCCGGAUUCUGUGGAUUCAACUGAAUUCGUUACUUUUAGCUUGAGCCAAUAACGGAGCUAAAAAAGAAUAUUAGCUACUAAUGAGAAAAUUCAGAUAAACCCCUUGUGGCACACAGCUCCACCCUCGACUCAAGCAGAACAAAAAAUAAUAUAUAAAUCCAGAAUAAGAAUGUUAUUCAAAAUAAACCACACAGUAUAUACCCAUCACAGUCAGAUGCUCGCGUUAGCAAGAUUCAAGGAGGAGCUCAUCUCAUCUCAAGGGGUGUGAUAUAAACAACCUACUCUAAUACCAGCAUUAGUGGUUACUCCCAUGAUUCGAACUCAUUCUAACUCGUAACCUAUAGGUUGCAUAAAGACACCUAUAGGUCGCAUAGAGACAAAUGGAGGCUCCCCUAUCAAGUUGAAUAUUAUAUGGAGUCAAAGAGCAGUCCGCACUAAAACUCCUGCCAGGCUCCCCUAUCAAGUAAGAGCAGUCCGCACUAAAACUCCUGCCAUGUAACGGGUUUGGAGAAGGGUCGGACCACAAAGAUCCCCUAUCAAGUUGAAUAUUAUAUGGAGUCAAAGAGCGGUCUAGUGCAUUAAAGCUUCGGCUAUGUAAGAGGUUCGGAGAAGUCCGGACCACAAGGAUCUAUUGUGCGUAACUUCACUUUACAUUUCUGCAUUGUUUCCACGGCUUAAACCUGUGAUCUCCUACUCACAUGAAAACAAUUUUGCCGGUUACUUCAAAGUUCUCCUUCUAAUAAUAUAUGGAGAAUCUAGAAGAAAAACUCAUUAUCAAUAAUGUUGGCUAAACAGUAAACACCUUUUGGGGACAUGUUAGCCAGGUAACAAGUUUGACAAGUUUCUAUACCAUGAUACAGUUUUCUAUUUUUACAUCUAGCAUUGUACCUUCAAAGAUUCCUGCUUCACUAUGGUUUUACAUCUAUCAUUGUUCCUCAAAAGACUUCCUACCUUACUAUGGUUUUACAUCUACAUUAUACCUUAAUACAUUUCCUGCCUUAGUACUAUGGUCUAUCGAAUGUAAAACUUCACUAUCAUGGCAUUACUCUGCGCGCCUGAAGCAGAACCUUCUGAAGCUCAUCGGCAAGUCCUGGUAAGAGCACUGGUUUAGGGAUGAUGCCAUUCAUUCCGAUCUGCAGGCAUUUUUGACCGACAUCUUCAUCAGUAGUUUCAACUAAACCGAUGAUCAAAGGCCAGUCUUGCAUUCCACGCUUGCGAAGUCUCCUGGUAACUUCAAAGCCGUCAACAAGAGGCGGGUGAAGAUCCAAAACUACAAUUUGAAACAAGGAUGCAGUAGAGCAAACAGCACCGAGGCAUUCAUAUCCAGAUGAAACUACAGAGACGAUGCAUCCCAGUUUCUCGAGCAUCUUCCUUGUUACGGCUCUAUUCAUGUCAUCAUAGUCAACUAACAGAACUUUCACACCAUGUAGUAGAGGAUGUGGAUAUGUGGGAUCUGAAGAUUCCCCAUAUCCGGACAUGCCUGCUGGAAUUGAUGGUUGCCUUUGAAACCCGACAAUGACAACCAUGCUUUGGUCAAAACCUUCUGGAUUUGGUUCUACAAUAAUGUCUCCUUGCAUCAACUGUUUGUUGUUUUUCACAUACCAGAAGGAAGUUAGUUUAAAAUUCAAAUUGCAAACAUUAUGGACUUAUAUUUAAAAAAAUUUUAAAAAAAAAGCUAAGACAAGAAAAUGAAAGUGUAAUCGGUAACUAAAUGCUGGAAUAUGAAUAGACUUACAUGAACCAACUUCCUGCAAACGGAAAAUCUCAAACCCUCCUCAACGUCCCCACUGCAGCUCGUUGGAGUACACAGUUUGAUCUCUGACUGAGACUGACUAACGCUUGUGCAAAUUUCGAACCUGGUAUACACUCUGUCACUAGAUGAGUUUGAUCUCCUCGUUUUCCAGGUUACAUAAUCUUCACUUGCUGGGAGGACUCGGAAGGUAAGAUGCCCUCCGUUUGUGCCAUUCAAAAGAUUUCCGACUAUAUGAAGAAAAACUUGAAAGAAUCUUCUUUCAUCACCCAUAACAUGAUUAGGCAAAGAUUUGUCGACUUCAAUGGUAAUAUUGUAACCCUUCGCUGCACACAAACACUUGACAAGACAAGCAGCUUCUCUUAUCAAGGAAUGUAGCUUGAAAUGCCUCAUUUCCAAUGGGAAUCUUACAUUGGCCUUCGUUGAAUUAACUAUCACAUCAUCCAUCAGGGUGGAGACAGCGUGGCUGGUUUUGAUCAUAGAACCCACAAGAAGCUUCUGCUCAUCUGUUAACUUCUCUUCCUGCAAGACCGAGAUCAGACACAUAAUUGAGUGUAUCGGUCUUCUCAGCCUAUUACUCAUAACUGUCUGAAAUGCACUCUUUGCAUCACUUGCCCUUAGAGCAUCCUGUUUCGCUUUCUGCAGUGCUCGGUUCUGUUCCAAUAAUCUUUCACUUAUAUUCUGAGAUUCUUCAAUCAUUGCAGCAUGGGACAGAGCCACAACAACUUGAUCGGCUGCAGCCUUGACAAUCUCAAUUUCCUGGUUACUCCAAAACCUACCACUUCCACAAGGUAGAACCAGAACGAGGAUAGCAUAACAUCGAGGUACAAUCUCAGGAGUUCCAGUUCGGAAAUUCGAGACCUUCAGCAUUGGUAUCCUGAUUGCAGCCACGGUUUCUGGGUCGCAACUCUUUCUACUACUUGCAGCAGCAAGUUUGGAUCCCACGUCAAGUAUCUUUACAGCAUUACUCGCCUUGAUCUCUUUUACAUCGGGAUCACUGAUUGGGAUGGGCAUAUUAUUAUACACACUGGAAACAUCCGCCCCAGUAGGAUCAUGAGUCAGUCUCAUCUCCGUUCUGUUCUCAUCAGGCAUCCAUAUAACACAAUUCUGCAAAUUCAAUAUCUUCGACAGCUCAACAAGAGUUGUGUAGAGUAUUGUAUGACGAUCAAGUGACUUCCUGAUCUCUUGUGUAAGCAUCCGAACAUGCUUUCCAACUUCCUCUUUUUGCUUUAUUUUUCCAACUUGUUGAUCAAGAUCCCAAUUCUUUUGUAUCAGCAUUAAUUCCCUUAGCUUCACUUUAAGUAGCAUCGGGAUAAGGUUGACGAGAGAUACAGCAGUGAGCACGGAGAUCAGUGCAGUGAGUAGUUUGGAAACAAGAAUGGCAACCAAAAUAUGAAAUGUGCGUUGGCCCAAAUAAGUCAUGAAACUUAGAAAAUGUGUUAAACCACAGAAUAUAAUGAAUGCUCCGAAUUCAAUGAGCACCCAUUUGAAUGGAAAGUUGGAACGACUGACGAAGUAAAUGAUCUCCAGUGGGAUAGAAAAAUACGCCAAUGCAAUAAAUAAAUCACUGGUUCGUUGGGCAAAUAACAUACUAUCGAUGCUCCAAAAUGCCUCAUCAUCAUCGCAAUUACAUUCAGUAGCGCCAUCAACACCCGAUAAGGAAGCAAUGAACGAUAAAAGCAACAAACAUGAUGCUACCUUCAUCAGCAUUGCAUCCAUUAGACC
rnacentral:lncRNA from 1 species